rnacentral:lncRNA from 1 species
AAUCAUUAGCUGUCAAAUAUAACUGAGCGGUCUGCUUUAAAAAUUAAGCUGAAGCAUAAUAGUUUGAGAGAUGAAUGAAUGUUCAUGUACCUUUAUGUUACAUUUAUUAUAUGGGCAAUACAGUUGAUCUAUGACGAUGCGAUUUUCCACAUUGUUCGUGACAAUGUCUUCAAAAGCGAAGUUGGAAGCGAUUCCAACGUGAGAAUCAGGUCAUGUUUUGACUCUAACCCCGUUACUUGUGCCUGUGAAGGUACAGUUCCUUACAGUCAAUCCAACAACUUCUUCAUCUUUUGUAUCCUUUCCCAGGCGACCAACACUGAUACCAUGUCCUGGUCCGAAAAAAACGUCAGAUACUAAAAUAUUUUUACUGCCUUGACCAAGACAGACACAGUCAUCACCGGUGGCUAUAACUGAAUGUGAUAUCUCAAUCCCAUUUGAUCUUCCAAUAUGAAUUCCGUUAGUAUUAGGACUAUCCGCGUGUGCUGUGAUUUUGAGGUCAUUUAUCUUCAGGUUGUAGCAACCCAAAAUGUUAAUGUGGAAGUAUUUGCUACCAACAGAUUUUAUCCCAGUAAUUGUUGAGUCGUUCAGGAAAUUGAAUCGCAUGGACUGUCAAUUAGACACCAAAGCAAUAUUAACUAAUUAUUUUAACCCUGUUUUCAUUAGCAGGUUUACAAAAAUAAAACAAAAACAAAAAACAAAACAAAAAACAUAGAGAACAUUGUUAACAAGACUUACUGUGGGAAGCUGGCAAUCGGAGUUUUUGUGGCAUUGAUUUAGUGGCCAUGCAGUUUCGCCUUGGCCGUGGAAUGUUCCUUCGCCGGAGAGAGUGAAGUGUCUGAGAUAUUGAAAGGUGAUCCAGCUUUGUUUAUCGGGUAGUUUUGAUAGGCCGGUUGGUGCCUGGACAAGCCCUUGAAGUUGAAAAGAAAUUGGAGCUUUGCAUGGACCUUCAAGUUCGACAAAAUUCGACAAGUAUUUUCCCGGAGUUACCAAUACCGUGCUUUCUAUUCCAUCCCAGUUGCAAGCUUCUCUCCAAGCAGUACCAAAAGCCUAUAUUAAAUUGACAAGAACCAAAUACUUACUAUUUUUAAUUAGUAAAGCGACUACGUUUUCAAAUAAGGCUUUCAUUUCGUGUUGUUGUUGAGCAGCUGUGGCUAUUAAGCUGCGGAUCUUAUUUUCUUACCUUACUAUCAUCCUUAAUGCCAUCGGCCGCGGCACCAAAGUCCUUGACGUUGAAAACUCUGUUGGUUGCAUCGAUACCUUUUACCGAAGUAAUGAACAACACUAGUAGUGAAAAUGCUUGCUGGGAGUAGGAGCUGAAACCCAUUUUAUGACUGAUUGAAGUGAAAGUAUUGUAUAUUCCGAUAAAUUUGAGUAAACUUUUUUAUUUUAUUUUAUGUUUUUUAAUGGUAGAUGGUAGAUCGAUCAUUGUAGAGAAAUUUAUAAGGUAGUGCGAGUGCAGUUCCUUCACCAAUUUUGAAUCUUCUAUUUAGGAUUUUAGGCUUUUAAAAAAAAAGAAACAACAUGUCUUGUUUUAGCAUUACUUUGGGAGUAACUUCCUAAUAAUAUAAUGUUGGCUGUAAAUUGUUUCAUUGGUCCAUUGAUUUCUUCGUUAUAGUAACUUUCACUGUCCUGUUUUUAUCAAAUUCUACAACUUGCAUAUCUCACAAUCCAAUUCUCGCUUUAUACGGUUACCAUCUCAGGGACAAUAAUAUCUUUGAUCAUAUAUCUCUAGCCAGGUCUCCGAAUUUUUCUUUAUGAAAUAAGUGAACCGAUAGCCGCUAGUUACUCCAAUUUCUAUAAGGAUUUUGUUCAAUGUAGUAACAAUUUAUAAAUAAUCUUUCAUGCAUUAUAACUAGAAAUUACAACUAAAAAUUAAAAAAAAAAUUAAAGAAUUGAAACGGAUUUGUAGUGUUCAUCAUUUCUCUGUGACGAGGCUUUUACUAUCUUUUACCACACAUGUGUUUAUUGAUUAGAAAAAUUAGUUACAUAUAAUUUUUAUUUUUGAAACCUUGUAAUUCAACUUAACUAGGAUUUUGUAUCUUGUACUUUUCCAACUUGGGUUCCGGCAACUUAAUAUUCGGAGUCCCAGUAGCACAAAGUAUUCAUUCAUAAUCAUUAACACAAGUCAGUCCACACAUAUCGUUAUACUGAUCAUCGUCUAAAGGUCUAGCUAAAUUAUGUAUUUAAUUAACUCCCUCUGUAGAUACUUCGAUUUUGGUAUCCUGGAUUUUGAUUUCGGUUGAUCUUGAAGAUGGCGGAUAAACAAUCAACAGCAACCAGCAGUAAUGCAUUGAGGAUCAACUUUGUAUCAGAAGAACAAUUGGAUGAAGCCAAAAAGACAAGAGGCAAAAGAGUUGAAGACGGGACAGCACAGAGAGACAGGCCUAUUCACGAGAUACUGAACGAGAACAAAGCCAAAAAGAAAAAGGAACUCGAGGACCGCCGGAAGCACAAUCCUCCGAAAUCCUUGGACGAAGACGAGUCCCAGUUUCUUGACGGAUGGGAGUCGUAUAAGAAGGAAAAAAAGCGGCGGCUUGCUGACGAAGAGGCCAUGGAGCUUCGGCGUUCCAGGGCAGCCGAGGCAUCACAAUGUGUUGCUUCCAAGGAAACAUUAACAAGCCAUGAUGAUGAUGCUCAUCAACAGAGAUUGAUUAUUGGGAAGAAGAAUCCAGCGUCUUGUCCCUUGAGCUCGAUUAUGAAAGUGGUGCCGCUGGCAAAGAAACCCAAGAAAGAUUUUCAAAGUGUAGCAGCAGAAUCUUCUUCAGGUACGUUGGAAAAGAUUGAUGCAGCUGAAAAAUUUCCCAAACCUGCAAUGCUAAAAAGAAAUAGGGGUGAUGCUGAUCAUAAUAAAUCCCCUGUAACAAUAAGUCUGGUUAUUACUAUAGUGAUAGCGAAGAUGAUGAUUGAGUACUAUAGUAUUUGUUUAUAUUGUUGUUAUUUCAGGAAAGCUUUGAUUUAUUUAUGCCUUCUGUUGUUCUUCUCACAAUCAAUUAGAAAUACUAGUCCAUACUUAACCUUUUUUUUUUUUUACUAUAUUGCAAUCAAAGGAUGGCUGAUAUUUAUAAUCAAAUAAUUCCUGAAAUUAUUCUACAUUAAAUCUAUGAAACACAACCAAAAUUUUCUUUUCACUAAUAGUAGAGAAAUAUCUAUUCUACUCACAUUUUGUGAGAAAAGGACUAACUCCACCCAACUUGUUCAUUAAAAAACUCAAUUAAGUACUUACUUUUUUUUUUCUCUGGCAAGUGACAAGUAAGUCCACAUGGAUUGUAUUUACCAUUUUGACGCAUUUUCUUUUUGCUAUAUUGAAAACAUUAAUUUCGGAUCACUCUUUUGUGGGAUGUUGAUCUUCAAAAUAUAUUACAAAUUAUUGUAAAUCUCAACUUACCUUCUAUUUUUCUAAAGAAGAUAAAAAAAUUUCAUCAAUCUACCCUCAUUUUUCAGUUAUCUUUUGAAUAAAAAUGAGAGUAAGUUGAAAUUUAUAAUAGUUUGGGGGUGUUUUAAAAUUUUUACUUCACAAGGGGAUAUUUCAAAAUUAGUUUGUAUUGAAAAUAGUAAUAAAGCACUUUUUAAUUAUUUGUAAGAUCUCUAAAGAUUUCAUCCUAAGUAAUAUGGUGGCAUCCAUCCAUUAGAUGGUAGAAAUGUGAAAUAAGAUUUUACAUUCUAAUGGAUGAAUGACAUAUAUCAAGAACUAAUACUAAAGAUCAAUAAAUAAAAUAAAAUUACGAAAGAAAGUUAUUCACAUUUUUCUCACUUUUGCUGAAAUAUUACACCAUGAUGCAAGCCGAAAUAAAUUGUCAAAAGUUAUAACAAUCAUAAAAUUAUUAGCCAGCAUAAGGUGAUUUAUUAAUUUGGGGUGUUUAUGAGUUCAAAUGUUGAAUGAGUAACAUAAAUGGUAUUGUUGGUAUUAAGCGAACCUCAAGGAUUCCCUUGAAAUUAUCCCCAAUAAUUUAUUAUUAUGAAUAAAAAAUAGCGAGCUUCCAGUGCUGGUGCUGUACAAGAGAAUGAGAUAACGCCUCUUUUGCUCCUAAUCAUUCAGCAUCAAACAAGAGUGCAGUGACGCGGUCUCUGUCUCACAGAGCACAAAUAUCCUUCAUCUUCAAACAAACAAUUAGCCAAGCAAGAAGCCAAAAAAGCCCAAUAAAAAAUGGAAGCUCUUUCAAGAAUUAGCUUCUUAUCAAACUACACUCGCUCUUAUUUCCCAAUAUUCUCUCCACUUCCUCAAACCCAGAAGCCGCUUUCCAAGAAAACAUCACCAUCUUCUCUCUUAAGAACAAGCACUCGUCCAGGUCAGCCACCAUCCUUUGCCCUUUUUUGUGACGCUUCCUAUGCUUGCCACUGAAUUCCCAUUUCAGCUUUUGUGUUUUUAUUUUAUCCUUAUUUGACUUCUUAGUGAGUGAAGUUGCUGAAGAGGAUAUUCUGCAAAUGUUCUUUAAAGAUAGAGAACUGAAUGGAGAUUUUAUUUCCAAAGCUUCUGAUAUGUUUUAGCUGAAGGGGGCUUCGAAAUUCGUUGGCUCUGAUGCUGAUACUGGCAAAUUUGCUAACAAUUCUGAACAAGCUCACCAGGUAGCUUUCUUGAUUUUGAUUCAUAAGAAUGUAUUGUAUUCUUUUUUUCGGCAAUUUCCAGUUUUAAUCUCUCUUCGUGUCCCCUGUGGUGGUGUAGAAGUAUGAUAAUUUCAAACAUUUCUGGUUUAUGGAGCAUCUUUGUCAGUACUGUUCGUGAUUCUUGGAGUCUCUUAAGUUCUGACUUUGGAGUAUGGACAGUGGAAUUGAUUCUACAACUAACAAUGGACCAGUUUAGCUGUUUCAAUGAGAAAUCUUCUAAAAUUGCUUAUUUAUUUAGUUUUUUGAAUAUCAAAUAAGAAGUUACUGAAGGAUAUAAUUAUGCCAAGUACAAAAAUAGCAAAUUGAUUCAUUCGAUAUCUUGAAGGAUUUUAAAACUUAGCCAAGCCUGUAUUCUGUUGGAAUUAGCAGUAGCAUGUGUACUCUCAUUCCUAGGCUUUUAUAAGACAUAAAUUACAGCCUGAGGUGCAGCUCCUAAUUACAAUUGAGGCUUAGACUGGGGUAGCACUGCUGUUUAUAGAAGGAGGACUUAUUCGUUCCCAGCAUUGUGAAAAGGUUCCAUUGAAAUUUGAGGCAGUUGACAAUGCAGAUGUCUUAUUCUGAUCUGUCCUAUGUCACCUCUUUAGCAUUAUACUGUGGCAUCAACUCCAUUCUUGACGCAUUUAUGAAUUCAAAGUGCAUACAUAUCUCCAUGCUGGUUUCAGCUACUCUCUGCUUUAAAGUUCCUUAAUUUAAUUGCUAAGUAUAACUGUAUAACAUUCUGUUCGUUCUGUGUCAUUCUGUUCGUUUUUAUUCUGGUGUCUUAGAUGAUUUGUUGUGCUUCUGCUGUCAUUGAUGGUAUGUAUAUUGUAGGUCAUAGAAAGUGACAAUGAUGAUGGAUUUUUGAAACUCUCGAAAACCCGUGAGUGGCUAUUAGGUGACAACUCUGCACCAAUCAAUAAGAAACCUUCUGCUAAGGUAUGCAUUUUGUUGGCUAUCAUUAAAUUAUAAUGAGCUUGCUUGAAAACACUCUCUCCCAUCUCUCCAUCCUCCUUCCCUCCUUUUCUCCCCAUUUCAGCAAAGCAGGGGAAUUUGUUUUAAGUUUUAUAUCUGCAAUUUCUUACUGCUAACCGAUGCAUGUAAAUACAGGCUUUGCAGGAUGACAGUGAAAGAAGGAAGAGACUGAACUUUCUUAAAUAUGAAGCUGUAUGAUACUUCUCUUGAAAUUAGAAUUUCUCAUGGUUAGUUGGUUGUUGAUGUGAUGUCAAUGCCUGAAAUUGGGAUCUUUCUGUUCGGUUCUAAUUCCACUAUUUCUUUUAAAAAGUUAGAUUCUCUUACAUUUGAAAGUUAAAUUGUUUGUUGUUAUCUAACUAACUUAGAAAGAGCUGAUUAAUAAAUGAACAUAUUGUAUAAGUACGUGCAAGGGUGGACUGGUUUUUCUCCUUUUGGUUCUAGGGGUAUGAUUUCAUUAUACUUAUAUCUGUAGCUUUAAUCUUGCAAGCUGAAUGAGCUGAUGUUCACCAUGUGACUCUGUUUUGAUUAAAGGUUGUUUAUAUAUUCUUCUGUUAGCAAAUGGCGCUUUGAGAGAUGUCUGUUUGCAAAGGAAGCUGUAAAUUUGGUUACUUAACCUUCUGUUUUGAAACCAUAUUUCUCCAAUUCAAUUCCCAGGUAACUGGGAUAGGACUUAAUAGAUUCAGUUUUAUGUUAAAGUUGGUAAAUGUUAAUAGAACUAAGGGUUCACAGAUUUGGUAUGGUACCUGUAUGCUUUUAUUUUUCUAUUUGUAUUGGUUAGAUGUGGAGUGGUAACAUAAUAGGGAAAUGGAGCUAGUUUGAUCAAGUUGUCUUGUAUUUGGAUUUUCUGAUGUGUUACCUGGAUUAUUAGAAAAUUGUAUUUAUGCUUCUUGUUAUAGCACGAUUGUUGUUAUGUUUGAUUUACAUGCCUUGCAGACAAGGUACAUGUUAGACUCUGUAGUCUCUGCUCUUUUCUCUCUGCUCAAACUUUUAGGUUGUGUGAUAAAUUAACAAUGUUAGUACAAUGUUAGUACCUAAAGGCUUGCUUCUGCGCCAUAGUACUACCAAAGUUGUCUAAGAUGCUGGUUUUUGUACUUCGAUCUUGCAGCUCAAGAGUGAACUGAUGCUUUUGUCAGUUGGCAUUGGAACUGCAUAUAGUGGUUAUUGUUUGAUAAUGCUCUCAGUCCAGGUAAUAUCUUGACAGAAAUUUAAAGCACAGUGUUUAAAGUUUAAAAAAUUUUUAAUAUCAGACCUUUCUCUAGCUUAUUUAAUAGAAGUCUGGAAUUUUGCACUCUGUUAUUUUGCUGAAAGAUAUGAUUGGAAAUAAAUAUGAGGAUCUGGUGACAACGGCUCUAAACUACUUUUUGAUUAUAUUUUCAUCUAUUUUCAGUAGUUGACUGUACAAAUUGCGACAGAGUAGGCAAAUUUUUUUUUUCUCUCUCCCUAUUCUACUUUAUUGAAUGGAUUCAUGUACUUUCUUUAAAUGUAAAGUAAGAUAUUCGUGAAAUAUUGUAAAUUUUGGUUUUAUAUAGAAAUGACCUUAUUAAUUUUAUAGGUGGCUUUUAGCUAUAUGGUUGGGGUUCUUUUCAGGUAAGCUGAUCUUUUAUUUUUCAUUAUUUAUAUAUAGUGUUUUUUGAUAGAAAACAUAGAAACUUGUAUUGAGAAUAAAAACAUGUACAGAAAGUGAACAAGGAGUCCGCAAAUAAAGAACCCCUAAAGAUCACAAAAAGUCCAUGCAGUUCAAUGCUGACCAGAUGACCAAAAAAGUAUAGGAUCUAUAUGAAUAAAUGAUCUCACAACAAAAACAAGCUCAAAAGCACAGAAUUACGCCAACACCCCUUACAGUUUAGAUGAAUGAAGAAUAAAGAAGAAUCUUGAAAUUCCUUUGUUAAUGAUGCCCAAAGAAAAGCUAGUAAUCCCACUCUUUCCCACAAAAAGAUGAUGUCUUCCUCAGAAUCUUAAAAACAAUCUUUAAUUUCUUUAAAGCCAAAUCACCCAAAAAGUGGCCAGAACUGAACAUUUCCAUGACACUCUAGCUUUUUUACCUUUCCCAAAAGCAUCAAUAAUCUCUGAAAGCUGAGAAAUGCUAGAAGCCGGAAUCACUCAAGAAAUUCUAGCUGCCUGAAACAAUGAACGGCAUUGUGACAAUGCAAAAACAAAUGAUCUGCUCUUUUGCUAUUUCUCUUGCACAUGACACACCAAGAAGGACAAGCACACAUUAUGAUUCCAUCUUUGAAUGGCAUAGUUUACCUAGAGCCAAGGACCAAACAAAAAGUGGAACUUUACUAGGGUCUUUAGCAUUCCAAAUCACUGGGUAAGUUGAUCUAUUUUAACUAAGGAUAAUAUUUGUCAAAUAAUACCUUGAUGAGCCAGUUUUCAAAAUCAAAGCUCAGUGCUGAGUCCUAGAUUUUGAGCUACGACUCAAAAGGAAGGUUUAUGAAUAAUAACAAUACUAAGUACUGCAAUCAGUUGUCGAAAAGAAUGGUAGAUUCUGCUGUUUCAGUUACUUUGACAGAAAACUUUUUCAUCCAAAUUUUUACUUGCCAAUAAUGUAAAAAUAAGUGUAUAACGAUAUUAUAAUGCAAGGAAACCAUGAUAAUGUGAUAUGCAAAGUUUCUAUAGAAAAUUACUGUUAGUCAUCCACAGGAGUUUUUGGCCUAAAAAAUCAAUAGCUGGAGAAAUGGCUCAUGGGGUUGAUGUCUUCUAUCAAAUAUUCUUGAUUUAGUGAACUCCCUUGAAUGUUUUCGCUGUGGAGGAAUUAUCUUUGUGUGGUCUAAUUGGUACUCCAAAUAUCUCAGAAAAUUUAAAGAUAUCGCUCAUUUUCUAGUUUAGGGGAGUAAAAAACUCCGAGUAGUGCUUUUAGCACAUUUUUUGAUAGAAAACCGAAAAAAGGUUUAGUAACAGCAGGAGACCAUCUGUUCGUAUUACUGAUCCUAAUUCUGAUAGUUUAAUAAACCUCAUUUCCAGUGCAGUUGCUUGUACCUUCAGCUCUUAUACCAGCAUGCAGACCGGCUGUCCAAGGACAUGGUUCCUCAGAUUUUCAUGCGAAAGAAGUCCAAGAAGUACAUAUUAAAGCUUCUGCAUUUUUUUUUUCUUCCCCUAAUGGCGCCGUUGUAGCUAAGUUAUUCUCUGUCUCCCCCUUGAUUAAGCAAACAUUUCCUUUUCUUUUGUAGAAUUGGAAUUAGAAGUGAGGACCUUAAGGACUUCUUAGAGAGAUCAAUCAAGGGAAGUAGCCUUGCUCUUUCGUCUCCAAGGCUUGUGAUCCCGGUUACAAUAUAUGGUUUGUGGGUUCUGUCUCAUCGGUAUUUAGCCAAUGACUUCUUUGAUUUCCAGGUAGCAAUUAAAAGAACUUUUAUUGUUGUCUUCAGCUGUUUGUAUAAAUUUUCAAAUUAAUCAUGAAGCCCUCAAACUAUUAACAUAAGUUGUGUUUAUUAAUUUGCCCAUUGGUUCCUGUUUAUUGCAGAUUGUUCCAGCCAUGGUUGGCAUGUUUGUAUAUAAGGCUGCUGCUCUUGUUCAAGUUUACAGAGACAACGAAGACUUGCAAUUAGUUUUUCCAGAAAAUGAGGAAGGUUCAAGUGACUGAAAUUAUCCAUAUUAGCUCUUGGAGUAUUUCAUUUUGAUUCUGAAAUAUUUUGAAGCGGAAGGCGUUCCCAAAGACUAAUUUCUGCAGGCUACCAUCAAGCUUCUAGUGGAAAAAGCACCCCAAAAAUCUAAGUGGAAUGAUUCAUUUUCCCGAGUGGCUCUAUAGGCAAAGUUGACUGGUUAAAGUCGAACUUCAGAGACUUGUAGGGAACUGUCAGGCAUCUCUUCCAAACUCCAACUUUUAUCCAAUCUUUUUAUUGACAUGAGAUAAUGACUGCCCAAAAAAAUUGUUCUGAUGGAUGAUAUAGAACCAUCUGAGUUUGUAAUGCUUUCACGGUUUUUGUUUGCUUUAACUAUGUAGUUUGUACUCAAAAUCAUGUAUCAUUUAGGAAGGGAAUGAUUGCAGUGUUUGUAGCAAAACUCGAAUCAAAAUAGAAGAUUAUAAUGCUUGUUCAAGAUGCUUUUCUUUCCUUUUUUUUUUUUUUGACAUAAAAGGAAGUCUUGCUAAAUAAUAGGUUUGUAAACAAUCCCAAACUGUUCUUGAUAAGCAAUACAGGAUGAAUAUGGAUCGAUUUAUUAGAAUAGCUCUCUGAUUUAGCGUAAAAUGUGUCUAAUUUUAGAGGGUCCAAUCUUGCCACUUUAUUGUAUAAUACUUCAUUUCUUGUUUAGAGGACAUUAAACAACAAUUUAAUAGAAAAAGCAUAAAACAAACACUGAUAAACAUGAAAAACUCUAGUAACAUUUUCUUACAGAGCAUCCAAAUCUAUCGACGCAGCCAUCCAAGAAAUAACAGUAUUUGUACCUCCAUCUUCUGUUGAUAAGCAAAGGGCCCAUGAAACACCAAAAACCCAACACAAAUCCAAGUGCCAUGCUUACAUACAACAACCAGUCAACUUCAUCUUCAUCUUCGUUUCCAUUUUCAUUUCGAUCUUCAGGUACAAGAGCAUUCUUCUCGGGACAAUUAGGAAGUGGAGCUCCGCAGAGAUUGUUCCCGGCAAAACUGGAUGCAUCCAUGCUUUGCAAUUGAGUGCUUGAAGGAAUUUUCCCAGUCAAGUUAUUGUAGGAUAGAUUCAAGUGAUUCAGAAAUGAUAAACUUGACAUACUUUGAGGAACUUUACCAGACAGUUGGUUCAUUGAGAAAUCGAGGGAUUCAAUUGAUCUCAUAUUUCCAAUAUUCUCUGGAAUUUUUCCCGUAAAAAGGUUGUGGGAAAAAUUUAAUGACUGCAAUCCCAUAAGAUUUGUCAGUUCCUUUGGUACUUCUCCUGAGAAAUUAUUAUUGGAAAUGUCCAUGAUUCUUACCAAAUUAAGAAUGGUGUUAUAUUCAACCAUAAACCCUUUCGUCACAACUGAUGCAUCCUCAAAGACAUCUGAGACGCCUCCCCUUAUAUAUGAUAUUGCAUUAUCUUGAUCAGGUGAAUUCGCUGCCGCCAUAGCAGUGAAGUUAUUGAUGCAUCUUGGUAUGAUCCCUGAGAGACUGUUAUGUGCAACGUCUAAAAUUUGGAGAUAAUUUAGACGACAAAGUUGAAUUGGCAAAGACCCAUGAAGCUUGUUUGAUCGAAGAUUGAGAAUCGAUAAACCUGAAAAUCUUUCUCCCAUCCAUAUUGGAAUGUCGCCAACAAACUCAUUUUCACCCAUGUCCAGUACUUUCAAAUUUGAACAAUUUUGAAUUGGCACAGGAAUUAUUCCAACCAUUCUAUUAUUGCGAAGGUUCAAUAAUUCAAGAGAACUUAAAGUUCCAAUUGAGAUAGGAAGGCUACCAGAAAAGUUGUUGUUACCUAAAUUCAGCACAAGCAAGUUAGGCCAGUUCAUCCAACAAUCAGGUAUAUCUCCAGAAAAAUAAUUUUUCGAGAGUUUGAGAUAUACGUAAAUGUUGUCCGCCUCAUUCUCCCUCUUACAUAUUAAAUGGAAAAUGGAUCCUGACAAAGCAUUGUUGGAAAGAUCAAGUAGACCCGGGGAAGGUACAAGAGGCAAUGGGCGGUCACAAUUUGGAAUCUCACCAUAGAUUUGGUUGGUAGAGAGAUUCAAGUACACGUACUGGGAAAUGGAAUUCCAAAACCAACGGGGAAUAGUAUCUGAAAUUCUUGUGUUGGAUAUGUCUAGAAUGAACAAAUGCUUUUGGGAACGAAGCCACGACGGAAAUUGAGGCCCUAAAUGACAUGACCUCAAUCUUAGUUUUUCGAGUUGAAAAGGAGGAACCCAACUCUGAUUGACUUUGAAGAUUAGCGAGUUUCCAAAUGCAGAAAAUGAGGUCAAUUUUGUUAGGUUGACGAAGUGAAUUUCAGAAAGAGUUCCAUUCAACCUGUUGUUGGACAAAUCCAGAAGUUCUAAGUGUGAUAAUUGUCCCAACGACAUUGGAAUAGCACCAUCCAGCGUGUUAUUGAAAAGAUCUAAGUUUGUCAUCGAUGAAAGUUCUCCUAGAGCAGGUGGAAGGGGACCUGAAAGAGAGUUAUCUCUCAAUUCAAGAGUGUGCAGACUUUUAAAUUGCCCGAGUUGAUUUGUCAAGUGACCAGAAAUGUGACAACCGCUCAAAACCAGUGACUCUAGUGCAUAUGCACCACAUGACGAGAAGAUAUCUAAGACUUGUGAUAAAUCUUGACCCAAUUUGACAUAUGAGACGUCUAUUGAUGUUAACUUACAAAGUCUUACAAAUGAUGUUGGAAUCUGCCCUCCAAGUUCUACAUUGAAAGAAAGGUCGAGAGUUUUGAUAGAAGUCAAUUUUUCUAGACCCAUUGAUGAAAUCGUACCUUGCAAGCUAUUACCUCUAAGAGAAAGGAACUCAAGAUCAUUAAGCUUAGACAACCAGCCAGGUAUUGCAGAAUUGAAUUCAUUAGAAGAUAAAUCAAGAUGUCUAAGAAACGUCAAGUUUCCUAGUCCACUGGGGAUUUUACCAUGAAAUUCAUUAUCGCUAAGAUCGAAAAAGACUAAAUUACGAAGACCAAAAACCCAACUACUAUAUUGAAACAAAGAGUUAUUAAAAUGAUUUCCAGAAAGAUCGAGAGCCUUAAGGGAGGAAAAAUUAGUAGAGGGUAAUGAAGGAAAGUGAUGGAGUUCACAGUAGGACAACUUUAAUACUUUUAAAGAAGGGAGUGAGUUUAUCGUCACUAAACCAUCAGAGGAUUUAGUAAGGUCAACCAGACUCAGAUCGAGGUGCUCUAGAAAAGAAAGACCAGAAAGCCAUGAAAUACUUUCAACUUGUAACUCAUAAUAACUCUUACUAAGGUCAAGAUAUUGAAGAUUAGAGAUAUUUCCAAGUUGGUGAGGAAUCACUCCUGCAAAUUCGGCUCCAGAGAGAUUUAGGUAUCUAAGGUUCUUAAGAGAGCCAAGAUACGAGGGAAUUUGAAUUCCCUGGAAAUCAUUAUCACUUAAGUCCAAGUGAAUCAAAUGCUUUAAGUCAAACAAAGAGGGAUUUAUCUUACCAACCAGCUUUGACCCCGUGCCAUAAUUAGGAUUAGGGUUUCCGAGGUUGAGCUGAAGCACAUGGCCAGUAAAGUUGUUACAAACAACACCAUCCCAUGCACAGCAAUCUCCAUCACCAAUAUUCCAAGAGGCAAGACGGUUUGAAGGAUCACUGAGAUCUUGCUUCAACUUUAAAAGCGCUUGUCUCUCACUGUCUACGCAAACCACGUUAGGGUUGCCAGUGCAGAAGCUGAUGUUGAUCAUGGUAACUAAAGUAAACAACUCAAGAAAGAGAAGGGCAACAAAAACAUCCAUAGUUGAUUUCAUUGCUGUGGCUAGUGAUGAAUUAAUUAUGGGGAAAGGAAGUGUGCUUAUGAUGAGAAUGUUAUUAUAUUGCUUGAUAUUUAUAAUGCCCUCCGUUUGCCCAUAUGACACGUUUGCAUCAAUCGAAUUUGGUACGUAAUAGUAUGAUCGAAAAGGAUUUAUGAUCUGAGUCUCACAUUUCUGCAAGAAAUUUCCCUGCUCGUUGCUUUGGAUCAUCAUCAAGUCUUCUAAGUCAUCAAUUAACUGUUUGCUGUGGCCCCUCGGUGGACUUUGAACUUGCAUUAUUACAGUGGGAGAUACAAACAAAGAAACCAAAAAAAAAAAGAGUUUUAAAAAAGGAAUUGAAUGGUUAAAAUGAUAUACUGUAAAGUUUAGAGUAAUAGGCUAAUUAUGAAGUUUCAGAGUUUUAUGUUGUAAUUUUUGUUAUAAGUUUCGUCUCAACUGCGAUGGUUAGGUUUUGAAUCAAAUACUUUACAAGGCGUUUCAUUUGUAAUAGUUUUCAUUUCUGUAGGACAAUAAAUAUUCUCGUUUGAUUCGUUUUUUUUACUUAGUCUCUAAAUUUAUUUCGCCGGGUUAUCCGGAAUGUGUUUAACUCGUAUAGUAUAUUUUGUCUCUCUGUUAAUUUGGGCCGACAAGAACUAAGGAAAUAUAUUGACCACCUCCUUCGCUUGUCGGCAAGAACUUUCGUGCUCAAUGCUUCGGGUCUUUAAAUUCUCAAUGUCAUUGACUUCUGUGGCUCCUCCAGUGGACUUGCGUUUUGCAUUUUUAGUUAAGGGAAAAAAAAGGUCUUGGCUAUUUUAUGGCAUUGAAUAGUCAUUAAAAUAUUUAAUUACUAGUAUAUUAUUAAUAUUUAAAAAAAACUAAAAUUUAUCUUUUUAUCGAGAAAGUUCAUCUUAAGAAUGGUAGAAAGGCUCGAUCCAAUCAUUGACCAAAUUGAUUCAACCAUAAUUUUUAUGACUUUAGCCCAAACUUAAGGAGUUAAUGAUUGGGUUAGGGCUCAAGGAAUCAGACCCAAUAUAGGGCCUUAUCAAAAGACUCAGACCCGAUUCUUAAAUUAAUUUUUAAAAUUAAAAAAAUAUAAGAAUUGAAAGUACAUACGCAUCAUACAUGUGUAUUUUGUACUUGAUUUAUUUACUUGUUAAUUUGGUUAGAUUUUACAUGUUGUAUUGUUGUUAAAGCUAAAUAAAAAAUUAAUUUAUUAAAUUCCUUACAACCAAAAUAAAAAAAAACAUGAAAUAAUAUUAUCAAUUAAAAAAGAAUGAAGAAUUGGAGCAUUAUUCUAAAAUGUUGUGAAAGCGUGUGGUUGAACAAUUACUAAUAUUACAAUGACUGUGAUUUUUGGAGAUAUAUAAAUGUGGUAAUAAAUAAAUGCAAAGAAAAUAAGACACAAUAAUUUACAUGGUUCGGCAUAAUGCUUAUAUUCACGGACAAAGACUAGAAGAUAAUUUUACUAAUAAUGAGAAUUUACAAAAUUGAAAAAAACUCACAAAACCUAAUACUCAAUACACCCAAAUAGAUCCCCUUAACAUCCAAAGAAACCCUCCUCUAAAACUCACUUAAAACAAACUUUGAUCUCACAAAUUUUAUAGGAAGUAUUACUCACCUACCACACGACUUCAAUUUGACUUGGCCAAAUUGAUAAAUUUGGCAAUCAAUGCCAACUUUUUCAUGCAAUGCAUGCUAGCUGUCUGAUGCAAUUAUUCAAUUUGGACUUGACUCUUCAACAUAAAAGAAGCAUCUAAGAAUUAAAAAACAAGAAUUAAAAAUUAAAAAACAAAGAAUUAAAAAAAAAAGUCCGAGUGGGGCUAGCAAGAAUUAAAAAACAAGAAUAAAAAUUAUGGUGGGGCUCGGAUAAAGUCCGAGUACAACCCUAAUUUGUAGGGUAAGGCUUUUUAAGGGUUAGGACCCUUCAUUUUACAAAACUGAGCCCAACCCGUCCCCUUCCAAAGCCUAGUUCCUCCAGCACUGCACCUUGCAGGCUUGCACCCGAAUUAGACGCAUGGAUGAUAUACUUUUUGGCUAUUGGAACAUAAGGGAACAUUUACUUUCCUUUUUUAGAAUUGGAAUAAGAAGUGAGUACCCUAACGACGUGCUAGGGAGAUCAAUCAAGGGAAACAGCGUUGCUAUUUCAUCUCCAAGGCUCGUGAUCCCGGGCACGUGGGUUCUGUCUCAUCAGUAUUUCGCCAAUGACCUCUUUGAUUUCCAGAUAGCAAUUAAAAUAAUUUUUUGUGUUGUCUGUAACUGUUUGUAUAAAUUGUCAAAUUGACCAUGAAGCCCUCAAACUACAAGCAUAUGUUUAUUAAUUUGCUGAUUGGUUCCUGAUCUUCGCAGAUUGUUCCAGCCAUGGUUGCCAUGUUUGUGUAUAAGGCUGCUGCUCUUGUUUAAGUUUGCAGAGACAACGAAGACUUGCAAUUUGUUUUUCCGGAAAACGAGGGUAUUUCAUGUAACUGAAAUUAUCCACAUUAGUGAUCUCUUGGAAUAUUUCACCUUGAUUCUGAAAUAUUUUGAAGCCCAAAAAGCUUUGCAAAGAAUAGUUCAGUUUCCUGAGUGGCUCAAAAGUAAAGUUGAUUGAUUAAACGUAAACUUCAGAGAUUUAUAGGCAACUAUCAGGCAUGUCUUCCAAUCUUAUACCAAACUUUCCAUUGCAUACCACGAGAUGAUAAGUGCUUAAACAAUAUGUAAUGAUGGAUGAUAUGGAACCAUCUGAGUUUCAAGUACUUUCACAGUUUAGGGGCUUUUAGCACGAUAGAGUUGAUAAAUUUGAAUUGUCAGUAGUCAUUUGUACUGGGAUGUCAAUCGUCAAAGUUGUUUGUGAGAAUAUGGGCAAAAUAUUUAAAUGUAAGUUUCUACAUUUCUGCAUUCUAUAGAAGCAAAAAGCUUUUUAUUCCGCAAUGGAAGAGUGUAAGACUUGUAUAUCAGGGUAAUUUUUUUUUUUCAAUUUUCUUCAUCUUUUGAGACAAAGAAACAUAAAUUUUAUGUAAAACUGAACCAUUAGGUUAACAGCUAUCUGAUUUGGUUCUAAAAUUUAAUUUACGUUAGCAUAAAAUUCAGUUAAUCACGACCCAUGGUAACCAUGAUUGAUCUAAUGGUUGAAACAUAGUGUCAAAAAUUAUAUAAUUUUAGAGGGUUCCAAUGUCCAAUCCUUCCCCUUUAUUGUGUAAGUAAUUCAUUUCUUGUUAAAAAUACAUGAAACAACAGAGUACGUACAAACAUGAAGAAAUCUACUAAAAUUUACUUACAAAGCAGCCAAAUCUAUCCAUACAGCCAUCCAAGAAACGACAGUACUUGUACCUCCAUCCUCUGUUCAAAAGUAGAGGGCCUAUGAAGCACCAAAAACCUACCACAAAUCCAACUGCAAUGCUUACAUACAACAACCAGUCCACUUCAUCUUCAUCUUGCUCGGCAUUUCCGUUUGGAUCUUCAGGUGCACGUGCAUUGUUCUCAGUACAAUUAGGAAGUGGAGGUCCGCAGAGAUUGUUUCCAACAAAACAGGAUGCAUCAAAGCUUUGCAAUUGAGUGCUUGAAGGAAUUUUUCCAGUCAAGAGAUUGUUGGACACGUUCAAGUGAUUCAGAAAUGACAAACUUGACAUACUUUGAGAAAUCUUACUAGAAAGUUGAUUCGUUGAGAAAUCAAGAGAUUCAAUUGAUAUCAAAUUACCAAUAUUCUCUGGAAUUUGCCCAGUAAAAAUGUUGUGGGACAAAUUCAAUGAUUGCAAUCCCCUAAGAUAUGUCAGUUCCAUAGGUAUUUCUCCUGAGAAAUUAUUCUUGGAAACAUCAAUGAUUCUUACCAAAUUAAGAAUGGAGUUAUAUUCAACCAUAGAUCCUUUCAUCACAAUUGAUGCAUCCUCCAGAACCUCACAGUCGUAGGCUGUUACUUCAAAGUAGGACAUAGCAUUACUUUGAUGAGAUGAGUCAAUUGUUGCCAUAGCAGAAAAGUUAUUAACGCAUCCCGGCAUGGUCCCUGAGAGACUGUUAUUUGCAACAUCUAAAAUUUGUAGAGAAGUUAGACGACAAAGUUGAAUCGGUAAAAAGCCAUCAAACUUGUUUGAUCGAAGAAUGAGAAUCAACAAACUUGUAAAUCCUUCUCCCAUCCAUGUUGGAAUCUUGCCGACAAACUCAUUGUCACCCAAGUUAAGUACUUCCAAAUUUGAAAAAUUCUUAAAUGACUCAGGAAUUAGUCCAGACAAUCUGUUAUUGCGAAGGUUCAAUGACAAAAGAGAACUUAAAGUUCCCAUUGAGAUCGGAAGGCUGCCGCUAAAGUUGUUGUUACCUAAAUUCAACACAUGCAAGUUAGGCCAAUUCAUCCAACAAUCAGGAAUGUCCCCAGAAAAAUUAUUUUUUGAGACUUUUUGAAAAUAAAUGCUGUGUGACUUAUUCUCGCCGUUGCAUAUGAAAUGGAUCAUGGAUCCCGACAAAGAAUUAUUGGAAAGAUCAAGUAUGGGCCUUAAAGCAGGUGUAUGGGGCGGUAGAGGGUCAAAAUCCGGAAUCUCACCAUAGAUUUGGUUGCUAGAGAUAUUCAAAUACUCAUACUGAAAAAUGGAAUUCCAAAACCAACGAGGAAUAGUAUCUGAAAUUCUUGCAUUGGAUAUAUCCAAAACAGAUAAAUUCUUUUGUGAAUGAAGCCACGAUGGAAAUUGAGGUCCUAAAUGACAUGACAUCAAGAGCAAUGUUUUGAGUUGGAAAGGAGGAACCCAAUAGGGAUUCACUUGCAAGAUUAGCGAGUUUCCUGAUGCAGAAAACCAAGUCAAUUUUGUUAGAUUGACAAAGUGAAUUUCAGAAAGUGUUCCAUUCAUCUUGUUGUUGGACAAAUCUAGAUAUUCUAAGUGUGAAAUUUUUCCCAAAGACAAUGGAAUAGAACCAUUCAGCAUGUUUCUAGAAAGAUCUAGUCUUGUCAAAGAUGAAAGAUCUCCUAAAGCAGGUGGAAGUGGACCUGAAAUGCAGUUGUCAUCUAGGGAAAGUGUGCGCAGACUUUUAAAUUGGCCGAGUUGACUUGUCAAGUGACCAGAAAUUUGACUACUGCUCAAAACCAGCGACUCUAGUGCAGACGCACCACAUGCAGAUAAAAUAUCUAAGACUUGUGAUAGGUCUUGACUCAAUUUGACAUCCGAGACAUCAAUUGAUGUCAACUCACAAAGUCUUACAAAUGAUGUUGGAAUCGGCCCUCCAAGCUCAAAAUUUAAGGAAAGGUCGAUUGUUUUGAUAGAAGUCAAGUUUUCAAGACCAAUUGAUGAAAUCGUACCCUGCAAGCCAUUACUACUAAGAGAAAGGAACUCAAGAUGAUUAAACUUAGACAACCAGCCAGCUGUUGUAGAAUUGAAUUUGUUUGCAGAUAAAUCAAGAUGUCUAAGAGACGUCAGGUUUCCCAGUCUGUUGGGGAUUUGACCUUCAAAUUGAUUAUAGCUCAGAUCCAUAAUGACUAAAUGACGGAGACCAAAAACCCAGCUGCCGUAUUGAAAAAAAGAGUUAUGAAAAUAAUUUUGGAAAGAUCGAGGGCGUUAAGAGAGGAAUAAUUUCCAGAGGGCAAUGGAGGAAAGUGAUGGAUUUCGCAGUCAGACAACUUUAAUACUUUUAAAGAAGGGAGUGAGUUUAUCACCAGUAACCAAUCAGAGGCUUUAUUAAGGUUCAUCUGACUAAGAUCGAGGUGUUCUAGCAAAGAUAGACCAGAUAGCCAUGAAAAACUAUGUACUUGCAACGCAUAUUCCGACCAACUGAGAUCAAGACAUCGCAGAUUAGAGAGAUUUCCAAGUUGGUGAGGAAUUAUUCCUGCAAAUUCGGCUCCAGAGAGAUUGAGAUAUCUUAGGUUCUUAAGAGAACCAAGAUAUUUGGGAAUCCGAAUUCCCUGAAAAUCAUUACCGCUUAAGUCCAAGUGAGUCAAAUGCUUUAAAUCAACCAAAGAAGGAUUUACAUUACCACUCAGCAUUGACCUCAUGUAAUCUUCAUAUUCAGUAGUGGCAUAUCUGAGAUCAUUUCUGAAAGGAUUUCGCAGGCUGAGCUGAAGGACAUGGCCAGUAAGGUUGCUACAAACAACUUCAGCCCAUUUGCAGCAAUCUCCAUCAACAACCCAAGAGCCAAGACGGUUGGAAGGAUCUUUGAGAUCUUGUUUCAACUUUAAAAGCGCUUCUCUCUCACUGUCUGUGCAACCCACGUAAGAGUUGCCACUGCAGAAACUAGAUAUUGCAAAUAACUCAAGGAAAACAAGGGCAACAGAAACACUCAUUGUUGAUUUCAUUGCUGUGGAUAGAAAUCAGUUAAUGAUAAGAAAAGGAAGCGUGCUGAUGGGAAAUGUUAUCAUCUUGCUUGCUAUUUAUACUCAAUUUGGAAUUAAAUGUUUCACAAGUGAAAACACUUUAGCGUUGCGGCAAAGAAAUUUCAACGCAUUCACACGUCUUCCCUCAGUGGACUUGCAAUUUUUAUUAUUAUAAAGUGGACGAACGUGACACACGAGGCAUCCUUAAGCCGACCCCCUAACAUAUAAAAAUUAUGAACGUGACACACUUGUCAUUAAUAAGCCAGCCCCCUGAUAUGUUAAUUUGUAGUUAACAAGUGAGCUAGAGUUGAGAAAGAAAGACGAGAGGAAGUUUUGCAAAAGCUUAAACUUAUAUUCAUUUAUUCCAUGAGCUACACAUAUAUAUAGUCUCUGAACUAAACACUUAAGCUAGAAAAUAGAAUAACAGUAGCAGAUAAUCUGGAAAAUAACUAACUGGUGCCGAAAAAUCAGCACUCGAGAUUAUUCAACGGAACCACUAAGGUCUAACAAACUUGACCAAGUCUUGAUGAUGACCAAAUCUUCCACUCACUCUCCUCCCGUUUUAAAGUUGAAGACGUGCAUGCAAUCCCAAGCAUUUUCAUACGUCCCAUGCAUUUCCAUACAUGGUCUGAAGGCAUGCAUGCAAUCCCCAUGCACACGAGCACAUAUCAUUCCCCCCCACUCACAACAUCCUUGUCCUCAAGGAUGAAAUCAGGGUAUGUCUUGGCAAAACGCCACUCAGUUUCCCAGGUGGCAUCCUCCACUGGCGCACAAGCCCAUUUAACCAAUAGCUGAGGUUUUGGGCGAUAAUUACCUUUACGUAUCACACGCCGACCCAAGAUAGCCUCAGGCUAUGGAAGAAGUGUUGAAGUUUCUGACACUGGAGGAAGUCGGGGAGAAGCAAGUGGUACGGAUCCCAAAUGCUUACGUAGUAGACUAACAUGAAAAACAUUAUGGAUUUGAGAACCAAGCGGAAGAGCCAACUUAUAAGCAACCGAGCCCACCUUUUCAAUGAUUUGAUACGGACCAAAAUAACGUGCAGCAAGCUUCAUGGAGCCACGAAAGGCCACUGAUGUCUGCCGAUACGGCUGUAACUUUAAAUACACAUAAUCCCCCACGUGGAAAUUUACUUCUCGUCGAUGCUGGUCCGCUUGAGAUUUCAUACGGUCCCGAGCCCGGAAAAGGUUCUACCGUAACUCAUGCAAAAUAGAAUCCCUGUCUCGCAAGUAUUCAUCCACUGCUUGGACCCGCGAAGUACCCGGUACAUAUGUUAAUAAGCUUGGGGGCGGAAUGCCAUAGACAGCUUCAAAGGGCGAUAGUUUGGUGGACGAAUGAAUGGCUGUAUUAUAGCUGAACUCAGCCCAGGGGAUCCAUUCCAGCCACUUCCGUGGCUGAUCGCCUGCAAAACAGCGUAGAUACUGUUCCAAGGUGCGAUUGACCACCUCAGUUUGGCCAUCAGAUUGUGGGUGAUAACUAGAACUCAUGCAUAACUUGGUCCCUUGCAGUUGAAACAGAGUACGCCAAAACGAACUGAUAAAUACCUUAUCUCGGUCACUAACAAUCGAAGUGGGAAUACCGUGUAGACGAACCACAUUGCUGACAAAUGCCUUGGCUACAAUUAUAGCAGUAAAAUGGUGCUUUAAGGGCACAAAGUGGGCAUACUUCGUUAACCGAUCCACGACCACCAUGAUGACGGUGUACCCAUUAGAAGAUGGUAACCCUUCUAUGAAAUCCAUUGAAACGUCAGUCCACAUUUGUUUCGGAAUGGGUAGCGGCUGUAAUAGUCCGGCAGGCCUUAUAUUAUCUACUUUAUAUCGUUGGCAGAUGUCACAAUGUUGCAAGAAUUCUUUCACCGUCCGCCUCAUGUUGGGCCAUAAAAACCUACGCUUGAUGCGAGCAAGAGUUUUAUGGUAACCGAAAUGCCCACCUACAGGAGAUGCAUGACAGUCGGAGAUUAUCUUAGGAAUCAGUGAGGAAGUGGAACUCAAGUAAACUCUAUCACGUUUGAACCAAACUCCAUCUCUCUGUAACAACUGGUUAGACUGAGACGAGCUCCUCUGAGAUAGGCCUUCAUAAAACGUGUCCUGCUGUACCUCCCGUUGAAGAACUGGCCACCAAUUUGCAUGGGGUAACGAAAUUGCUAAAAACUCCACCAUUCGAGAUAAUGAAUCGGCACCCUGAUUCUCAGCCCCCUUUUUAUAUUCAAUUUCAUAAUCAUACCCAAGGAUCUUAGGUAGCCAUCGAGUUUGUGCUGGUGUUGUGAUCCGCUGUUCCAACAGAUAUUUGAGACUUUUUUGGUCAGUUCGAAUGGUAAAUGGUUUCCCGAGUAAAUACGGUCGCCAUUUGCGGAUUGAUUUAAUGAUAGCAAGCAUUUCUUUUUCAUAUGUGGACAACGCCAAAGCAGAACCUUUUAAGGCCUCACUAAAAUAAGCUACUAGUUUGUUUUGUUGAGAGAGGAUGGCUCCAAUUCCGAUCCCACUUGCAUCACACUCGAUCACAAAGCGUUGGGAAAAAUCCGGUAGACGCAAAACAGGUGGAGAAGUCAAUGCUGUUUUUAAUUGAUCAAAAGCCGCGACUGCAUCCUUAUUCCAAUGGAAGCCAUCUUUAGUUAAGAGCCUGGUCAAAGGAGCUGCUAUACACCCAAAAUUGCGAAUAAACUUCCGGUAAUAUCCAGCCAAACUAAGAAAUCCACGAACCCCCUUCGUCGUCGUUGGCGUAGGCCAAUCAAUGACUAUUUGUAUUUUAACAGGAUCAACAGCCACACCUUUUUCGGAGAUGAUAUGACCCAAAUACUCAACCUGUAAAACUCCAAAUUGACACUUUGACUCUUUGGCAAACAAGCUGUUAGUUGAUAAAAUAUCUAAAACUUGACGAAGAUGCGAGAGGUGAUCUUCCCAAGUUCGAGAAUACACCAAUAUGUCGUAAAAAAAAACAAGUAUGAACCUCCGAAGAUAUGGACGAAAAAGAUCAUUCAUGAGACUCUGAAAGGUUGCAGGAGCAUUGGUAAGUCCAAAUGGCAUCACAAGAAACUCGUAAUGUCCCUCGUGUGUACGAAAGGCUGUCUUUGAAACAUCCUCCCCCUUCACACGGAUUUGGUGGUAACCUGCUCGUAAAUCCAACUUUGAGAAGAAUUUGGCGCCGUGGAGUUCAUCUAAGAGUUCAUCUAUGACUGGGAUUGGAUAUUUAUCUUUGACUGUGAUAGUGUUAAGUGCUCUGUAAUCCACGCAAAAUCGCCAAGACCCAUCUGCCUUCUUAACUAAUAGAACUGGAGAUGAAAAAGGACUGCUGCUAGGUCGAACCAAUCCUGCUUGUAGGAGCUCUUUAACCAUUUUUUCGAUUUCAUUUUUUUGGUAGUAAGGAUACCGGUAUGGCCUUACACUCACUGGUUUUGUAUUUGGCUCUAAGGGAAUUUGAUGAUCAUGUGUCCGUUUUGGUGGUAAGCCAGAAGGUGGUUGAAAUACAUGACAAAAUUCAUUUAGGAGGCAUAUGAGGUCAGGUGGAUAUUCAUUCAAUUUAUUGGUAUUAGCAGGAAUAAUUUGAAAGAAAAAACCAGUGCCUUGUAAAUUGAGAAAUUCUUUACCAGUGAGAGCCUCCAUGCCCGCUCGUUCCAUUCCUCGGAAGGUAUGGAUGCCUUCUCCCUUUCUAAAGGUCAUUGUCAAUUUCUUAUAGUCCGUCUCGAUAGGCCCAAGAGUUUCAAGCCAUUGAACACCCAAUACUAAUUGACAUGCUGCAACUGGUAGGAUGUAAUAAUCUGCGGUGAUAAGAUGACCUUGAACUGUGAGAGUGAGUCUCUGGCACUGUCCUGCACACUCUAUCUGUUCUCGGUUUGCAACCAUGACCUGAAGCUUCUUGUCACAAACCACUGGUAACCUAAACUUGGAGACAAUAGCUUGAUCAAUGAAAUUAUGAGUACUUCCCCCAUCUAUUAAAACCGUAACAUCCUUAUUCUUCAGUUUGCCUUGGACACGAAUGGUUUGAGGAUGUGUUGUACCUGCAAUAGCAUGAAAAGAGACUUCUGGUAUUACGUCAUAAUGCUCUGGUACAUGUUGAGCUUCUUCAUCAUUAGUGCAGUUAAAUUGGGGAGAGUCUUCUAUCAUAAAUAGUUGUGGCCGCUCACAACGAUGUCCUGGCACGAAUUUCUCAUCACAGUAGUAGCAUAAUCCCUUCUCUCUGCGUUCGCGUGCCUCUUGGUUGGUGAUUCGUCGAAAGGAAAUUGGUGUAUUAUUAGAGUUCUGAUUUUUUUUUUGGGCGGGCGGAGGUCCUAGCACGCUAGCUGUUGUAUUUGGCAUCGUCCUAGGCAUCACUGAGGUUGUUUGGAAAGGAUAGGACGUGCGAGCCUUUCUUUGCAAUAAGUUCCGUUCUUCAACGAGCCGAGCGACUCCUAUGGCGUCUGCCAAGGUUCGAGGUUGUUUGAUCUUAACGUCUAAGCGAACGUCAUCUCGAAGUCCUGCAACAAAACAGCCAACGAGAAAAUGUUGAGGUAAGCCAUCGAUCUGAUGGGAGAGCUUUUUGAAGGCUUCUUGGUAGGUUGCUACUGUUGUAGUCUGUUUGAGGCGAGACAAAGCUUCAGACGGGUCCUCGUAGUCGGUCGGGCCGAAACGGAGCAGGACUGCCUUGGUGAACUCCUCCCAACUUAAAGGUCCACGAAACUUCAUCAACCAUCUCUGCCAUUGUAAGGCAAUUCCCUCUAAAUGGAAAGAGGCCAGUUGAACUUGUUGAUCAGGGGCAAUAUCUUUGAAGUCAAAGUAUUGUUCUGCUCUGUAGAUCCAGCCACUUGGGUCUUCACCGUUAAACUUUGGAAACGACAAAUUUAUAUGGUGAUGGGUCCUGUCAGUAGUUGGACCAUGGAGAGAAGGGCUUGGUUGGUUUCGGUUUUGUGAGGAUUCUGCAGGGGCAAGGGAAUUGGUUUCAGUAUUGACAGUGUUUGAGCUACGUGAUACUCGAAGGGCUUGAAGCUCUGUCAAGACCGUUUGCAAGGUGGCAUUAACUUGAUCAAAGCUUGACUCAUGGCGGGCUAUAAUUUCACUAACUUCGUUGCGGAAUUCAGCAUUAGUUUUGCCGCGAGUAUCCGUGAUCUAACCUGCUCUGAUACCACUGAUAUGUUAAUUUGUAGUUAACAAGUGAGCUAGAGUUGAGAAAGAAAGACGAGAGGAAGUGUUGUCAAAAGCUUAAACUUAUAUUCAUUUAUUCCAUGAGCUACACAUAUAUAUAGUCUUUGAACUAAACACUUAAGCUAGAAAAUAGAAUAACAGUAGCAGAUAAUCUGGAAAAUAACUAACUGGUGCCGAAAAAUCAGCACUCGAGAUUAUUCAACGGAACCACUAAGGUCUAACAAACUUGACCAAGUCUUGAUGAUGACCAAAUCUUCCACUCACUCUCCUCCCGUUUUAAAGUUGAAGACGUGCAUGCAAUCCCAAGCAUUUUCAUACGUCCCAUGCAUUUCCAUACAUGGUCUGAAGGCAUGCAUGCAAUCCCCAUGCACACGAGCACAUAUCACCCCCUAAAAUACAAAAAAAAAAAAUUAAUGAUAAUAAACGUGACACACGAGUCAGUGAGCCAGCCCCUACAACAGAAAAAAAUAAUAAUAAUAACAACGAACAUGACACACGAAUCAUUAAGCCAGCCCCACGUACAAAAAAAUAUCAAAAGUGUUGGGGGGGGGGGGGGGGGGGGGCGGGAAUGAUGGGUUUCUUUAGUAAUUUUGUCCUCAAAAUCAAGGUGGUACAACUAACAGUAAUUUCUGAUGGAAAUAAUUAUCUCGCACAUCUUAUAUCAGCAAUAUCUAUCAUUUUAUUAAUGUGCACAUAUGAAGAGAAGGGUUGAUUUAAAUUUCAAAUAUAAUUAUAUAUGGAAGAAGAAAGCAUCAAAAUCAUUGCUUUGGAUCAUCGAGUCUUCAAAUACAUUAAUUUAUUGCUUGGUUGGGUCCUUACGUGGAGUUUCAGUUUGCGUUAUUAGAUUGGAAGAUUGCGACAGUGUGGCUUUAAGCCACUUCACUUAUACGUUGGCCACACUCGCGGUUAAUUCAAGAAGGAAAAAUAAAUUUAUCUGUCUGCUUCACUUUCAAACAUCAAAUCUUCAAAGUCAUUGAUUAACUGCUUGGGGUUGGUCCCCCAGGGAGAUUGAAAGAUUGUGCCACAUUUAACAUAAGCCCCGCGGACUCCUGGAAAAUUUUCAAGGAAAAUCAAUUUAGCUGUCUACGUCGUGCAGAUUGAUAACCUGUUUGCAUGUUGACUGAUAAUCAUACCCGGUAAAUAAAUUAGAGGAUAAUAGAUUUAUAAAUUUUGAGAAUGAUUCACCAUUUUUUAAAAAACACUCUACUCUUUUAUAGUGAUAAACGAGUGAGAACUAUUGACACCCUUUAAAAUUAUUCUAAAACUCUUAUUUUAUUAUAAUUACAUUGAGUAAAAAGGCACCUAUACGUUUAAGAUUUUAAGAAAUGGUCAUAUUAAUCUUCAUAUUUUCAAUAAGGAUACCAAAACUUCAUUUUGACUAAGGUGCUCUAUUAACUCAAAAAAAUUAACUCCAAUAUUUUAUUAUAAAUUGAAGAAAAUAUUAAAGUAAAUGUAUAAUAUAUACAUUUAAAAUAAUUUCAAUAUUUAAAAAAUAUUUGAAUACUUUACAAUCUUAUAAUAUAUUAAACCAAAUAAAUAGAAGCACAAUAUUAAAAUAAAUAUAUCAAAAUUUAAGUUAUUUUCAAUAUUUUAUAAAAUAAUUUUAAUAUUGUUAAUAAAUUAGAUACAUUUUGUUAAUUGUAAAUUUUAUUGAACCCAAAGACUUAUUUAUAAUUUCUAUAAUAAAUACAAAUUAUUAUUAAAAUAUAUAUAAUAAUUUAUAUUUUGAAAAUUAUUUUGUAUAUUAAAAGAUUUUAAUAUUAUUUGACUAAUAGACAAAUUAAACUAUUUAAAUUAUAUUUAUAUUUAUUAAAAAAUUAAAGCAAAUUUUUUUAGUUACUAUUUACUAAUGGUAUUAUAGUCAAAAGAAAGAUUUGCCAAGGUUGAAUCAUUUGCUGCAACUCAAGAAUGAAAUACAAGUGUGCAACCCAAGAGGGGGGGUGAAUUGGUAUUUUAAAAAUUAUCAUAACAAAGCCACACAACAAUCCAAUCUAAUGCCUUAAUAAAUUCGAAAGCAAUAAGUUCAAUAAAAGCACAAUAACAAAUGAAUAAAGAGAAGAGAAACAAACACACGAAUUUUUACGUGGUUCGGCAAUCCCCACCCACGUCCACGCCUCCAAGCGAUCUAAGCUUGAAGAUUUCACUAUCCAAGCUUUCCAAGGCUUUAAAUGUUUACAAUUGACUUCAAGGUGUCAAUGAACCUUUACAACAAAGAGAUUAUCUCUCAAUCUCUUCACUCAAGUGUCUCACACACUUAAACACUUACAAUUAAGAUGAGGAAUUGAAAAUUACAAUGAAAUCUCUCUUAAAGAGUAGAUAUACAAAUUAAAGAACAAAAGAUGAUUCAAGGUUUUAUGAUUUGCGAAAUGAGAGAUCAAUGAACGUUGUGUGCUUUUUUAUUUUUGCUUGCAUGAGAGCUUGAAAAUGAAUUGGAUUUGAGUUUAUAUAGUUUGAGCUCAAAAACUAGCCGUUAUGCACAUUUUGGUGAUAAUCAGCUUACCGUUUAUGAAAUCCGGUUAGCCGCUUUUAUGUUACCGUUACAGCAAAAAUUUGAAUUUAAGAAAAUCUGGCAUGCCGCUUUUCAUAUCCGGUUAGCCGCUUUUGAAAUCCGGAUAGCCGCUUGCGAAAUCUAGAUAGUCACUUAUGUUCCAGAAGCUUACUGCCCAACAUUCGGCUAGCCGUUUGUCACAUCCGGUUAGCCGCUUGCUACAGUAACCAGUACAGUGCAUUAUUUUCUAAAAUUAUAUUUUGACCCCAAAACGUUAUAAAAUUUUAUUAUAGCCUAAAAUGUUAUGAAAGUUUUCAAAUAGAUCCAAUUUCAUAAUUUCUAAAUAAUGCUUUGUCAAUCCCAAAACUUUUUGAAAUUAUAAUAGCACCCAAACUAUGUGAAAUUAUAGAAUGACCCAAAAUAUUUAAAUAUUUUCAAAUAAGUCCAAAUCUGAAAUUUUAAAACAAUAUCAAAGAUUAUAAAAUACUUUCAUUUUAGUCCAAAACACUUAAAUUCAUAAAAUCAUUUGCUUACUAUAAAAACACAAUUCACAAAUCUUUGUUUAACUAACACAUGUGAUUUGUUAUCAUCAAAAUCAAUAUUUAUAGCCAUAUAGGCUAAUAAAGAAAAGCCAAUAAAAUUCAGUUUUAGUUCCCUUGUCGGCACAAAACCAAUUGAAUCAAAUUUGUUUCUCUCUCUCUUUCUCUCUCUCUCUUUUGUAGUCUCAUCUAUACAGUUAAUUUGCUCAAACUUGUUUUCUUUUUUUAAUUUGAUUAUUUUUAUUUUUGGAAGCUAGUGUUUUUGAGUUUUGUCGAGAGAGAAUAUUUGAAAAAGGAGAUUAUUUUUUUUAAAAAGGUAUUUUUGGCAUUAAAGACAAUAUAAUUGGAAAAAAAUUUAAGAUGAUUUUGGAGGGGUCAUAUAUUAUAUACAAUAUACUACAUGGGUGGGAUAUUUCCACCCCAUUAUUUGUAUAAACCCAUCCCAUUUCUAAAAAAUAUUUACAAUAAAUACAUAUUUUUCUAAUAAAUACAAAUCAACAAAAAAAAUUAUGUAAUUAAUCAAUUAAAUCGUUCUUAUAUUUUUUUCUUACUUUUUUUUAACCAUUAAAGUAGCUUUAAUAUAAGUUCUAUUUAAUUAUUUUGCUUUAUGACAUAAAAUGACCCAUUGACCCAAAAAAAAUGUGUUCUUGUAUCUAAUACUUUAGAUACUUAAUUUUGUGACUUAAUCUAGGUUCUUAAAUGAAGUCUAAUAGUUUUCAAUGUUUUAUAUGUAAAUGACAUAAAUUUGACAGCCUAAUAAUUUAAUGAGUAUUUUUUUCAUAAAGACAUUAUGCUAGUUUAAUUAAAAAUAGUCAAUUUAAAUUUAGGUUUAAGUAAUCUUAUUAGUCACAUAUAAUAAAAAAAUAAGUCACAAUAAAAUAAAUUAAGAUAGAUUUAAUUGAUUAAUUCUUUUGAAUUCUUCUUUAUUUGAAAUUUUUAAAAAUAAUGAAAAUUUUUUGUAAUUAUUUUCUAAAAGUGGGGUGGAUUUGUUGAAUUUGUAGGGUGAAAAUAUCAUCACCCACAAUACACAUGUCCAUAUAAAGAGAGUUAACACAUAAAAGUCGUAUAAAUACGUUCAAAUAGCGCCCAACACAGAAAAUUAAACUAAUCCAAACUUUUUUUUUUUGAAUUAAGGUAAUCAGGGGGUUGAAAAAAGAAACUUUGCAUAAAUAUGCACAAACGAUAUAAAGUGAUGUGGUAUGAAAAUUGUGAUUGAAUAAAGCAAAUGGGCAAUGUUAUAACUAUUAAUUCUUUUGUACCAAUUGAUGUGAUAUUAUAUGAGUGGUUAAACGAAUACAUCACCAAGCUUAUUUUUAUUAUUUUAUAUUUUUAUUCAACUAAUUCUUAUAUCAUAUUAGUUUGUAUAAAAAUAAUUUUUAUAAAAUUUUGUAGUUAUAACAUCACUCAAAAAGUUAUAUGGCCUACAAUUUUUUUUUUAAUUAAGGUUGUGGCUAUUUGAACCUCAAAAUUCCUCUGCAUACCCAUACUUUUAUUGAAAGUUUUAUUACUAAAUUAUCUGUAAACAAAAUUAUUAAUAAAGACAUAAUAGUGAGAUGAUUUUUUUUUUUAUCAUAUUUAAGAUCUUACUUUAAUUGGUCUAAACAAGAGAAAUUGAAGUGAACAAUUGAUUCUGAUAUUAGAAAUAUGCCAACCAAUUAUGAGAAAUUGGAUACAGAUUUACAAAUGGGUAAUUUCUUGAUUUUGGCAUGAUAAGGCAAAGCAGCAAACAUGCAUAAGAAAAUGAAAUGUGCAUAAGAGAAUGAUAUCAUGUUGGUUGUUAUAAGGUCCGCUGUUUAUUCAUACGAUAUUUCCAAUCUAAUUAAUUUAGAAUGUAAAAUUGAAAUAGCAAACACAUCGAUUGUCCUUAUUCCAAAGAAACAGUGGUCUGAGGUGUUGUCAGAUAUGAGGAUGAUUACACUUUGUAAUGUGCUUUAUAAAAUAGUCUCCAAGAUGCUAGCUAAUCGCAUGAAAUCUGUUCUUGACUCGGUUGUUUCAAAAUCUCAGAGUGCCUUUGUUCCCGGUCGUGCAAUUACCGAUAAUAUAAUUGUCUCGACAAAAAUUAUGCACUUUUUGAAGAGGAAGAGGCAAGGAAAACAUGAUGUCACUGCUCUAAAGAUCGAUAUGUCCAAAGCAUACAAUAGGAUCAAGUGGGGUUUCUUUAGGAUAUGAUGCUUAAACUGGGUUUUGACACUAAAUGCGUGAACUUUAUCAUGCUUUGUGUGACAACAGUUCGUUACAAUGUGCAUCGUGAGGGUUGGGAGGUGGGUCCAAUUAUGCCAAGUAAGGGUCUACAUCAAGGUGAUCCAUUGUCUCCGUAUCUUUUCAUUUUAUGCGCAGAGGGUCUUAGUUCUUUGAUCAAGAGACAUGAGAGGCUUGGUUUGCUUCAUGGGGUGAGAGUUGAUCAAAAUGCUCUAGUGGUGUCUCAUAUUUUUUUCGCCGAUGAUAGCUUUCUAUUUUUUAGAGCAAAUCAGGUUGAAGCUUUUAUCAUUAAGCAGAUUUUGGCUAUUUAUGGAUGUGCUUCUGGUCAGAUGGUAAAUUUCACUAAAUCAACCGUUUCAUUUAGUGCUAAUGUGAAUGCUAGUAUUUUUAGUCAGAUUUAUGGAACCCCGGAUGUUAAUGCUACAGAAGAUCAUGGAGCUUAUCUCAGAUUUCCAUCUCAUAUUGGUCAAAAGAAAAAAGUUGUCUUUAAUUAUAUUCGGGACAAAGUUCGACAGAGGCUGUAAGGUUGGUCUCGAGCUGGAAAGGAAAUCUUGCUGAAAACGGUGGCUCAAGCAAUGCCUAAUUACGCCAUGAAUGUCAAUCUCCUACCCCUUGACUUAUGUAAGGAGCUGGAAGUUGUGAUGAAUUCCUUUUGGUAGGGCAGCAAAAGCGGUGGUGGUAGGGGAAUUCGUUAGAUGAAGUGGGAGCACUUAUGUAAACCGAAGGAUUUUGAGGGAAUUGGCUUCAAGCAACUGCAUACUUUCAAUGUCACUUUGCUUGGAAAAUAGGUCUGGAAACUUCUUACAAAACCAGAAUCUUUUGUUGCUAAAGUUUUAAAGGCUCGCUAUUAUUCGAGAUCUACUAUUAAUGAAGCCAAAUUGGGGCACAAUCCGAGUUUUGUGUGGCGCUCUAUUUUAUCUGCAAAGGAUGUUGUUGUCUAUGGGAGCCGAAUUCAAAUUGGAAGUGGGCAGAAUGUUUUAAUAGGCCAAGAUCCUUGGCUGCCAGAUAUCAAUAAUAGCUUUAUCUCAUCUAAUCUAAAUGAGGAGCUAGCUGUUGCGAAAGUGAAUAGCUUGAUGGUGCCAAACCAAAGACAAUGGGAUUUAUAUAUUGUUUCUAAUCUUUUUAAUUCAAGAGAUAAAGAACUGAUCUUGCAAAUUCCUCUUAGCUACCAUAGAGUGUCUGAUAUGUGGUAUUGGUUGCAUGAUCCUUGUGGAGUUUAUUCAGUACGUAGCUGCUAUAAACUGUUAACUCAUAGUGCUAGUGAUUUUCUACUAGUAUUUGGAGAGCAUUGUGGAAUUUGGAGGUGCUGAAUAAGGUUAGGAAUUUUCUUUGGCGGGCUGCGACAAAUGUAUUACCUACUGCAGAUAAUCUUAUUCGUCGUAGAAUGGCUAUUAUGCCUACUUGCUCUUUGUACAAUGCCUAUGAUGAGAUUGUUACACAUGCUCUACUGGAAUGUGGCUUUGCUAAGUCUUGUUGGAUUUCCUUUACUGUUGGUUAUUUGUUAUGAAACACAACCCCUUCUUCAAUCUUGAUCAAUCAGCAAUCUAAGUAACCUUGACCAAUUGCUCAAGUAACUAAUGGUUCUAACCAGGAAAUUGAGAAUCAAGAACGUAAAACUAAAUGAAAGAGAGAAAAAGAUAAAGAAAACAGAGAAAAGAAACACAGCAAGAUAACGUGGUUCGGUACCAAGGUACCUACAUCCACGACUGAAAACACCCUUAGGGCUUGAAACGUUUAUUAAAAAGAUUGAUUACAACAGAUCUUGAGAAUACAUAGAACAAAUCUCUUUUUUACAGAAUUCUCUAAAUCUCACUUAAUCCCAAUCGAAAUCUCUUCUUAAGGUGUUGAACUGACCAACUCUGCUUCUUAAAUACUAAAUCCAUAAGCAUGUAGAACUUGUUGUAACAGAAUUAACCGUCAAAGGGUCCCAUUUGCCAGCUCACCAAGCCACCUCAGUAUUACUAUUUUUAACAGAAUAUAACUAACAUGUUUCAAAAUUCCAGGCCAUUGUCUGUCCUUAAGCCUCUUCACUUUUCUCCCAACUUGAUUUUCCAUCAGGGCUGUCCACUCCUUGAACUUCUUUAAGGCUUCACUUUUCUGCUUCAACACAUAAACCCAAAGUUUCCAAGAGAAGUCAUUUAUGAAGGUAAUAAAGUAUCUUGCUCCACCAUGAGAUGGAACUUGUGAUGGCCCUCAGAUGUCUGAAUGAACAUAAUCCAGUGUUUGUUUGGUUUCAUGCUUCCCUGGAUUAAACUUUUGCCUAGUGGUUUUCCUAAAUACACACCUUUCACAGAACUCAAGGUGAGAAAUGUGAUCAUGAACAAAUAAUCCUUGUUUUUCCAGUUCUUUCAAACCUCUUUCACUCAUAUACCCUAGCCUCAUAUGCCAAAGUUUGGUCUUAUCACUGCUAACACUAGCAUUCACCUCUAACUUUAACAAAGGCGCCAUUAAGACAUGAUCUAUAUUUGACCAUUUUCAGCUUUAAUGCUACAACCCAACUGAUAUAAUAUCCCCAAAGAUAUUAGGUUUCUUUUAAGGUCAAGAACAUACUUAACUUGUUCAAGGUCUCUGGUUACUCCAUCAAACAUCUUGAUACUGACUAUUUCUAUUCCAGCAACCUUACGAGCAAGAUUAUUUCCUAACAAGACUUUGCCCCUAUCUAUAUUAUCAAAGAUUUUAAAGAGGUCUUUACAAGAACACAUAUGAAAUUGAUUCUAAAAAUCAAAUUUUAAAAAACUAAUCCUUUCCUAAUUUUCAAAGUUUCCUACAGGAUGGGGUGAUUUUGUCGUAAGUGAUUUUUUUUAAAAAAAUUUACUAAAUACGAAAAUUAGUUUUUAAUUUUUAAUAUCACUUUUGAAUCUCUCAAAAACAAUAACGAGCCAUUCAUUAAACAUUUAUAUUAUUGUUAAUAAUAUUACAUACUCAUUUCUUGAUCAAUGCUAAUAAUGUGUGACAAUUGUAUGUUACCAUAAAUUCUAUGGCACGAGACUUUUACAAUAUAAGUUUUAUUUGAUUAAUGCUAGACUACGAAAUGGUUGAAACAUAAUUAUAUACAUUUUAAAUUACAGUUGUCCAACCUCAAUUCCAAACGCACCCUAAAUUAAUUAGAUAAAAACACCACAUGACCGAGACUUGAAAUAUACACUAGUAGAUAAAGAAUGAAUACACGCGUAAGAGUUUGAUUGGUGUGCACGUGGAGUUUGAACAUGAGACUUUUAGCUCCGUUAUCACGUUCGAGAAACUUCUCUCAAGUAUUGUUUCUCAAUUAUAUUUCUUCUUGUUUAGCUCUCAUGGAAUAAGAGGAACAGUUUGAUUCCAAAAAUGGAGCAUCCCAAAGUAAAGAGAAAAAAAGGAACUGAGCCUGUUUUCUCUCGGGAAAAAUGUUUUGUACAGUCAUCACAUUCACACAGCUUUUAUGACUAAAACUUUUGAAACAAAAAUUUUCACUGAAAGAUAAUUAAAACUCGCUUUCCCUCAUUGAAAAUUUUAUGCCUCAGACGAUUCAGCAAGAGUCUAGGAAGUUGAAUCUGAUCUUUGAUUUCAUAUUCAGUUUCCAUUAUUGGACCACGUUUAUCAUCAAAUGGCAUCCAUGUGUGAGGAAAACGACAACAUUUUUGGAACCAGAUUUUAGUUAUUGACAGCUUGAAUUGAUAGUAACAUAACAUUGAACUUCAAUUCGAUCUCAAGUCUCAGUUAUUUAAUGGAAGAAUUUGGGUUCUGGCCUAUGGGGAUAGCUAGCCAAAGCUAUCAAUGCAGGAUGAGGGCCAAAGCUGUCAAAGCUAUCUCUGACUUUGUAGCUCAAAUUCUUGAAAUUUAACUUCUAACCAUUAUGAUUGAUUUCAAAAGAAAGUAGCUAGUACAUUACUUGAUGGGAAACCUCAUUAAUUUUAAAGUGAUGAUACUCCAUCCCACAUUUUUUAUAAAUCCAACCAAUUUUUAAAAAAUAAUUAUAAAAAUUGCACAUUAUUUUUAAAAGUUGUACAUUGAUUCACUUUUUUAACAUAUUUGAUUAUAAAGAUUGGUUUGACAUAAGUUUAAAUUGAAGUAAAAUUAUCAAGAAUUUACUUUAACUUUAAUUUUUUUCUAAUUUGUACCAAACUAGUUGUUUAUAAUACUAUUUUAUUAGUAUGAUUAUUACUUUUUAAUUAAAUUAACAUAACGUCUUUAUGGUACAAUUCUCAUAUAAAUUAUUAGACUGUCAAAUUUAUGUCAUUUACACAUAAGAGUAGUGAAAUAAUAAUUAAGUUUCAUUUUAAAAUAUUAAAUUAUAAGUUGCAAAAUUAAAUACCUAAAUUAUUAGAUAUAAUAACUCAUGUUUUAUGAGGAUAAUUUUGUCUUUUUAUAUCAUAAAAAUAAAAUAGUGAAAUAAAAUUUAUAUUAAAACUUAGGGAGAUUGCCAAUUUCCCCCUUAUUAAAAUCAUUAUAUACCAAUUCCCCCCUUAUUAUUUUCAUAAUGACCAAUUUCCUCCCUGCCGUUAUAACAGUAACAGAAGUUGCUCAAUUACAAGAAUUAUGUGUGUAGAAGAAUUAUUCUAAUUGGGGAAGAAAUGAGUGAAAAAGAGCUUAUAUAUCAGAUGCUACAAGCUAGCUUCACGUUUUUGGAAAAUUUCCAAAAACCAUAUAACGAACUUUAACAACUCAGGCCACGUCAGCAGAAAUUUACAAACACAUCCUUCAACUGAAUGCAAUCUGCACAAUGACCCAUGCAACUCUCACGUGAUUUCACUUUAGUCCCAAAAAUCAGUUAAUCACUUAUCCAGAUUUUUUUAAAGUUAUGGUGAAAUGAUGCCAUUUCAUAUGGUGAAACAAUGUCGUUUCACUUAUCUAGAAACGACAUGUCCUUUUUAUCAUUCUACAGAGGAUGACAUAUUGUUUUAUAUGGAAUGACAUGCAGUUUUAUAUAGGAUAACCUGUCAUUCUUUAUAGGAGCUUCUUUUAUUUUAAAAAAUCAUAUUACUCUUUUGAUGUCAUCACUUACAAACGGCAACUAACGGAUUAAUGGUUGACAUAUAAUUUUUGUUAACUUAAAGUGAAUGAUUGAUACACUCUUAAAAUGUUAUAAUAUUUUAAUAAUAUUAUAAAUUUAAGACAUAUGAAUGAUAAUUUUCAAAAAAAGAAAAAAGACACUUCAUUGAUCUACAGUGAUCCUACUGAACUCUAAAGAGAAGAAAGUACAGUAGAGAUGCCUGGGCUUAACUUCAUCAAAUGCUGAUGUGCAAUUAACCCGUGCGAGCUAUAAUAAAUAACACUUUUAGAAUUAUCUCCCGCGGUUAGAUUUGGUACUUCCAACUAAUACAAUAACAGAUAACUUGUAAAAUCGGGCGGUAUGAAAGCCCUCUAGAGCCCAAAUCUUUAGUUCCCCUUGUUUGGACUUUGGACCUUCUUCACUUUGAGGGGUUUUUGGCAACAAGUCCACAACGUAACGCCCACUAGAUCAACCGUAUACUGUAAAAUUUAAAAAAUAAAAAAUAAAAUGAAGUGUGAAUCCAACAAUCAAGUGACGUCUCCAAAUUAACGUGAGAAAAUUGUAGAGCAACAAGCAUCGAACUCUCAGUAAGAGUGAGUCGCACUGUUAUUAACAAAACAAAACAAAAACGAAACAAAACACGCUCUCUGUCAAGUGUCUCUCUGAUCAAAAUUAAUUUUCUAUUUUAAUUAUUAUAAUCACCAGAUCAAAUCGAAAGGAACCAUAAUAUUUAUUCACCAAUUUAAUGUUAGGAAAUUGAGCUUCCUCCCAAGAUCACUCCAAGUAAUUUGUCAAGCAAUAAACUAACAAGAAAAAUAUUAAAUAGAGAAUACAUCAAUCACACAGCACAAGAUUUACGUGAAAAACUCUAAAUUCGGAGAAAAACUACGGCCGUUGUCACAAGACAACCAGAGAAAAAUAUUCACUAUAUGAAAAAUUAUUACAACCACAUUUUCAGAAAUAAUUUUCUCUCACCCAAGCCCCAAAUACAUGAUCCCGAGAAAUAUUCUUUAACAAAGCAAACUCGUAAUACCCAUAUUGAGGAGACAAAUGCUCCUUCAAUAUAACUACAUGCUUAAGAACAUUUCUCUCUCUCAAUUUCUCAUCAAAACUUGGAGAUAAAAGUGAGGAGGAGCACCCUCUUAUUUAUAACCAAACGGAAGCACUAUUCAAACCGCGUUAUUGUUCAUGCCGCGUGGUCAAACCGCAUUACUGUUCACCACGUGGUCAAACCUUUUUUUUUAUAAUCAAUUUUCAACAAUCUCCACCUUGAUUAAAAAAAAAAUUUCAUAGCUACUGUUACAAUACAUUGUCUUCAUCAACAAUCAUAAUUCUCAACAUAGAGAAUUAUCAUACUCCACCAUAAAAAAAAUACCACUUAGAAUCAACCAUUUUAAGAUUUUUCUCUGCACAUGUCAAACAUAUCCGCUGAACAUUAUGGUGCAAUUCUCAAUGCUUGGUUCCCUGAGAAUUCUUCAGCCAUGACAUAACUUUUCCACCACACACCUUGCAUUUAUACCAAGCCAAUGCCUGCGUGCAAACUUGUAGACCUCGCUAAUAAUAACAUGUUCUCUUUCAUGGCAACUUGGAGAUCUACAUGCUAAAAGAACUAACUCAGUCUCUUAUCAAAAGGAAACUCACUAUCUGCGAGAAUAUCAGUAUCUCUUUUUACUGAUUCUGGAGCAAUUUGCCGAUCCCGCUCCACCUUCUUGACAAUUUCCUUAAGGUGCCAAAUUGCCACACCUUCAAAUCUUUUUGCAUACUAGAUUGGACACAACUUUGACUUGAUUUCUCCACAAGCCAAAAAAUCAUUCUCCCAUUAAUUUUUAUAUUUCAAAUUUCACCGGACUUGAAAAUUUCAAUCCUGACAUAUUUACUUUGCAGAUAAGCUUUUACUCUUCACCGCUGACUAUUUGGAUUGGCUCCCACUGCUUCAUGUGAAUGGUAUUGUAUACAUGAAUAAUAUCGUAUACGUGAAUAGUACCGUAUACGUGAACAGUGCCCCGAGACCAGAAUUUCAACUAAUGGCUAUAAUACCACUGUUAGGAAAUUAAGCUUCCUCCCGAGAUCACUCCAAGCAAUUUGUCAAGAAACAAACUAACAAGAAAAAUAUUAAAUAGAGAAUAUAUUAAUCACACAACACAAGAUUUACAUGGAAAACUCUAAAUCCAGAGAAAAACUACGGCCAUUGUCACAAGACAACUAGAGAAAAAUAUUCACUAUAUGGAAAAUUAUUACAACCACAUUUUCAGAAAUAAUUUUCUCUCACCGAAGCCCUAAAUACAUGAUCUCGAGAAAUAUUCUUUAACAAAUCAAACUCGUAAUACCCAUAUUGAGGAGACAAAUGCUCCUUCAAUAUAACUACAUGCUUAAGAACAUUUCUUUCUCUCAAUUUCUCGUCAAAACUUGGAUACAAAAGUGAGGAGGAGCACUCUCCUAUUUAUGACCAAACGGAAACACUAUUCAAAAUCGCGUUACUAUUCAUAUCGCGUUGUUGUUCAUGCCGCGUCAUUGUUCAAACUGCGUGGUCAAAUUGCGUUACUGUUCACCACGUGGUCAAACCUUUUUCUUUUUUUAAUCAAUUUUCAACAUUUAAGAAACAAUGUCAUUCCCUUUUUUUAACCCUAGAUCAAAAUUCACAAAUGGCUUAUCAAAAAGCUUGAGAGCGCGACAUGCUGGACUCUAGGGGUGGGCAAAACCGAGUUCGGGUCAGGUUCGGGUCAAUUCAAUCGGAUUUCAGGUUGAUUGGGUUGGUUAAAAAUUAAUCCGAAUAAAACCCGAAUUAUAGACCCGACCUGAUAGUUCGGAUCGAGUCGGGUCGGGUCAACGAUGUGGGUUAAAUUCGGAUAGGAUUGGGUUCGUAUGUAAUCAAUUUUAAAAGCUUCAAAAUCUUGUUCGGGUCACAAAGUCAGAAAGGGCAAACCGGCAAAGCCAAAAACUCAGGUCGGGUUGGAGCUUGAGCCUUGGAGCAGCAGAUCGGUGGCCGCGGCAACAGAUCGCAGACGAGUUUUCAGCAGUAGAUGGGCACACAUGCAGCGGUAGAUCGCGACAGUUGGACGCACAACAGCAGUUCGCGGCGACUGGUCGGAGAGGCAACAACAGAUCCGGGACUGGAGAGGGUUGUGUGUGUGAGUGUUGUGGCUGUGGGUUGUGUGUGUGAGGCCGUGAGGGUUGCAAACUUGCAGAGGGUUUGUUGUGAUUUGUUUGUAAUUUGUAUUUUGCGAUUUGUGAAUCUGUUUGUGUUUGUGAAAUUGUGACUGUGAGUGUGCCCGUGUGGUGUGUGCCUGUGUUUAGGUUAGGUUUAGUUUUUUUUUUUUUUUUUGUAACCCGAUCGGGUUUAUAAAAUUUCAUCCUAUCGGGUUUCAUACAUAACCCGAUCAGAUCCGUUUCUAACCCGAAAAGUUUCGGGUCGGAUCGGGUCGGGUCGGGUAUUUUGCUCACCCCUACUGGACUCCCUCUACUCGAUGCUAGCGCUCGUCUUCAUACUUGCCACUUGCGUCGAGCUCUGUGACGUCGCCACCAUUGUCGACAUCUAUCGUCUCAUUCAAUACGACAUCUCCGGCGUCCCAUUUGGAUCUUGGCUGGCGAGCCUCAAUCACCACACCGGUUCGCUCCAUUUUUCGCCUGGCGCGGACCAGUCACGAACCGUUGUUGUGAUUCCGGUUCGCGAAUUGAACAUUAGCUUGUCAGUGGUAUUUUUAUUUAGUUUUUUAACGAUUGUCGUUGCUAAAUAUAAAGCUUUUGUGAGUUAAGAUUUAUGAGAUUUUCUAUUUUCUAUUCAAUCACAUCCAAAUUGAUUUUUUAUUCUUAUAAGUUCUAAUCACUUACGUGAAACAAAAGUAAUUAAUUAACAAUAAACAACUACGUAUAUAUAUACAUCUUCUUCUACACGGUACUAUAACUCUUAUCUCAUUAACAAUUCCAUUCUUGUUAUCUAAAACACUUUGAACGCCCAAAAAGCUGCAAGCAUGACAAGUCCACUAGCAAGACAAACAUUAUUCAAUACCCUUUCUGCCCUUUCCUUUUUCUCUUUUCUAUCAAUUUUCCUCAUCAAAAGCUCCUCAUAUCUCUCUUUCACUUCCGCUCUCCUCCCAUUCUUUCUCUUCCCACUCUCCAUAACCCCUUGCAAAAUUACCAAACCAUCCUUCCAACUCAAAUUCCCCUCCAUGUCCUUCAUUUGCAUGUUCACUUCUUUCACGCAUAGCAUUUCCUCACCUUUCUUUCCCCUUCCCCCAGGUGUCACCAUCACUUCACACUCCAUGCACUCCCUCGCCGGAAACAAUCCCCACCGUUGAUUACCACCUGCGGCGAUCACCACCGCAUAUUUCACGUGCAAGUCACUUGUCAACCAGUCUUGUCGCACGGAAACCGGCCACCAGCUGGAUAAGUUCACCGCCCGGUUUCUGCUAGAGUCGAUUAUUAUCCAACUCAAUGUCAAGUUCUUUUCAAGCUCUUCAAACAGAAUAUUUGCUUCACUCACAAAGGGUAUCUUCGUCGGAACGGAAUAUUUCGCGUCGACCAGGUCAAUCCUUAAAGGUGGGAACUGAAACCAGCCGGUUACUGUCUCAUUCUCUGUAACCCUAGAGAAGACGGGAUCGUUUCUGUAGUAAAGAUCAACGGCCGAGAUUAUCUGUUCAGUGACAAGUAAAGAAUCAUCAUCAUGAAUGUGUUUUGAGGGUUGUUUUUGGCAAUCAAGAACCGGGAAUGAGUGAGAGAAAAAAGACCGGUGACCACCUCCGGGGUAGGAGGAGACGAGGGUUCGCACACGUGGGUCGUUAGAGGAAGGCCACGUGGAGGAGCAGAUAUGUUGCCAGAGUUUUUCUUGUGCACAUAGAGAGUGUAGACGAGAUGAAGUGCAAGCUGCGGCAGCAAGAGUUUGGCCGUCGAGUCGGGUUAAGAUAUGAGUCUCAAUGAUGUCGGGAAGCAACGUUGUGAUGCCUUGAUGGCUUGUAAAUUUUGUGGGACAAGGAGAAGAAGCCAUUGCUUCUUAAUUUUUUACCUCAAAAUGGAGUUUGAAUGUUGGGUUCAUUUAUAAGCAAAAGAGUCAGGCCUAAUUGGUCUAAUAAAAAUGUUGAAACAAAUAUGUGUAUAUGACAAAAGAUGGAUUAGUUUUAGAAUAUAUUAUUCUUUGGUUAAUCCAAUCAUAGGAUAAGUUGAUUCGCUUUAAUGUAAUGAGCAAGAUUUAUGAAUUAAAUUCUAAAAGUCAAGGUUGGUAGGCUAUAGACAAAUGCAUAAAAGAUAGAAAAAUGGAAUUUCCAGGCAGUGGAUGAAAAAGAACAAGGACCUACAUUCAUAAACAUUUCAUUAAGAAAGGAAUAACAGUCGACGUUUUAUUUUUCUUUUCCCUCUCAAUCUUUUAGAUUUAAAAAAAAAAAAUAAAUUUAUGGGCCUUAAGGCGUGUGGUGGAGUGUUUUUUAAGUAAUUUAAUUUAAUUUAUCACUUGAGUUCAAAUGCAGAGGAAAGUAGAGGAUUGAAAAUUGAUUUAAAUUGUGUCUCAUUCUCUACCUUUUAAAAGAUAAAAGAAAUAUAUAUACGGUAGUUUAUAAAAAUUUGUGUUAUUUUUUUAAUAUUUUUUUCCUAUAAAUACAAAAUACAAUCGUAAGAUAAGAGGAUUCUUAAAAUGAUUUUCAAGUAGUUUUUCUUUGAUUAAACCUAUGUUUUGAGGGGGAUAAAAGCCUAAAAAGUCAUGAAUCUAUAGACUUCGUCAACUUCCCCAAUCUUUUUUUCUUUUUCUUUUAAAAAUAUCUGUUAGCGAUCUACUUGUUUUGUCAAUAAAUAAUAAAAUGAAAGCUUAUAAGAAAAAAAAUUCAUUUGUAUAAAACCUUUUUUUAAAUUAAAGAAAAGUACUUUCAAUUUUUUUUUUUUUGGAAGUCUAAUGAAGCCAUCGCGAUUGAUUGUCACUACCUGCAACACAUCAUGACGUGUGAGUUGUGACCAAGACCUUAUCUUCUCAGGAAAAGUGGAUGAAAAUGUUUGCUCCAUGAAGCAGAUCAACGUCACAACACAAGUUGGGAUAUUCUUUUUUAAUUCACUUGUAAUAAUUCUAUUAAAAAAGAAACAAAGAGAAAUAUUGUGUUGUUUUUCUUUCAGUACUCUGGUGCGAGGUAUUCAUUGCCAUGACGUGGCUUAAAUUUAGUAAAUAAACAAUUCUCUGUAAAAGUGAUGCUACAAUUAUGUAAUUGGGAUAAAAGGCGUUAAUAUAUUGUUUGUAUCUAAAGGGUGUGUUCUGCACACUGUAUUAUAUUUUAUUGUAUUAUAUUAUUUUAAUGUAAAUAUAUUGUAUUAUACUACAUUACAUUAGUAAUGUAUUAUAAUAAUAUUGUAUAAUGGUUUGUGUUACACUGUAAUGUAUUAAUUUUAUUGUGAUUAAUUUAAAUUAUAUAUUUAGAAAAUAAUAUUUUUUAGUACCUAUAAAAAUACUAAGUAUAGAAGUUUUAAAUUUUAAAAAUUUAACAUUAUUUUUAGUAUAAAUUUUAAAAAAUAUCAUAAUUUUUUCAUAAAGAUCAAAGCUUAUAACUUUACAUUUUUGGCAACAUAACAUUCAUUUUUCAGUAUUUUUUAAAUAUAUAAUGUGUAAAAUAAAGAUCGAAUGAUAUAAUUUAAUCCAAUAAUCUCUAAAUAAUAUCAUAAUCUAAUAAUGUUUUAUAUUAUUAUUUUAUUGGUAUUAAUUUUAAAUUAAUAUUAUUUAAAUUUAUUCAUAUACAAAUAUUUAUUAUUCGUUAUAUUAAAUUAUUAUUUAAGUAAUUAUUAUUAGUUUUAUUAAAUUGUUAAAUAAUAAUAAAAUUUAUAUAUUAAUUAUUAUAAUAUAAUUAAAUAAUGUAAUAUUAUGUAAUAUUUUUAUUUUUAUAUAUUAUUUAAGUACUUAUUAUUAGUUAUAGUAACUUGUCAAAUAUUAAUCGAUUUUAUUUAUUAAUUAUUAUAAUAAAAAUAAAAAUAUGAAUUAUUUAUUAAUUUAUAUUAAUAAUUAUGAUGUUAAAAUAAAAGAAAAUAAAAAUUAAUAUUAUAUUACAUGAAAAAGUUAUAUUUAUUUUUUAUUAUUUAUAAAAAAAAAAAAAGAAGAGCAAAACACUAAUGUGGCUAUUGUCGCAUGAACUAAACCCGACUCCGCAUUAGUAUACCCCCUUUAACCCAUUACAAUUUUUUUACAAACACAACCUUGGUAUUAAGUUAAUGUGAACUGGAUUUUAAUACCCUGUAAUCCUAUGAUUCAAACACACCCAAAGUGAUGAACUGAGACCAGCAAAACCAAACCAAAUGAUUUCAACGACAUAGUUGGGAUGAUAAAACAAGAAUGUUCUACAUACAGUUAUGGUUCUGGCUUUUUGACAAUCAUUCAAGCAAAUUUACUUCCAAGAGGGCGACUCCCACAUUGAUGAUACAGGUACAAUUGAGGUCUUGGCCACUGUGAAAUUGCAGCACAUAGCAGCAAUGGCAAGCAUUAAAUUGCAACCCAGGCUAGCAUUCCAUUAAAGACUAGAGAUGGCUGGACUCGAGAAGCAAAAUGGAAUGUUAAGCAUCAGAAACCUUCUUAAAAGAAAAGCAAGUUUCACCGUCAAAACUUAUGGAGUACACCUGAGAGUUAAGCUUCUCAAAGAAUAAUAAUCAAACUCAAUAAGAGACGAAGAGUAGCUCAACUGAAAGAGUUUCAAAUAAUUCUCGCAGCUCCGUCACAGUAUAAUCAAUCACUCAUCACCCCAAGUUGACGGUCCACCCAAUCCAACUUCAGGUUCCUGAGACAAUUGAACUGUCAGACCCAUACCCCUGUUUUUAGAUUUCUUCUCCUUAGCAGAAGUGGUAACUAAGCCAUCAACUGAGUUGAAUUUAGAAGCUUCAUUAACCAUAUUGUCACCAUCAAACUCAGGAUUUCCUGCAAUAUUGGCAGAGAAGAGCUCCGCGAAAGCGGCUUCUCCAUUGUCAAUAAUGUCAAGUUCUCCUUGUUUCUCCUUUGACUGUUUCUUCUGUUUCUUUUUAAAUCUGUUAUCAUCAUCAUCAACUUGAAUGUCUUUGUUUGUGAGAUUUUCACUGGUUUUCUUUCUCUUCCGCUUCAGAUCUUUCUCCAUAUCAACAUCUCUAGAACUACUUAGAUCGCCAUCUACAAUGCCUCCAGAGUUCUUUGCAUCAUUAAUAGCAUCAAGCUCCCCUUCUUUCUCUUUUGACUUCUUUUUCAAUUUCUUCCCUGCUGCAGAAUCACUUUUGCUCCGCUGAAUUUCUUUAUUUGAGGGUUUGUCAUUUGUUUCUCUAGUGCCAUCUCUUUUCUUUUCCAUAUGAACUUUUACCGUGUCAUCAGCAUUAUUUGAGGAAUCAUUAACUUUAUCAACUAUAUUGUCCUUUUCAUUUUUGGUGAUUCUAUCUAUUGGUCUAGCAUUGAAUAUACGCAAGUUUGGCAAUAGAUUUUUGACCUGCAACAAUAUUGAACAUAGAUUAAUCCAGCUAGGAGCAGAGUUCUUGAAAGACGAUUAACAUGAUAAAAUGAUUGGGAUAUUACCUUCUUUGCCAAUUUAUCAUAUUCAGCUACAGGGUUUCCUUGUAGAUUGAGGUUAUUCAGACUGACUAAUGACUUUAGCACCUGCUAUUCGAGCAUGUUACCAUUAUGCAUGGUGACGAAGUAUAUAGAAAAAACUUGAUGAAAACAAAUAUUUCAAUGCCUCACCUUCAAUUCUGACCAUCUCGUGAUCAAGUUCUUUCCUAAGUCUAAAUUUUGAAGCUUCUUAUUAAAAGCCAACUCGGCCGGAAGAGUAUAGCCAAUUCAGAGAGUGAGACAGAGAAAGACAACAUAAGAAAUGAACAAAAUAUCAAUCAUGAUAUUAACAAAAAAAAAAAAAUUAUGAAUUUGAGGAUAGCCUGCUAUCAUAAAAUGACCACUGGGUACAUGAUAUACCUUAAUGUCAUUGUCAGAAAGUCGGAGUUCUUUCAAUUCUGUGCAAGACUUGAGCGAAGAACCAAUAAUCUGGACUUGGCAGUUUGAGAGAGAGAGCUGGAACCAAUCUUGAUUAACAGCCUUAGCAACAGUCUUUCAAAAUAAUAGCUAACGGCAAUUAAUGACCAAAGCAUUGCUUACCUUUGUAAUAGCUUUCAUAUUGAGCAGAGAAUCGCCAAUUUUGCGAAUUGGAUUUCGAGAAAGAACUGCUUGAGAAACAAACAUUUAUCCCAAGAAUCAACUUGAAUUCCAAUAAUGCUUUGAUCUGAACACAGUAUCAUCAAUCACGAACAUGCAAAAUCAAAAAGAAUUGCACACAAGUUUGCCAUCUCCUCAAAAUCAAACAGGUUUGCUCUCUACUCAAAAGUCUUUCGACCAUGCCUUAACCAACCACUCCUUUAAACCAAAUCCUAGAACAAGUAAAAUUUAUAGAGUUAAAAAUUAUUGACUCUAAGAAAAAUGUAAUUGUUACUUCUCUAAGAAUUACAGCUCUUAUUCCUCUCCCAUUCUCGCCAAAGUUCUAUAUAGACAACACCACUUGAACAAAGAUAGGCUAGAGCAUGUAAUGUCAAUCUACUAACAAACAUCAGCCAAGCAGGGACGGAGCCAGCGUGGGACGAGGUGGGGCACAGGCCCCAGCUGGCUUUUAAUUUUUUUUUUUGAUAAUUAUACUAAAAAUAUGUAUUUUAUUUAUUAUUUAUGAAAAAUACCCCAGCUGAAAUGUAAAAUUUGAAAUUGACUCUAGUAAUUUUAAAAUAUUUCAUAUUGUCCCUAAUUUAAAUUUUUUAUUAUAAAUUAUUUAAUUAGUUAUUAACAUUUCAUGAAACUUUAUUAAAGACACGAGAACAAAUAUUAAAAUAAAAAAUCUUCAUAACAAAAUGUUAGUAUAAUGGUUAAUGGACCAGUUUUUAAUCUUUUUAUUUUUUAUUCAAGUAAAAUUAAUUAUUUAGUCUUUCAACACUGACCAUAAGUUGUAAGUCUACCUAAUUCUAAUUUAUAAUUUUCUAAUUAAUCUUUUGUCUAGUUUUAAAAUUUAUAAUUUUAUCAUGCAUUUCAUAUUUGUUCUAUGUGUUGCAAUAUAUGAAUAUUUUUGUUAUUAUUAAAAGAUUUUAAGAGCAAAUUAAGUAAUAACCUAGUCUUGUAUAUUGAAAAAUAUAUUUUUGCUUAUAUUGAUAAUUCAUUAUUUUCAACUCAUAAAAUCCCAUUGAGGAGAUUUCACGGAGAACCAUUGUAAUAAGUAAAUUUAUUAUCAAUUAAUAUUAUAGUUGUAAUGCUAUAUAUUGAUAUCUAAUUUUAAAAAAUGUAUUAUACUUUAAAUAGGGUUUCAAUUAGAUACAUACAGACGCACUCUAUAAGAAGUACAAUUGUACAUGUAGCAAGCUCCCAUUUAGAGUUUAUGGGGCCCACAAUACAAUUUCUCAAAUGACGACUUAUCACACGAGCAAUCGUACAUUCGAGUCAUGUUUGAUUUUAAAUGUGCCCCGGCUCUAUCAAAAUCCUGGCUACGUCCCUGCAGCCAAGGAACAGAUUUUAUCAAACACAAUGAAGUGUGAACAUGAAGAAAUAAGAAUCUGUGCCAAGAGUGUUCAAUUCCUUCAUCUGAUCAAGUUUGCAUAUCGAAACAAUCUCAUUGUCUGCACAACCCCCCCCCAAAAGAAAAAAAGGUUAAAAAACGAACUGAUUUCCAUAUUUUAUAUCACCAACUUACAAAAAGGGUGCUGCAAUUAGGGUCUAAAUCUCACCAUUCAGAAUUAAAGCACAUAAGCUGACGACAGACAUCACCUCAUCCAUCGAUCUAAGCUUAUUUUUGCCCGCAUUCAACACCUGAAUUUCAAAGACAGAACAAGGUGAAUUUAAAUAAUCCAAUUAGCUCAUCAUUUCCAAACCUAAACUACUUCAAACAACUAGUUUAGAUCGAGCAAGUGUCCCAAUGGACAAUAAUAACAAACGGAUAAAAGAUUUCAACCAAAUCGCCAGAAACAAUAAGCAUUGAAACCUUCUCAUGGGAAAACAAGAAUCUCUCACAAGCAACCAUUUAAAAGUGUACAAAAUGUAAAAUAUCACGAACAAAGCAAGGGAAUGACACUUACAGUGAGCUUAGAGAGUCCUUCGAUUCCUUUUAAGCUUUGCAAUUUGUUUUGCACAACUGAUAGCCACUUCAAAUUCACGCAAUGCCUCAACCCCUUCAAAUAAAAUUAAAAAAAAUGAAAUUUCAUGCCAAGAAAUGAUAAAGCCGUAAAUUUGUUACUGGGUGUUGGGGAAAUGAAUGAAUGGUAGGCACCUCAAGAGAAGUGAGGUUGUUGGAGCUAAGGUCGAGUCCAAGUUGUUGAAAUCGGUCAAGCAAGAGACGCCAGAGAGAGCUUUGUGAGUGAGAGUCAGAGAUUUUAUGGAAUUGGGAUCGCCAGUAUUGUUGUCCUUCAAAAUUUGCUCGGUGCUCAGUCGUGUCAUGAUUUGGCUUCUUCGGUUUAGUCCUUGAGAAUUAGCAAAACCCUAGCUUUGAAUGUCUCUGCUUCCAGGGUUUAUCUCUAGACUCUCAGGCAGGGUUUGUACCGUACUCGUUUGAGUCAACCGACACGUCGUUUCAAUGUAAUUCUUUUUUCAGACCUGAAGGAGUUCAUAUUAGUGAAAUUUGUGAUCCAAUUGUUAGGUCAAGUCACAAAAAUAGCUCAACUUUUCUCUCUCUCUCUCUCUUUUUUUCCCUGAGCCGGAUCACAAUGCCCAAAAAUAUGUUUGUUAUAUAUUUUUCCUUUAAUUAGGUUUGAAUGGAAAGAAGAAACCUCCCUGUUAAAUAUCAAACUCUUAAACCUUUUAUUACUAAUUGAAUUUGAGUCAUUUUGAGCGCAAAAGGCAUUCACAAUCAGUCGAUCUCUGCCUAAAAUCAUCUAUGUUAUAUUAACUGUAUAUAGUUCAAAUAGUCUAUCACACACAGUCACUUAGUCAUAAACAAUUUAGUUUUUUCAUCUCUUUAUCACUGGCACCGAACACCAUUUUCUUCACUCAUUCAAGAAAAUGUUUAGGCGUGUUUGGAAUAUUGUGAGACUUUUUUUUUUUUUUUUCUAAAAUACAAAUUUAAUUUAGAGAAAAUAUUUGUAAAUUAUCUAAAACAGUUCUUCAUUAGCAAUGUCGGAUGGACUAAUGAAUGGACAACUCUUAUUUUUUACCCUCUAAAACGAAGAAACAUAAAUUUUAUGUAGAGAUUGGACUGUGAAAUCAAUAGCCCUCUCGUUGAGUCCUUUUGCUUAAAUUCAUUUAAUCUCGACACCUGCUUAGGUGAUCUAAAUGCUGAAACAUGGUGAAAAAAUAGUGCAAUUUCGGAGGGCUCCAAUGUCCAAUUCUUUCCUUUUAUUGUAAUGAUCGAGUGACAUUGCAUCCUGGACCCCAAGUACAUAAUAUAACAAACAUACAGUCACGGAAAAAUCUAGUAAUAUCUUCUUACAAAGCAGCCAAAUUCAUCCAUAAAGCCAUCCAAAAAAUGACAGUACUUGUACCUCCAUCUUCUGCUGACAAGUAGAGGACCUAUGAAACACCAAAACCCCACUACAAAUCCAAGUGCCACGCUUACAUACAACAACCAGUCCACUUCGUCUUCAUCUUCGUUUCCAUUUCCAUUUGGAUCUUCAGGUACAAGAGGAUUAUUCCCAGUACAAUUAGGAAGUGGAGCUCCGCAUAGAUUGUUGCCGGCAAAACAGGAUGAAUCUAAGCUUUGCAAUUGAGUGCUUGAAGGAAUUUUCCCAGUCAAGUGAUUGUUGGACAAGUUCAGGUGAUUUAAAAAUGACAAACUUGACAUACUUUGGGGAAUUUCACCAGAAAGUUGGUUCGCUGAGAAAUCGAGGGACUCAAUUGAUUUCAUAUUACCAAUUUUCUCAGGAAUUUUUCUGCUGAAAAAAUUGUGGGACAAAUUCAGUGAUUGCAGUCCUUUAAGAUUUGUCAGUUCCAUAGGUAUUUCUCCCGAGAAAUUAUUCUUCGAAAUGUCUAUGCUUCUUACCAAAUUCAGAAUGGAGUCAUAUUCAACCAUAAACCCCUUCGUCACAACUGAUGCAUCCAGCGCAGCUUCAGUCCCAUCCAUCAUUGUAACGUAAGAUAUGGCAUUCUGUAGAUUAGAUGAGUCCGUCGUCGCCAUAGCAGUGAAGUUACUGAUGCAUCUGGGUAUGGUUCCCGAGAGAUUGUUGUUUGCAACAUCCAAAAUUUGUAAAGAAGUUAGACGACAAAGUUGAAUUGGCAAAUAGCCGUGAAACUUGUUUGAUCGAAGAAUGAGUAUCGACAAUCCAGAAAAUCUCUCCCCCAUCCAUGUUGGGAUGUUCCCGACAAACUCAUUUUCAUCCAUGUCAAGAUAUACCAAACCUGAACAAUUUUGAAAUGACGCAGGAAUGACUCCAGACAAUCUAUUAUUGCGCAGGUUCAAUGACCAAAGAAAACUUAAAGUUCCAAUUGAAGCCGGAAGACUACCAGUAAGGUUAUUGUUACCUAAAUUCAGCAUACCCAAGCCAGGCCAAUUCAUCCAACAAUCAGGUAUAUCCCCAGAAAAGUAAUUUUUCGAGAGUUGGAGAUAAGAAAUGCUCUUUAACCCAUUACAUAUUAAAUGAAAAAUGGACCCCGAAAAACCAUUAUUAGAAAAAUCAAGUAUGCCAGAUGAGGGAGGUAGAAGAGGCGAUGGACGGUUAUCAAAAUCUAAAUUUGGAAUCUCACCGUAGAUUUGGUUGCUGGAGAGAUUCAAAUACUUAUAUUGGGAAAUGGAAUUCCAAAACCAACGAGGAAUAGUAUCAGAAAUUCUUGUGUUGGAUAUGUCCAAAUCAGACAAAUGCUUUUGUGAAUGAAGCCACGAUGGAAAAUGAGGCCCUAAAUGACAUGACCUCAAUUGCAAUGUAUCGAGUUGAAAAGGAGGAACCCAGUUUGGAUUGACUUGCAAGAUUAGCGGGUUACCAGAUGUAGAAAAUGAAGUCAGUUUUGUUAGAUUGACAAAAUGAUUUUCAGAAAGUGUUCGACUCAUCCUAUUGUUGGAAAAAUCUAGAUAUUCUAAAUGUGAAAAUUUUCCCAAAGACAAUGGAAUAGAACCAUUCAACAAGUUGUUGGACAAAUCUAGAUAUUCUAAGCUUAAAAUUUGUCCUAGAGACAAUGGAAUGGAACCAUUCAGACUGUUUCUGGAAAGAUCUAGAUAUGUCAAAUACGUAAGUUCUCCUAAAGCAGAUGGAAGUGGACCUGAAAGAGAGUUGUUACGUAGUUGAAGUUUGUUCAAACUUUUAAAUUGCCCAAGUUGAUUUGUCAAGUGACCUGAAAAUUGACAACUCCUCAAAACUAGUGACUCUAGUACAUGUGCACCACAUGCAGAGAAAAUAUCUAAAACUUCUGAUAAGUCUUGACUCAAUUUGACAAACGACAGAUCGAUUGAUGUCAACUUACAAAGCCGUACAAACGAUGUUGGAAUCUUCCCUGCAAGAUCAUAAUUUAAGGAAAGGUCGAGAGUUUUGAUAGAAGUCAAGUUUUCUAGACCCAUCGAUGAAAUUGUGCCUAGCAAGGAAUUAUGUUGAAGAGAAAGGAACUCAAUAUCAUUAAGCUUAGACAACCAACCAGGUAUUGCAGAAUUGAAUUCAUUAUAAGAUAAAUCAAGAUGCCUAAGAAACGUCAAGUUUCCUAGUCCGUUGGGGAUUUUACCUUGAAAUUGAUUACCGCUUAGAUCGAAAAAGACUAAAUUAUGAAGACCAAAAACCCAACUGCUAAAUUGAAACAAAGAGUUAUUAAAUUGGUUUUUGGAAAGAUCGAGGGUCUUAAGGGAGGAAAAAUUAGCAGAGGAUGACGGAGGAAAGUGAUGGAGUUCACAGUAGGACAACUUUAGUACUUUUAAAGAAGAGAGUGAGUUUGUGACAAGUAACCAAUCAGUGGCUUUGCUAAGGUCAGCGUCACUCAGAUCGAGGUGCUCUAGCAAAGAGAGACCAGAUAGCCAUGAAAAACUUUCAACUUGUGACUCAUAAUUCUCACUGAGAUCAAGAUAUUGAAGAUUAGAGAGAUUUCCAAGUUGGUAAGGAAUCACUCCUGCAAAUUUGGCUCUAGAGAGAUUCAGGUAUCUAAGGUUCUUAAGAGAACCAAGAUAUUUGGGAAUUUGAAUUCCAUGGAAAUCAUUUCCGCUUAAGUCCAAGUGAAUCAAAUGCGUUAAGUCAACCAAAGAGGGAUUUAUCUUACCAACCAGCUUUGACACCGUCCCAUAAUUAGGAUCAGGGUUUCCGAGGUUGAGCUGAAGGACAUGGCCAGUGAAGUUGUUACAAACAACACCAUCCCAUGCACAGCAAUCUCCAUCACCAAUAUUCCAAGAGGCAAGACGGUUUGAAGGAUCAUUGAGAUCUUGCUUCAACUUUAAAAGCGCUUGUCUCUCACUGUCUAUGCAAGCCACGUUAGAGUUGGCAAUGCAGAAGCUGAUGUUGAUCAUGGUAACUAAAGUAAACAACUCAAGAAAGAGAAGGGCAACAGAAACACUCAUGAUGGUUGAUGUCAUUGCUUUGGAUAGUGAUGAAUUAAUUAUGGGGAAAGGAAGUGUGCUUAUGAUGAGAAUGUUAUUAUAUUGCUUGAUAUUUAUAAUGUCCUCCGUUUGCCCAUAUGAUACGUUUGCAUCAAUCGAAUUUGGUACGUAAUAGUAUGCUUGAAAAGGAUUUAUGAUCUCAGUCUCACAUUUCUGCAAGAAAUUUCCGUGCUCGUUGCUUUGGAUCAUCAUCAAGUCUUCUAAGUCAUCAAUUAACUGCUUGCUGUGGCCCCCCCCCCGGGUGGAAUUUGAACUUGCAUUAUUACAGUGGGAGAUACAAACAAAGAAACCAAAAAAAAAAAAAAAAGAGUUUUAGAAAAGGAAUUGAAUGGUUAAAAUGAUAUACUUUAAAGUUUAGAGUAAUAGGCUAAUUAUGAAGUUUCAGAGUUUUAUGUUGAAUUUUUGUUAUAAGUUUCGUCUCAACUGCGAUGGUUAGGUUUUGAAUCAAAUACUUUACAAGGCGUUUCCAAGGCAGAAAACUGUUGAAACCCUGAGUCGAAAAGCAAUUGAUAUAGGUUUUGUAAUAGUUGUUUUCAUUUCUGUAGGACAAUAAAUAAACUCGUUUGAUUUGUUUUUUCACUUAAUCUCUAAAUUUAUUUCACCGGGUUAUCCGGAAAGUGUUUAGCUCGUGUGGUAGAUUUUGUCUCUCUGUUAAUUUGGGCCGACAAAAACUAAGGAAAUAGGAUCAGGAUCCGGUGCUCAGCUGAGUUUGUGCUGAGCACCAUAUCAAUGGUCAGAAAUUGCUUAAAGCCUAUAGAAGAUAAUUGCUAACCAUUGAUCGGGUGUUCAGCACAAACUCAGCUGAGCACUGGAUCUGUUUCCAAGAAAAUAUCAUGACCACCUCUUUCUCUUGUCGGCAAGAACUUUCGUGCUCAAUGCUUCGGGUCUUUAAAUUCUCAAUGUCAUUGAUGGCUCCUCCAGUGGACUUGCUUUUGGCAUUUUUAGUCAAGGGGGAAAAAAAGGUCUUGGCUAUUUUAUGGAAUUGAAUAAUCAUUAAAAUAUUUAAUUACUAGUAUAUUAUUAAUAUUUUAGAGGAAUUAAAAUUUAUUUUUUCAUCCCGAUAAUUCUUCCUAGCGAUGGUAGAAAGGCUCGACCCAACUAUUGGCCUGGCCAAAUUGAUCUAACCAUAAUUUUUAUGACUUUAGCCUCAGUUUAAGGAGUUAAUGACUGAGUUAGGGCUCAAAGAAUCAGACCCAAUGUCGGGCCUUAUCAAAAAACUUUGACCGAUCCUCAAAUGAAUUUUUAAAAUUAAAAAAAUAACACUUGAAAGUUAAACGUACAUACCACUCGUGGUCACAACUCACUCUACUAAUAUUUGUCCCUAUUUCAUAUUAAUUUAAUAUUUAAUAUUUGAUUUAUUUACUUGCUAAUUUGGUUAGAUUGUUACAUGUUAUAUUGUUGUUAAUGCUAAAUAAAAAAUUAAUUAAUUUAAUUCCUUACACCCAAAAUCAACAAAAAAUGGAACAAUAAUAAUACAAUAUAAUCUAUCUAUAUAUAUAUAUAUAUAUAAAGCUGAGACUUGAGAAGGUGAUGUGGCAUCACCAUUUCUCAUCUUUGUAUAUUCUCUAUUAUCUAAUAAAUAGAGAAAUUUUCUUUUAAAUAUAUAUAUAUAUAUAUAUAUAUAUAUAUAAAGUUGGGACUUGAGGAGGUGAUGUGGCAUCACCAUUUCUCAUCUUUGUAUAUUCUCUAUUAUCUAAUAAAUAGAGAAAUUUUCUUUUAAAUUUGGCUUUUUAUUUUCUCAUAAUUAAUUUGAUUGUUAUUACACAAUAACAAUUAUGUAAAGGUUUUAAUGAGGCAUAUUCUUUGUAAUGAACAUCCAAGGAGGAGUGUUAUGAAUUUAUUAAAAUAAAUGUAGAUGUUCAUAACAUAUAUCUCUUAGUCUCCCCACUAUCUCCCAUUAGCAACCUUUAACUUCCCUAUAACUCCCACUAUCUCAAAAUGAAUUAUGAUCCAUAAUUUUUCAUUAAUUUCAUGGAGUGAUUAUGUAACUAUAAAAAGAGAGCUCAUCUUUUUGUUUUGUACACACACAAUUGGAAUGAAUAAAAUCACUCUAUAAUAUAUUCUCUCAUUUAAUUCUUUAUCUUGCGUUACUUCUUUAUUUGUAUUGCUGAUUAAUAACUUUUUUUAUUUUUUAUAAGGCUGCCUCAUCUUAAAAAAAAAUUAAUUUAUAUUUUUUAUCAGUUUCAUCAAGUGUAAAAUAAAAUAAAAAAGAUAAUACUAAAUUUAUUUUUCAAAACCGCGUGAAGCGCAGUUCUAUUUUCUAGUUUAUAUUAUAUUUAAGAGCUUUCUAGUAGUAGUGGGGUUACGUUGCCGUGUUGUUUAAGCAAUUCAUUUGAUGGGAAGACCUUGACUUGGUGUCUUUGCUUUCCUUCGUGGAAAAUUUUAAGCCAAAAGCCAGCUUGACCCCCCAAAAGGGAAAGCUAGCUAAAAUUUGCGGAAAUUAAUGUUGGAAUAUUUUAUAGUGGCCCGUGUGCCACAUUAUAAGUUAGUAAUAAUUUAGGAUUUAAAUAAUAAAAUAAAUUAUGGGCUGAAAUUUUAAAAAUUAAUUGCCCACUUUGAUGGAAAGUAGGAAUUAUGGUUUUAUUAAAAUUGAUCCCCUCUCCACCCAAUAUAAAAAGGAUAUCACUUUAAUUUUCUCUCCAUCAUAAAGUAAAUCACUCUAUAGGGGUCAAGAGAGAUAAAUCAAUUUUGUUAAUUUUUAAUUCCUUACAGUGAUAUUUUAUCAAAAAAAAUUCUCAUGGAUCUGGGUAUGUUUUCUCUUAAUUAUGAUGAUGUAAAAAUCAUGAUAUUUUAUAAUUUUAAGAAUUAAAGUUUAUGCAAAUUAGGAUUUAUUAGCUUUAUGAAAAUUAUAAAAAAUUCCAACAAUUAGUAUCAGCGCAAUAAUUAGAAUUCGUGAUUUUCAAUUAAAGAUUAUGGUGAUGUAUAUAUAUUUCCGCUGCAACGGCCGUAUGAAUUUUUCCUGCGAUUUAUGAAAUUGUGAACCAUUGUUCACGUGAAUUACUCAUGAAUCUAAUGGGCUUUUAUAUUUUAUUAUUAUUAUUAUUAUUGUUAUUUUUUUGUCAAGGUUUGACUAUAUCUCAAUUAUGCUUGGGCCAUGAAAGUUUUGUUUUAUGAAUUUGAUAUAGGCUUAUGAAUCUUAAGAACUUGGCCAUGACGAAUUAAUCUGACCAAACUUAUGAAUUAUAUGUCUGAUAUGUUUGAAACUAUUUGCAUAUUAUUGGCUUACAUGCAAUAUUAAUGAACUCAAGGAAUUUAUGUUCCUUUUCUUUAAUAUAUGAUUAUUAUUGUAAGUAUUUUGUAUGCCUAUUAUUUUUACAACAUUCGUCAUUAUAUGAUUUUGAUGUCUGUAUCAUAUUUAAUUUGUUAGUUACCGAAGUGGUUAGAUUAGAAAGUUUUCAUAGAUGUCAAAUCAAGUUCAAUUUCAAAUACUCAUAAUUAUUGUGAUGCUUAUGAUCGAAUGACAUGACAAUUUUCUUGUAUGGGUAUAUUAAAAUUAAUAAAUUAUAAAAUAUUUAAGAAUCGUCUAAAAGUUGAUUAAUUAAUUUUAUAUUCUAUGAUUAUGAUAUAAGUAAUUAAUUUGCUUGAUUAGAUAUGUUUAGUAUAUCUAAAGAUAGCAUAUAUAUCUAAUUAAUGUGUACUUGAUUACUAAUUAUGUGAAAUUAAAGUUAAGUAUUAUUUAUGUUUAUUGAAGUGUAUUGUUGUAUCCAAAGGUGAACUUCAAUAUGCGCCUAAGGUUUAUGUGAAUUUGAUCUAAAUAUAUAUUAUGUGUUUAAGUUCAAAGCAUUAAUGUGUAAGCACUUAUAUAUUUGCAAUAUUUGUGCAUGUUGCUCUUUAUUUGCAAGUUUCAUUUGUUGUUAAGUUCAAUGGCCUUAAUUACUCAGAUUCGUUUGAGCAGAUCCAGUUUCACUUAGGUGUUCUAAAUCUUGACUUAGUAUUAUUAAUAGAGAUGGCAAUUUGGUCCAUUUAAAUUGGAUAUCCAUACAUCCAAUCCAAUUGGAUUGGAUAAUAUCCAUCCAAAAUUUUUUGGAUAUAGAUAUGGAUAUUUUUAAAAAAUAUCCAAAUAAAAAUUGGAUGGGUAUGGAUAUCCAAUGGAUACCCAAUAUCCAAUUAAUAUCUUAUUUGAAAUUAAAAAAUUAAAAUGUAAAACUAAAAUGAAAUAAGCAAAAACAAAUGUCUGGAUAGCAAAACCUAAGAUUAUCACAUCGCUCGCCGGCCGGUCUUUGCUUACCGACGCUCUUCCCCGACUCCGACGUCGCUUUCCGGGGGUUCCGUUUAGGUGCGCCGGCGCUGUACCAAUGGUUGAUCAGCCGUAACUGCAGCUUCCAGCUGUUCUUGAGCGUUUUUCUGCCUCGUUCCAGCUACCAUCGUCUCUGUCAUCGCUGCCACCACCGUCGUCCGUCCGCCUGUUCGUUGUCUCCCGCGCAAGGUAAGUUUUGAUUGCUGAAGCUUAUAAGCCGUUUAAUAUAUAUUUGGCUUUGAUUGAUCUUAUUACCAAAUUUAGCCCAGAAACAGUAUUCAUGUCUUCACAGUACCCAGCAUUUUCACAGUAUUUCUGGUGAUUUUACUAAAAUUAUGCAAAUAUUUUCUUCACCUUUUGUCAGUCACAAAUCUAGAUUUUGAUUAAUUGCUGGAUGGGGUUUAAUUUAGUUUAUGAAUUUGGCUCCAUGAUUAAACAUGAAAUAAGCUUUUACAAGCCUAAAAUCUUAUGCCUUUAUGGCUUCCAUUAUUUUUCUUAUUUUUGUUUACAUGGCUCUGUGUGUGUGUGUGUGUGUGUACAGAGAGAGAGAGAGAGAGAGGAAUUGGAAGAGUUUCAAUAUGCAGUGGUUACUUUCUUCAAAGAAUCUGCUAGUAUAUAUAAUCUAUGGCCUUUCACAUAAUCAUUUGAAAUCUGAUAGUCGAAUUUUCCAACAAAACUUUUUCAGCUUCUAGAGGCCGAAAUCAGUUGAGGCUCCAUUUGCUAUUGGGUGUUGCCAUUUGUGGAAAUGUGGCCCUCCGAUUGUGAAAUAAAAUAUUGACGGAUGCUGGAAGUUAGAUUAUCAUCUAAUUGAUCUCUAUAUGGUUCAUGUUAAGCACUACUACUACUUCCAAACAAACGAGCUAGCUAGUUCUGGAAGUUUAGGGAUUGUUAAUAAUUGCUCUGUAAUGUCUUUUUUUCAGGUUAAUUAUGUCUGAUUUUGAUUCUGAUCCUGCUGUUCAAUUAAACCCUCAAGCCUCAAGUAAUGUUAAUGCUGAAAAUCCACAAACUCAUUCAAUUAGUGGAGGUACAAAACGAGACUCGGAAGGACAACCUAGAAGCUCAUUGAGACAAGCAUCUAGAGCUUGGGACCAUUUCACAAGGAGAACAAUUAAUGGAGAAAUGAAGGCAGUGUGUAAUCAUUGUGGCAAAGGUUUUGCUGGACAGCAAUCAAGUGGAACUUCACAUUUGUUAAACCAUAUUGAUAGGUGUCCCAAACAGAUACAAGAAUCAGCUCCAGCUCCAACUUCUAGCCCUAGUCAAGCAUCUAAGGUCUACAAGAAAAAAGAUGUAUUUGAUAAAGCACUUGCUAGACAGAAAAUAGCAAGAAUGAUAAUCAUGCAUGAGCUUCCUUUGAGAUUUGUUGAGUAUGAAGGGUUUAGGGAUUUGAUGAGUUUUGUUCAGCCUUUGCUUGGUAAAAUUUGUAGGAACACUGUGAAAAGAGAAGUUUUUAAGUUGUUUGAUUUUGAAAAGGCUAAGACAAUGGCUUUGUUGGAGGAUAUUACUAGUAAAGUUUCCAUUACUACGGAUAUGUGGACAUCUAGCAAUCAAAAAAAGGGAUAUAUGGUCGUGACAGUGCAUUUUAUUGACAAUUCGUGGACUCUACGAAAUCGGAUCUUAAGGUAUCAGUUUAAAAGUUUAAUAAAUUUAUUUAUAUUUUAUUAUAUGAACUUUAUUUUAUUUAUUCUUCUAGCUGUAAUUCUGUUUUAUUUUUUAUGAAUUGUGUAGAUUUAUAUAUGUGCCUUCUCCACAUACUGCUGAAGCACUUUCUAAUGAGUUGGCUAAGUGUCUGUUGGAUUGGAAUGUAGAUCGAAGGUUAUCUACAAUAACCAUUGAUAAUUGUUCUACUAAUGAUGCUAUGAUUCCGCUUUUGUUGGCUAAGUUUCCUCCUAGUUCAUUCUUAUUAAAUGGAAAAUUAUUGCAUGUGAGAUGUUGUGCUCACAUUUUAAAUUUAAUUGUUAAGGAUGGGUUAGAUGCGAUAGGAGAUGGGAUUGAAAAAGUUAGAAACAAUGUUAAUUACUGGACAUCAUCACCUAAAAGGAUAGAGCUGUUUGAGGAUACGGCUAAUCGCCAAUUGAAGUUAAAUUGUUCUAAGAGUUUAGUGCUUGAUUGUAAAACUAGGUGGAAUUCGACAUAUUUAAUGCUUGAAGUUGCUUUGAUUUAUAAAGAUGUUUUUACUCGUUUGAAGCAUCGUGAUAACCAAUAUAAGCAUUUGCCUACUGAAGUAGAGUGGGAGUUGGCGAGAGUAGUAUGUGAGCGUUUGAAACCCUUCUAUACUAUGACUGAGAUGUUUUCUGGCACUAAAUACCCAACAGCUAACUUAUUUUUUCCAAUAAUUUGUGAAAUUAGAUUAUCAUUGAAUGCUUGGCUUAAUUCUUCAUGUGAUGUGAUAAAAAAUAUGGCGAAAAGUAUGUUAGAAAAGUUUGGAAAAUAUUGGGAUGAAAUCCAUGGUGUAAUGGCUGUUGCUGUUGUAUUGGAUCCUAGAUACAAAAUGGUUCUAGUGGAUUAUUUCUUUCCUCAGAUUUAUGGUAGUGAUGCAUCAACUCAUAUUGAUAGAAUCCGUACUCUCUGUUCUGACUUAUAUUCAGAAUAUAAAAAAAAAAGUGUGGUUGGAUCGAAUUUGGCUGAAGGAUUUGGUGAGUCUAGUGUUGUUUGUAAUUCUAAUUCUAGUUCAGUUGUGAUGGGUAUGUGGGAUGUGCAAAAAUUUAAUGCAUUCAAAAGCCAACAUAUUCGUAAACGAGUUAAGUCGGAGUUAGAUACUUACUUGGAAGAAGAGGAUAAGACUACUCCAGACUUCGAUAUUUUAAUGUGGUGGAAGGUGAAUAGAAGUAGAUAUCCGAUAUUGUCUGAGAUUGCUAGAGAUUUGCUGGCUGUUCCGGUCUCCACAGUUGCUUCCGAAUAUGCUUUUAGUGCGGGAGGUCGAUGUUUAAGCCCACAUCGUAGUAGACUUCAUCCGAGUACAGUAGAGGCCUUAAUGUGUACUCAGAAUUGGAUAUGGGCUCAAUUAAAAGGUAUCAAAUUCAGCUCACUUAUGCACUUAUUUGAUUUUGAUAGUAUUUGUUUUUUUUUUUAUAUUUUACAAGUUUUUUUUUUUAAAUUAGGUGAGAUUCCUAAAGAUAAAGUGAUGAAUGGGGAAGAAAUAAAUGGAGAAGUGACUGAUAAUGAUGAUGAAGAGGAGACCCAACCAUGUUCUGAAUAGUGUUUAUUUUUCUUUUUUUGGUAUGUGUUUGAUGCUUAUUGUUGUGCCUAAUUGAAGAGUAUAUUUUUAGGAAAGGACCUCAAUGUUACAGAUCCCUGGUGUUCUGUUCUGUGGCCCUGUCUUCUAUUACCUAAUCUUCUAUCCUGUGUUAUUCAUCUUAAGUUUCACUUGAUUUGAAAAUCUAUCCGGCUGCCAAAGAUAUUUCAUUUGUUAUGGCCAUGGUGGCAAAUUAUAUGGUUUCAGAAUUUCCUGUUUAGUUCAUAUCUGCUCUAUUCAUGCAUCAAAUGGCAGGUCUGGCUUUUUUCUGUCAUUUUCUCAUUUACUUCUUGUUAUCAGUUGGUUGCAGUUUGAAAAAUUCCUUGGACAAAGGCAAACCUAAAUUAUACUGGUCAGGCACUCAUCAUAUCCGCAGGUAACUGUCACAACUGGCUGAACUUACACUAUUAAGCUUCUUUCAUUUUUCAUUUGGCUCAUUGUGCAUUUAAUAUUAUCUGUGUUUUGUUUGAAUUUGCAGAUUAAUGAUGAUGAUCUAGUUGGAGAUUAAUGAUGUGUUAGAAGAUUGGAGAUUAAUGAUGCGUUAGAAGAAUGAACUUUUUGUAUUUAAUUUGAAAUUAAUUUGUAAUUUCAUAUUAUAAUUUUUUUAAUUCAUAGUUUUGAUAUUUGUUAUGUUUAUUAUUUUUUAUUUGAUAUUAGAAUUUAAUACUGUUUUUAACUAUUUUAUAUUAUUUUAUUAUUAUUUUUUAUAUAAUCAAAAUAAAAUAUUCAUGGAUAUCCGUGGAUAUCCAUGGAUAUCCAUAUCUUUAUGGAUAAAAUCCAUAUCCAUGUCCAAUAUUAAAUACUGGAUAUGGAUAUGGAUAUAUCCAUCAUGGAUAAUUAUGGAUUUGUAUUUGGAUGGAUAUUAUCCAUCCAUAAUUGGAUAUUUGCCAUCUCUAAUUAUUAACUGAAAGGCCAGCUGUUAUUACUAAUGAAAGUAGUGCUGAAAAGAAAUCUUUCCAUAAUGUUUAUGCGUAUGACAGUUUUUUUUUUUUGGGGAUAAGAUGAGAAUGAGAUGACAGUUUCUAGGUAGAAACGCUAGCUACUACUAGGAGUGCGAAGCUAGCUAGCUGCUGAGGGAUGGCAUUUUUCGAUUGUGAAGAAAAUCACCAAUUUGUUUCGAAGGGAUAUGAAAGCCAAAUCGCAAUUUUGUUUCCUCUAAUCCGUUUCAUUCUGGCAUCUAGGCAUUUUGUUGUAUGUUAAUUGCUUUGCUGGCUCAUCGAUCAAGACCAUUAAUUUAUAUGUGUAGCGUUUCUUAUUAUUAGUUGGAAUCAAUAUAUAGACAAGAAUAGCACAGAGCAAAUGUUUCCAGUCGUUUAAUUGCAGCCAUACAUACACAGCAACAAGCCAACAACGUCCGAGAAAACUCAACAAUAGUAAUGAAAAUUGUACAAGAAAAUCAAGGAUCGAUUGCUGAAGACAGCAAAUCAAUUGAAAAGCAAUAAGAGAAAUGCGUAAUUUGAUGAAGAUAAUGUUGGGGAAAAAUUAGGUUUUUAAAUUUUUUAUAAAACCUUUUGAAGAUCGCUCUCAUAUAAUAUAUAAGAAUUUGUAAUCUAGAAAUUGUACCUUGAAAAUCCGAUUUGGCUUUUUCCGUUGAAGUGAUUUAGGCUCCUAGAUCACGAUCCGCCACCACCACUCCUGUUAGAUCACGAUCCGUCACCACCACACUUGUUAGAUCACGAACUGUCACCAAUGAUCUUUCAGGUUAUGACUCAGGUUCGAUCUGCACUUGACGUGUGGGCGCCUUUAUCACUACCAAAGUAACUAGCACGAGAAAAUUUUUCUCUCACAACAAUAGAGAGAAAAAUAUUUUUCUCUGAUCUGAAUAAAGUGGCUGCUCACUUUUCUUUUGAGAAAAUAAGUCUUUUAUAUCAUCCUUUAGUGAAAAUCCUAGGCUCCAAAUAAUCAAAAAAUAAAACCCACGUUAUUUGCUUUUUCAAUAGGAGACCCACCUUGUAAAAUAACAUAAGACCCCUUACACAAAAGCUAAUUAAAUGGAGCCUCCCACUAAAUGAUAUAUUUAGGCUUUUGACCCAAAUAACUAGUUAUCUUACUUAUUAGUCCAGUAGUGGUGCAGUCAAUUAAAUGAGCUAACCCGAGGAUCAUUUGGGAACAUAUAAUAGUGGCUACAAUAAUUAGGUCUGUAAUUAAACUAGCCCAAUUAUUUAAUUCCAAAUCUACUCCACUAAAAGAUUAGAACCGACUUCCAUAAUUGUAUGCUCGAAUAAUAAUUCGUCCCAAGCCACAUUGAUUUCUUUACUGCACAAUCUUUUGUACCACAUCGUUAAUUAAAUUGAUAUCUCAACUGUCCAAUCAAUUUAAUAACAUCUUAUUCCUUGAUCCUUACUGGUUUUCUCUAAUGAUCAUUUUCAACAUACUAAAUAUGUUGACACACUCUGGCCAGAGAAUUCUAUGAUUAAGUGCCGAAAACCCAUCAAGAGAUGUGUUGUACAAAUUCUAUAUUGUUAAUUCAUAACUCCAAUACUCAUAAUUGCUCCCACUAAAAUACCGAGUAAUCUUGACCACAAUGAUGUGUCGUGCCCAUUGGUAACUCAAAUAGAAUAACAAUUACAAUCAUGAAAUCAUAAUUAACUCAAAAUUAAGAUUACAGUAAAAUCAACGCCUAUGAGAUUUAAUAAGUCUAACAGUUAUUACAAAGUUAAUUAAAUCUCAUAUGUGAUCCUGUUCAAUGUAGUCGUACUACAUCAAUAAAUUCAUACAUGAUUAAGAUAAAUUAUUCAAUGAAUUUAUUACAGUCUAUACCUAAAUAAAGUGUCCAACUUUAUUUAUCAACUGCAAACUAAAUUUAUUUAAUCAUAAAAUAACUUGUAUUUAUGUCUUCUGUGAAUCCACAUGGUGAUCACAUAAAUACAUAUAAUAUGAUUAAAUGGACUUUAAUACAAAUAUUAAUGCAAUUAAGAUAUUUGAAUAAAAUACCUCAUUUAUUUUAUUAAUCAGAAAAAUUGUUUAUUACAAUUAAAUAAACACAUAUGCUUUUAAAGAGCAUAUUUUCCCAACAGAUAAUACAUGAGUUACCAUUACACCAGACAAAUAAAAUAUAUAUAAAGCUUGAGCAUUAAAAGUAAUGUCAGCGUUUUAUUAAUCUCUCCAACCGUCUCCAUAUAUAUAUAUAUAUAUAUAGGAGCAGGCAAAGUAUAUUAACUAACUGCGGGAUAAGUCAGGGAGUUGUGAUACCUGAAAAAAGAAAAACAAAAAAUUGAUGUCAAUGAAGAUGAAGGUAAUUAUAUUUCAUUUUAACAAAGAUCAUGAUGAAAGAGGAACUGUGUGUGUAAAGGUGAUGUGUUUAUAAAUAUCGUAGUAGCUUACUCCCACAUUUGAAGUGACGAGAGACUCUCCUACCGCAGCCUUCAAUGAGGCGAAUGACACGGUUGACAUUAAUGAAAGCGGCCAGCUUGGGGGUGAUAGCAGGGCAGACACACUCAAUAUGGCUAACCCUAAUACGUUGGCAACAUGCAGGAGAUGGAGGCUGGCCAUAUACGAUUGGCUUGCAUGCGUUUACCCCCAGCCGCCUUUCUUCGCUGCACUGACUCGGGCUCAAUCCUCCCCCCCCCCCCCCCACUCACCCUUUUCACUCUGCCAUCCAUCAUCAUCAUCAACAACAACACACAUGCCACCCACAACAUAACAAAUGAAGACCAACAACUGUUCUUCUUCUUCAUUGAACCCAUGACUUUCUCUGUGUCUAUUUAUGAUCUAUCAGGCUGUGUUUUUAACUUUAAACAAACUUAUCACCCUUGUUAAUCCAAUCUAUAUAUUUAUAUAAAGUUGGAACUACAAGAGGUGACGUGACAUCACCAUUUCUCAUCUUUAUAUAUUCUCUAUUAUAUAAUAAAUAGAGAAAUUUUCUUUCAGAUUUGGUUUUUUAUCUUCUCAUAAUUAAUUUGACUGUUAUUACACAAUUAAUAUGUAACAGUUCAUCAAAAGACCCACUAUCCUCUCUAAUUGAAACUUUCUUAAUCAUAAAUUAUACAAGAGGUGAUGUUGCAUCACCAUUUCUUAUCUUUGUAUAUUCUCUAUUAUCUAAUAAUCAUAUCUAUAUAUCUAUAUCUAUCUAUAUAUAUAUAUUAAAGUUGGGACUUGAGGAGCUGAUGUGGCAUGAACAUUUCUUAUCUUUGUAUAUUCUCUAUUAUCUAAUAAAUAGAGAAUUUUUUUUUAAAAAAUUUGACUUUUCAUCUUCUCAUAAUUAAUUUGAUUGUUAUUACACAAUAACAAUUAUGUAAAUAUUUUAAUGAAGUAUAUUCUUUGUAAUGAACAUCUAAGGGGGAGUGUUAUGAAUUUAUUAAAAUAAAUGUAGAUGCUCAUAACAUAUAUCUCUUAGUUUCCCAACUAUCUCCCAUUAGCAACCUUUAGCUUCCCUAUAACUCCCAUUAUCUCACAAGGAAUUAUGAUCUAUAAUUUUUCAUUAAUUUCAUGGAGUAAUUAUGUAACUAUAAAAGGAGAGCUAAUCUUUUUAUUUUGUACACACACAAUUGAAAUGAAUAAAAUCACUCUAUAAUAUAUUCUCUCAUUUAUUCUUUAUCUUGCGUUGCUUCUUUAUUUGUAUUGUUGGCUAAUAACUUUUUUUAUUUUUUAUAAGGCUGCCUUAUAUUAAAAAAAAUUAAUUUAUAUUUUUUAUCAGUUUCAUCAAGUGUAAAGUAAGAAAAAAUAAUAAUACUAAAUUUUUUUUAAAAGUCGCGUGAAGUGCGGUUCUAUUUUCUAGUUAAUAAAAAAAAUGAAGAAUUGAAGCCUUAUUCCAAAAAAAGAAUCUAAAAAUUAAAAAAAGUAUAAAAAUUAUGGUCAGACUUGGAUAAAGCCCGAGUACAACCCUAGUUUGUAGGGUCGGCCUUUUUAAGGGUUGGGACCCUUUAUUUUACAAAACUUAGCCGGACCCAUCCCCUUGCCAAGCCUAAUUCCUCCACCACUGCACUUUGCACUCGAAUCGAAUGCAUGAAUGGUAUACUUUUUGGCUAUGUUCGAGACAUAUGAUGGGAUUCGACUAAUUAUUAGAAUUAAAUUAGAUUAAAUUAUAUAUUUGUGCUUAUUUGGUACAAUAUUAGAUUGGGUUAAAUUAAAUCAAAUUAAAAUUAAGUUUAAUGAUAUUUAAGUUGAUAUUUUAUAUAAAACUCAAUUAAUGAAUGAUGUGCUUCUUAUGAAUGAUUAUAUUAAUGGAUAUAAAAUACUACUAAAUAAUAAUUUGGAUGCUUAAUAUUCAUUUUAUUGUAAACUAAUUUUUACAUUUAAUAUUCAAUACUAGUUUAACUAAAUUGUUGAAUUAAAUUAAGUACGAUUUAAAAAAAAUAUUAUUGAAUAAAAUUUUGAUACUGGAUAUAAUAUAAAAUUCUAGGUGAAUAAAUUAUGAAAUUAAUUUUUAUAUUUAAUUUAAGUUAAAUAUUAGUUCAAAUGAAAAAGAAAAGAGUGAUAAAGAGGACAAAAUAUUUCAUUCAAUCUUGUCAAUCUAAUCCUAGUUAGGGCUAGUUUGAGAUUAUGGUGGAAAUUCAAUAAGUUGUUUAUUGCAUAAUUUUUGAUAAAAACAGUGUUUGAUAAAUUUUGUAAAAUCAUAUUAUUUCAUAAUUUUAUUCAUUUUUUCAGCAGCUUUUAAAAGCAGGUAAGGGGUUACUUUUCAUAAGCAGCUUAUUUAAUAAAGUACCACACCUUAUUAAAAUUUUUAUUAUAACCUUAUAUUUUAUUAAAAGAUAAUUGUAUCUUAUAUAUCUAUAAACCCUAAUAUAUAAAUCAUCAGAUCUCAUAUUACCGCCAUAAUCACAUACGUUCUCUCUAAUUUUGAUCCAAUAAGUUCAUAUUCUAAUUUCAUAACUAUAGUUUUUAAAAUUUAAAAUUUAAUAUAUAUAUAUAUAUAUAUAUAUUAAUUGUUCCAAAUCCGUUGCCAAUCUAUUUUUUUUUAAAAAAUCCAUCGUAUUCUUUUUGUUUGUGCAAAAUUUGGAACAUGGAAGCCUGCCUGAGUCUCUUGUUAGGAAACUGAGUAUUCUUUUUUUUUUUUAAUUCGCAUUUUUUUUUCGUCAAUAUCAUAAUCUUCAAGAAAAAUCCGUUGUGCAAUUCAGAAGAGGAAAAAAGAGAGGAAGAAAACAAAGAAAAGAACGAGUGCAUUAAUUCACCGUUCCCCAAUUAAUGCUUGCAAAAUAAAUCAAGUGCAUUCAAAGAAUGGGUGAAUUAAUUCAGUGGUCCCCUUGCCCCCUCUUUUUUUCUUCAUUUUACUGUUCUUUUUCUUGCAAAUAUUAAAAGAAUGGGUUAAUUAAUUCAGUGGUCCCCCCACCCUCUCUUUUUCUUUGUUUUACUGUUGUUCUUUUUCUUGCAAAUAUUACAAUGCUGGAAAAAAGUUGAACGAAACAUUAAUUCAUUGGUAUUAAUUCAACGGUUUAUAUCUGUUCUCAUAAUUUAAUCAAUUGUCACAAUUUAAGUUCGUAUUUUAUACAUAUUUCUAGACCCGUUUAUCAUAUAAUCAUAAAAUGUCUAACUUAAAUGUUUGGGUGAUUAAAAGAGCACCAGCCGCAUGUGAUUCAUCUGGUUGAGGUAGAAUCUCCUCUGCUCUAUUUUGAUGAGCAGAUACAAUGGCACCAGAGCCCUCUUCGGUGUAAGCCAUAGGUCGACCAGAGAGUUGUACUUAAAAAUAAGGCUUGAUGCCACAUCAAGGCAGUAGCUUCACCACGUCCAAACCGUUUGAGGGAGGCACGAUAACCAAUGCACGAUUUUCGCAGUCUAUUUGAUCCAUGAUGGCCCGAAUAUAGAGGACGUGGGGGGAUGUUCAAGACACAAAGGGUUGCUGACUAUAAAACCCUAAAAAACGACAGGAAAAAGGAAAAGAAAGGAAAAAACAAGGCAAAACUCUGCCAUUUUGGAUUCAGAACUCACUUUCAUGAAACCUUUAAAAGACUUUUCCUUCAUUUAACAAUUGUUAGCUUGCAUAGAUCUAUAGUCCAACGUUUUUCCUGAGACCCUACAUACUGACAUAAGUAUCAGAGGGUUUUCGCCGAAAAAAUUACCGACGCCUCUUAUCCAUUUCUGUGAGUUCAGGUCAAAAGAGAAGGAACGAGGUUGGUUGUGGUCGCAUAAUUCGCUCGUCAAGGGAAGGAACGAGUAUCGUAGCGCUUAGCCAAAGUUAACUCGAGUGUUGACGAGACAACCUGGUCAGCCCUAAAAUACGAUCAGAUUUUUGCAUCAACAUUUUUGGCCCCAUCUGUGGGGAGUUGAACAAAAAGCUACUACAAACAGAGCAACUCGCAGAGAGAAGUGAACGCGUGUACAAGGAUAUAUGGAGGAAUAAUGCCCAAGGAGGUGAGCACGAGACUAAUGAGACGAUCACUAUGAGAGAAAUAACAAAUAAGGCAAGGGAGAGAGUGAUGCAUGAACGAAUGAAGCGGAUGGAGACUUUUACCGCCAUAUUGCAUGAGCUGAGGAAUGAGCAGAUAAGGGUUUACAAGACCAAUGUGACAAGAGAUGAUGUUGCUAGGAGCACAGUCACCGAAGGAAUAGAAAUGAGGAGAUUCCUUCAAUAGGGGGCAUCUCGACGGGGUACAUAACAAUGGAGUUGGGAACCCGACUUCGAGAGAACGUGGGCACGAAGGGAGAGACCAAUGUUGGUAUAAAUUCAAAUGCUAUGGGUGCCAAUGUGCAAGUGUACACAACAAAUAAUAUAAUGAUAAGUAUUUAAGAUCGUCUCCACAAAGAUUGAUGUUAUGGAAAUUGCUAUAGCAACCCUAAUAAUUUUGCUCGAAUUGAAAAUAAAUUGAACAAUUAAACUAAUAAACUACCUAAUAAAAUGCAAUAAGUAAAUAUGCAGAAAAUCAAACUCUCACGUCAAACACAAGGAUAAAAUUAAUGAGAAUGAAGUAGUUGAGUGAUUAACUCUCUUAACAGACUUGACUAUUUCUUGCAAUUUUCGUUUAAGUUACUGCAGUAUCCUCAUGUAUCAUCAGUUGUCGCAUGUUGGAUGUCUUAUAUCUAUAUACAACCUAAUAAUGACCAAUUGUUAUGCCAACAUAAUAUAUAACAUUACACGUUCAGGUUUUAUUUACCCUAUAAGGUAAAUCUCUACAUCUAGUUCAUCAUUAAUUUUAGAUUAAGCAUGACCCUUUUGGACUCAAGUUACACUCAACCUAGGAAACACAAUCUAAAAUCAAGUAUUGUUAUGAUGUGUUCUACUAAGAUAGGCCCUUUUUGUGGCUCUUUUCUAGCUUGUAUCAUUAAAUGGUAGUUAGCCGAAAUAAUGACUUCAAAUAAAUACUAUCACAACAAAAUGCUAUAGCAAACAUGCAGCAACAUAUAAAUUCUGUCAAGAAGCCAUUAAAAUUGUUUAUCAUUGAACCACAAAUAAUAUUAGUUCAUGGUUUGCAAAAGAAACCUAAACAACAAAGAUUCAGCCAGCAAAUACAUUCUCAUACCAAAAAAGAAUAAAAAAGAUUGAAUUCCAAUUGAUUCCCGCAAAUUAUCCACCGGUGCAGCCUUGAUUAUUGUUCUUGAAAUAUGUUUUUCCUUUGUUUUCUUUUUGAUUUGUGAUCUUGGUUGACAGCCUACUUUUCUUUUGCAUGUGUGCCUAUUUUAUAGCUCAAAAUUAGGGUAAACGGAGGUCCAAAGAGUGUAUUUUCCCAAUUAGGAAACUAUAUGUCACAAUCUGUUAAUUGCUUUACACGAGAUUUUCUCUGUCGUUGUUUUAUAAUUGUUACAGCAUUGGUUAUUACAUCAAUGGCUACAACAUCUGCACUGUUCCAGAUUUACUCCAAUUCUUCUAUAGCCAUAUUCUUUUGUCCUUUUUGUAAGCCCAUUGCUACAAUAUCCUUCCCAUGAAAUUUAAACUCCUGGUCAUCUACAAUUAUUCAUAUGUUUUAAGCACACAAUUAUUCGAAAUCAAGCACACUUUAUUUAACUUUAACUAAAAUGAAUGUUAAUGUAAACUAUUAUUAAAAUGCACUAAAACACAUCAAUUACUCUCUAAGUAAUAUUGAUUUAAGCUCAAAAGUAUCAUGAUAACUCUCAUUUCAUAGAAUUAUCACACCCCCAAACUUAAACCAUUACUUGUCCUCAAGUAAUGACAACAACACUCACAUUUCAAUCAUACAAUAAUGCAACAAAUAACUUAGCUCUAUCAUCAAAUUUCGCAAGGAUUCUUCAACCCUCAUAUCACACCUUCAAUCAUGUAAAAUUGCCAUAGUAGUUCAGCUCUUGACUUAGGCAUUAUUCUAUCCAAAGUGUGUGUGUGUGUACUUUGAUCAAGUCUCAGAGAUGUUUGCAACAUCACUCAAGCAUCAGAUGCAUUUUACAAAUAUAAAACAAUAUAACCAAAUCCAUCUUGUGGGGGAGACAAAGGUCUUGCAAUAAAUUCACACUGUGCUACAACAAUCAUUCUUAGUUUUUUUUUUCAUUAAUGAAUCAAACCCUUCAAUGCAACAUUGAGGUUUCAUGCGAAUGCCUAUCACUUGUAAUGACGACACCCAAUUACUCACUCAAAGCACAUGUCAAAUUUGCCACAACAAACACAUCCAAGAUUCUAUAUCUAGGUCUUACCUUUGAACACCUUUAACUCAAGGUUGAACAUUGAGCUUAUGAAUAGACUUGGUUACUCAGUAUCCUAGGUAGUGGACCCCUUUGUUUUUCAUUCCUUCAUCAUAUUUUUUUUUCAAUAGUUGCUGCAGCACUGCUCAUAGCUCUCGUUGCAUUUUGAGUCAAGUCUGCAUAUGAGGUGCAUACUCAGCCCUAGUUAUUCAGUAACUUACCCCAUUGGAGUAGAAUUUAUUUCAUAAUAGGCAUAGUUCAACAAAACUUUUUCCCAAACUUGAGGUAUUUUCUACCCUUUUUGGUUUUCCUGGCCCUGCUACAGUAUACUCAUGAAACUCAACCAAAGUCUAAGUGUUGAGAUUGACUUUCAACCUCCAUCUUUAACUAUCCCUACUUGGCAUUCCUAAUUACUGAAUGACAUUCAAUUUAUCUUCAUUAGGUUUUCAAAUCCAUAUGCAAAUAAUAGAUAAUAGAGCUUCACAUAACACACAACACAAACACAUGGAUUUUAGAAACACAAUACAUAAUAACACACCCCCCAAACUUGAGAGGAUUUGUGUCUUCACAAGCACACAAAUUAAAACCAAAACAAACAUGCAUGCAUUAACAAGCAAAAAAUGCAACUUGAUCGAUAAAAAAUAAAUAAAUAAAAGGAAAGUUUCAUAAUUUGGAAAACAAAAUGAAUGUGAGCUGGCAGGGAAUACUCUGAUGCUGUUGAAUAUGUUGCUGCAGCUCUAGCUGAAAGGUUUACUGCUUUUCGGAAGAACUCCUCAAGCGGUCCUUGGGUGAGCCUUGUGGUGGGAUAGUUGGCUACAUUUUCUUCUUGCUCAGAGUUGGGCUGGUUGGUGGAUGUGGUAGUAAGCGUAGUAAAGGGCGACUAGAUGAUGUCUAGAAGCCGCUACACCACAGCCGCCAAGGAAACCUUACAAGUUACCUGAUUCGACAACCGAGGAGAUUCCAAGAAGAGUCGGCAAGAACCGGUCGAAACCUUAGAGGAUGUGGUAAUGAAACAUGAUGACCUGAGUAGAACUAUGAAAAUUAGAUCUAAUCUAAGCCGAAGCUUGAGGGAUGAGCGGAUAGAGUGUUUAAGGUCUCAUGUUGACAUGUUCACCUGGUCACACGAAGAUGAAAUACAAGUGUGCAACCCAAGAGGGGGGUGAAUUAGGAUUCUAAAAAUUAUUUGAUUCUAAAACAAAUUAUCAUGCAAAUCUAGAAUGAAUUUAAUGGAAUAACAAUUAAAUCAAUUACAAUAUAAAAAGAUAAGGAAAUAGAGAUUCAAACACAAAGAUUUUUACGUGGUUCGGCCAACAUCUCCUAUGUCCAUGCCUCCAGGCUUUCCGGGCUUGAGGAUUUCACUAAGUAAGCCUCCAAGGCUUCAAAUGCUUACACUUGACUUCCAAGGUGUCAAUGAACCUUUACAACAAGAGAUUAUCCUCAAUCGCUUAACCCAAUUGUAUCCCAACACUUACAAUCACUCAAAGUAAAAGAUUAAAAAUUAUUUUUCUCUCACACAAUAUUUAAGAUUACAAAUCAAUGCCCAAUGUGUGAAUAGAUAAAGCAAAAAUGUGUUUUAAAACUCUAUGAAGAUUGUAUUCUCGAAUAUAAGCUCAAUGGUCGUGUUGUGAUCAACGUUGUUUGAAUUUGAAUGAGCUUAUUUAUAGUUGGAGCUGAAAACUAGCUAUUAUUGACUUUCUACUCAUUGUCGGAUCGCCGUUAACUACAGUAACUGCUACAGUGAACUAUUUUUAUAAAAUUAUCGUUUGACCUCAAAACUUUAUAAAAUUAUACUAUGGCCCAAAACUUUAUAAAACUUAUCAAUUAGGUCAAUUUUCAAGAUUUUAAGCAAUGCUUGUUAUUUUAAAAAAUCUCAAAGCUUUUUCAAUUGAAACCAUUAACAUGAGAAUAACCAAAAACAUUUUCAUAUAAUAUAAAGCCUUUAUAAAGUCAGAAUGAUGAUUUAAAAACAAUGAAAACUAUUUUGAGCUUUUAAAAGAUUAAUCAAUCUUAAUCAAGUUUGUUAUCAUCAAAAUCAAUAAUAAAGAAAUAUUUAUGUUAACAGAAGAUAUACCGGGAAUUAAUCCAAAGAUCGCUUGUCAUAAGUUAGCAAUCAGGAAAUGGGCAAGGCCAGUGAAACAGAAAAAAAAGAGAUGCUUCAAUCAGGAAAGGUAUGAAGCCAUAAAUAUUGAGGUAGAGAAGUUACCACAAGUAUGAUUCAUAAGGAAAGCCAGAUAUCCGGAGUGGAUUUCUAAUGUAGUGCUAGUGAAGAUAGCAAAUGGAAAGUGGAGAAUGUGUAUGGACUUCAUGGACCUCAACAAGGUGUGUCCAAAGGAUAACUUCCUUUUCCCAAAGAUAGAGCAGCUAGUUGACUCAAUAGUCGGCCACACCUUGCUUAGCUUUAUAGAUGUAUUCUCCGGAUACAACCAAAUGCCUAUAGAUGAGUAGGACGAGGAGAGCAUUGCAUUUAUUACUAAUAUGAGUUUGUUUUGUUACAGGGAAAUGCCAUUUGAUCUUAAAAAUGCAGGGGCUAUACAUCAUAUAUUAGUGAAUAGGAUCUUUAAACCCAUGAUCAGGUGCACUAUAGAGGUGUACGUGGAUGAUAUGAUUACAAAGUCUAAAGAGCCGAUGGAACACAUACUGCAUUUAGAAGAAACCUUCGAAUUAUUGAGGAGAUAUAUGAUGAAACUUAACCCAAAGAUAUGUGCAUUCAGGGUAUGCUCAGAAAAGUUCAUGGGAUUUAUAGUGAGCCAUCGGGGAAUUGAAGCUAACCCAGAGAAUAUAAGCGCAAUAACAGAAAUGAAAUCUCAUUGGACAAUCAAAGAGGUGCAAAGCCUUACGGGAAAGCAAACAGCAUUGAAUCGAUUCAUAUCAAGGGCAACAGAUAAAUGUCACGCAUUCUUAUAGGUUAUGAGAAAGGGGAGAAAGAUGGAGUGGUCAGCAGAAUGCGAGGAAGCAUUUGGGCAGUUGAAAGAAUGCCUUACUAAAGCCCUAUUAUUGUCUACACUAUGAGAAGGUGGUUUGUUUUAUUUAUACUUAGCUGUUUCGAAAUGGGCUACCAGCUCAGUGUUGGUGAGAGAAGAAGAAAGAAUACAACAUCCUGUGUAUUAUACCAGCAAAGCCUUAGUAGAUGUAGAGACCAGAUACCUGACUAUGGAGAAAUGGGCAUUGGCUUUAGUAACAGCAACACGCAAGCUGAGGCCGUACUUCUAGGCACAUUCAGUGAUCGUAAUGACUGACCAGCCUCUUCAACAAGCACUCUUGAAGCCAGAGGCGUUUGGCUGCUUGCUUAAAUGAUCAGUAGAGCUGAGUGAGUUUGACAUAACCUAUCGACCUCGAGCAGCCAUCAAAGCACAAACCUUGGCUGACUUCGUGGCAGAAUGCACCAAGCCGGGUGAGAGAACUUGCGAAGGACAAUCAGUUAGAGAGGCAGAGCCGAUCGAGGUCUGGUUGAUUAUGGUUGACGGGUCAUGCAACGAGCAGGGGGCCGGAACAGGAAUAGUUAUACAUAGUUCAGAAGGGGUCGAAAUUUCUUAUACUGUAAAAUUUGAAUUUCAGGUGACCAACAACCAAGCGGAGUACGAAGCUUUCAUAACUGAGCUUAAGCUAGCGCAUGCCUUACGAGCUGAAAGAAUUGAGAUUUGAACAGAUUCUCAACUGGUCUGUAAUCAGCUUAAUGAACACUUCCAAGCAAGAGGCGAAAAGAUUGAGUUGUAUUUGAGGAGGGCUAAACAAAUGGUCGGAAUGUUCCAAGAGGUAAAGAUAAAGUAGAUAUCGAGAACAGAGAAUUACCGAGCAGAUAUGCUAGCUAGAAUGACUGCAACAGCAGAUCUAAAACUACCAAUGUCAAUCCCAAUGAAGGUCAAAACUUUGCCAAACAUCGAGUAAGAAGCAGAAAUAAUAAGAGUGAAUGCUCAAGAGUCCCGGAUGGAUCCAAUUAUUCAUAUAUCCAUGACGGAAGCUUACCGAUGGAUAUGAAGCGAGUGAGAAAACUAAAGUGUCGAACGACUAGGUAUACGCUGCUCGAUAAGAUACUCUACCGCUGAGGGUUUACCUUACCUCUUUUGCAGUGUUUGGAUGAUGAAGAGGCAAACUAUGUGCUACGAGAAAUACAUGAAGAAAUAUGUGGUAACCACUCCGGAGCAAGAACUUUGGCAUUCAAAGUGUUAAGACAAAGAUAUUUCUGGCCGACCAUGCACCAGAACGUAAUGGAAAUGACUAAAAGUUGCCAAAGUUUCUCAAAUGUCCCUACUCAACCUCCAGAGAAACUUACUGUUAUGUCCUCUCCAUGGCCUUUUGCACAAUAGGGGGUUGCUACACAUGCUACUGUGGCGAUAGAUUAUUUUACAAAGUGGGUAGAGGUUGAAGCUCUAAGCCAGAUCAUGGAAAAGAAAAACCAAGUUCAUCUGGAGGAAUAUUAUAUGCAGAUAUAAGAUCCUUUAUAUACUUAUAAUAGAUAAUGGAAGGCAAUUUGACAACCACAACUUCAGGGAAUUUUGCCAAAAUUUGGGUGUUGAGCUAAAAUUCUGCUCUUCGACUCAUCCCCAAUCAAAUUGGCAGAUAGAGACUGCUAAUAAGGUCAUAAAAAAGCUUUUGAAAACUAGAUUAGGGGAAAAGAAUGGAGCGUGGGUCGAUGAGUUACCUGGUGUGUUAUGGGCUUAUCGGACAACCCCCAAAACCGCAAUAGCAGAAACCUCAUUUGCCCUGGCCUUUGGCCAUGAAGCUGUGGUCCCAACAGAAAUUAGAGUAGGAACACACCAAACCGAGUACUUUGAUGGGAACAGAACGACGAGCAGAUGUGUCUGAAUCUUGACCUGUUAGAUGAGAAAAGAGAAAAGUCCCCGUUGAGGACGAUUGAAUAUCAGUAGAGGGUUGUGCACUACUAUAACCAGAACGUGCACGUGAGGCAAUUCCGAGCCAGGGACUGGAUACUUAGGAAAGUGAAUUAGAGCACGAGAGAUCCCAGCCAAGGCGUCUUUGGCUCUAACUGGGAAGGCUAGUACAGGGUAAUGCGUUUCACUGGUCCAGGAGCUUACAAAUUGGCAUUCCCAAAUGGUCGAAAAGUAAAGAAAUCAUGGAACACGGAGCACUUAAGGAAAUAUUUCCAAUAAGCAAGCCAUUUCAUAUAAUAUUUUAGUUAAGUUGUUUAUGUUUAAUGUAGUAAGAGUUACCACAUGCAUAUGUUUUCCACUUUUUUGUAACUAUUUAAGCAUUCAGUAAUGAUAAGGUGAUGAAUUUCAUUUAGACAUGUCUUACCAAAUUAUUUCUAAGGUAAAUAAAGGGUCAAAUGUCUCAAAGCCUGGUCGAGGCGAGGCGAGUCAAAUGUUUUCCAUAACCUGCUCUGUCAAGCGAGGACGAGUAGGCAAAACUCGCAAAAAUUAUUUCUAAGGAAAAUAAAGGCUAAAUAAGCUCAAAGCCUAUCGAGACGAUACAAGUUAAAAGUUUGCCUUGACCUGCUCUGCUAGGCAAGAAUGAGCAGGCAAAGUUUACCAAAAUUAUUCUAGGGGAAAUGAGGGCUCAAAAGACUCACAACCUUCUCGAGGCGGAGCAGGCAAAAAAUUUGUAAAAAAUCUACUCUAUCAAACGAAGAUGAGCGGACAAAGCCCAUGAAAUAAUCACUAGGGCCAACAAUAAGUUUUGGAAUAUCGGAGUUGGUGAAGAAGUUAAACAUUCAAAAGACAAAACAACAAUUCAUACAAGUCUUCUUGAGCAAAGUAUUAAAAUGAAAGGUAGAAAACAGAAUUUAUAAAUGUUUCAAAAUAUGUGAACAAAUGAAAGUUUGCAGUUCAAACAUGAAAUAAAAUUCAUGGAUUUUGGGAGGAAGGCUCAACUACUUAUGCAGGGGAGGAAUCAAUAGUCAUAGCCGAGGAGGGAUCAGUGAUCCCAACAAGGGCAAGGGCUGCCUCCACAACUGCAUCUGGCGUUUUGUCCCUUGUUCCUUUUUCCUGCUCUUAGCACCCGGAGGAGUCCCAUCUUGGCCUUUGUUUGGUUGAUUUUGCUAAGCCAUACACUUGCUUCAAGCUUAUCUAUCUUCAGCUUUGGAUAUUCCUUCUUAAGGACAGACAUAAUGUAGUUAUAGCUAAAAGCAAGCUCAUAGUCGUACUCUUUAUCCAUCCGGUCCUCCAUGUUAUUGACCUUAUCUUUCAACUUAGUUAUUAGCAAUUUCAAAGAUUUAAUUUGCUCUUCAUACGCUGAUUUCUGAGUAUCUCACUCACUUCGUGCAAUGUCAAGAUCAGAUUCCAUCUCUACAAGCUCAUGAUCGAGUUGAAUGGACUUGGACUCAGUGAGAGCAAUUUUCUCCUCAAGGUCUAGAAUCUGCUUAUGCAGUUCAAGCAACCGCUCCUUUGAACGAUCAGUUGCCUCAGCUUUUUUUCUUCAAGUCUUGAAUAUCUGCUUGUCGUCUCUUCUUAUGGCGAGAAGCCUUGAACUUAUAAUAAGAGGCUGUUGUAGCGGGCUAAAAGGCAAUUUUUUUUAUGGAGCCUCCCAUCUCGGUAAGGGUCAUACCCUCGAGCUCUUUUACAAACUUGAACCCCAUCACCCUGGCAUAUUCCCUUUGGUAUAUGGCCAAGUAAUUGUUUUGGUCUCGGGAUGGAGGUGACGAAGUUCGGUUGGUAGAAGGGGUAGCACUCUUGGGGUAUUCUCGCGAGAUUUUUCACCACCACCCUUUUAGGCCGGAGAGGGCGGCAGAGCUGGUGGAGGAGUGCUGGUCGGGGUGACGUUGCUAUUUUCUGUGGGGUAAGGGCAGAGUCACCUGAACCACGAGCAUGUUUCCUUGCCAUGGCACCAAGGAUCUUGUUAUCCAUCCCCGUAGCUAUAUCGAUUAUGUGGGACUCGACGAGACUUGUUGACGUCAAAAGGCCUUUGCACAUACAAGCGUUGACUAAGGCAGUCUGAACUUUGAGUAACAAUUCCUCCUUGAUGUUGUAAAUCAUGCUCCAAGAAUAUAAAAAACACAGUAAAUAGUAAGAAGGAAGGCAUGAGGCGUGAAAAAUAAUAAAUGGCCUGGGGUGCAAAAACACGUGGGGACAUGAAUACUACCACCACCCGAUUGAAUCACCUGACCCUAGUUUCCCCCAGCAAAGAAGAAUUUGCUCUUUCAUUUUUUACAUGAGGUAGGAAAGUCUGUGAUGAGUUUUCUCUUUGUAGAGCUCAACAUGAAAUAGUACCAGCCCACAUCUUUUGGGUUGUUUCUUAGUUGAUGUAAAUUCUUUAUUUCAUCAGUGGUAGGCUUUCAAGGUUCACACCUAACCCACAGCACAAACAAGCCUGAAAGUACCCUUCAUCUGUUUGGGUUUAAUUGACCAGGAGCCAAAUGUAGGUCACUCAACAACUUCGUAAAAUAAAGUUGGAGGGGCAAUUUAACUCAUAAUUUGAAACACUUCAAGUAUAAGGUCACGUAGCCUUGAGGAAGUUGACUAAGGACAUCACUUUUUUUCGAGAAUAACGAGAUGGAUGUUGUUGGGAAUACGAUAGAGGUUAUUCAAUUUGUAUAGAUCAUUUUGUGUGGUGCUGCACCUUAUAAAAUCCAUGGGAUAAGAAUUAGCUUCUAUCAUGUGGCCAAGAUUAUUUUUUUUAGCUGGUUGGAUCGGCUCGGUGCCACCUUCUACAUUAUCACUCUCUUCGUCAUGACUUUCUACCCCACUCGAGCUAGGACGUUCGUCGAAGCUUGACGUUUGUCCACUUUUAUCCCCACUAGGUUCGUGACCAGAAGGUGGUGGAGUAACCUCUAACGAUGGUUGCCUAAGAGUGCUCUUAGUAUUAGAGGGGUCUACAUCACUCGGGGAAAUCUGGGGGUCGAGGAGAGUCUCUCUUAGCAUAUAGAGGUAUAAAUCUAUUUCUUCAUCACUCUCAAUAUCGAUAAUUUUUCCUUUUAAUUUUAACAUGGAGAAAACUAAAAACAAAUCCAAAGACUCGAACAAGAAAGCACAAUACAAGACAAAACAAUAACAACCAGAAGUUAGUUCAGAGGGCGAUACCUGGGAUGGUUUAGGGUUAAUAGAGUCAUUGUCGCAGUGAAAACGGCAGCAGAAAGAGAGUCUCCGGCGUAAAGAGGGCGCUUGAUUUCAAGUUAAAAAUCUUAGUAGAAAACGGAAGAACAAGUUUAAUGAAGUCCUCGAUUUAGGGAUUUUAUGAAGGAAAGAGAAAAGAAGCGUUUAAGUAACGCAUGUGUCAGUUUAAUCGAGAGCAAAGAAAUCACCAUUUCAAAUUUUAAAUACAUGGUGUAGGAAGUGCCACGUCGCAAGCAUUUAAAAUUAUAUGACAAGAAGUCAGAUCGGUAGUGUACUUGAGAACAUAGGUGUCUGCUCUAUACACAUUGCUCUUGCAGCUACAUACCACCUGGGCAGCCAAAUAAUUUAAGAACGCCACCUCGACUUUGCCAGAUCAGGAUUAGAGCUAGAUAACUUAACCUGCAUUAUUACCAUAAUUGUCUCCUAGUUUAUAGUCUUAGCUCGCUUCACUCACAAUACUAAAAAAUAGGGGGACUGAUGUUUAGGUGAUUAAAAGAGCACCAGUCGUACAUGAUUCAUUUGGUUGGGUGGAAUCUCCUCUGCUAUGUUUUGAUGAGCAGAUACAAUGGCACCAGAGCCCUCUUCGGUGUAAGCUAUAGGUCAACAAGACAAAUGUACUUAAAAAUCGAGCACCAUGCCAUAUUAAGGCGGCAGCUUCGCCACGUCCAAACCAUUCGAGGGAGGCACGAUAACCCAUGCACAAUUUUCCCAAUCCAUUUGAUCUAUGAUGGCCCGAAUAUAGAGGACGUGAGGGGAUGUUCAAGACACAAAGGGUCGUUGCCUAUAAAACCCCGAAAAAAGACAGGAAAGGGAAAAAGAAAGGAAAAAAACAAGGGGAAACUCUGCUAUUUUGGAUUCAGAACUCAUUUUCAUAAAGCCUUUAAAAAACUUUUCCUUCAUUUAACAAUUGUUAGCUUGGAUAGAUCUAUAGUCCAACAUUUUUCCCGAAAUCCUACAUACUGACUUAAGCAUCGGAGGGUUUUCGCCGAAAAAACCACCGGCACUUCUGAUUAAUUUCUAUGAGUGAAGGUCAGAAGAGAAGGAACGAGGUUGGUGUGGUCACAGAAUCCGCUCGUCAGGGGAAGGAACGAGCAACAUAACGCCCCAACCAGAGCUAACUUGAGCAUUGAAGAGACAACCUGGUCAGCCCUACAACAUGACUAGAUUUCUACAUCAACAAAUAUAUAGUUAUAUUUCACUAUAGCCAUGUUUGUGUGAAUGUGGCUUUUGAUUGUGAUAUGCUGAUUAAUGAUAAAAUUGCUUGAUUUCUUGAGUGUUUGAUAUCUAUUAUUGCUUGUUUGCCAUGACUGUAAUGAUUGAGUUGGAUUUUACAUUUUAUUAUUAUAGAUGAAGAACAAUAAUAUUGCCAACUCUACUGAAACUUCCAGUAAUGCACAACUUAUUAAGGCACAAUGGGAUGCAAAUACUCUAGUUAUAUUUUGUGAUUUGUGUAUUUCGGAAUUAGAGGUAGGAGGUCGCCUUGGAACUCAUUUUACUAGUGUUGGAAAUUAUGGAAAGAUUUUAUGGGGAAAGAAACUGGUCUAGGAUGGAAUCCCAUAUUAAAGACUAUUGAUGCUUCUGAAGAGUGGUGGCAAAAGAAAAUAAAGGUAUGAAUGCUGAUUAUUUUGCCACAAUAUUUUUUUGCUAUAUACAAAAUUAGUGUUUAACUUCAUACAAUGUACAUAUACAGAUGUAUCCCAAGGCAAGCAAGUUUCGUAAAGGAGGCAUUGAUAAAUAAUUAGAAGGGAAGUUGGACAGGAUGUUCAUGAACACUGCCGCCAUCGGAGAGCAUGCUUGGCCACCUUCAGCUGACAUCCUUCCAUAUGAAAAUAAUGAAGAGUUAGACAAAAAUGUCAUUCCAUUAGAAAGUAAUGGUGAUUCAUAUGAGUUCACUGAUCAAUUGGAAUUCGACAAAGGUAUUGAAAAUUUUGAGAAAUUGGUGGAUAAAAGAAAUGUUGAAAUACGUAAGAUAACAAAUAAAAGGGUGAAGAAAGUUAAAAAGGUUGGAUUAGGAGGGGCAAAGGUAGGAGGCGAUACGAAAUUAUCACAACAUAUUGACUACCUUAUAAAUGUUGUUGAGGAUAAAAAAAAAAUGAUAUCGUCAGCUAUAGUACUCUUGAAGUGAUGCAAAUGGUUGAAUCUUUACCUGGAGUGGAAGUUGGAAGCGACUUAUGGUUAUUUACCACUCUACUCUUUUUAUCUAAAGAGAAGAGAGAGAUGUUUUCUGUCACGAAAGACCCAGAGACGAUGCUUAAAUGGCUUCAUUUUGAGAAAUCACCGACUUAUAAUCUUUGAAACAUGUUAUUGUAGUAAUCUUAUUAAAUGAUGCUAGAUUUUCCUUUAGGCUUUUAGAUUUUAGUUUCUUUUAGGAAUAAGGUGCUUUAUGAACAAUUAAUUUUAUGAUACUGUUUUCAUACUACUUUUCAUCAGACAUUAGUUAUCAUAAUAAUUAUGAAUGGUUUUUGUAAUUGUUUAUAACAUCAUUUUAUCUUUACUUUUUUUAAAAAAAAAUUUGUUGCAUGUUUAGUGAUACUUUUUAAAUAAUUGUUUAUAGGUUUAUUUUAGAAAUUGAUACAUCUGAUGAUGAGGAGUUCGACCAAAUUGUAUGCGUAUCUGCACUUCUUAUAGAAGACUAUUAUCUCAAAUACAUUUAUGAACAACCAUGUAUGAAAUCUAUACAAACUGGAAAUAUGUGGUUGAAGGAAGUAUUAGAAGGAAAUGAUAAUCGAUGCUAUAGGAUGUUUAAAAUGGAAAAGGCUGUAUUUUUUAAAAUUAUUUGCUGAUCUGGAAACAAAUUAUGGGCUACAAGGUUCAAGAAGAAUGGGCGCUGCUGAGAGUUUAGGAAUGUUUUUGCACACUUUGGGACAUGGGGUUGGAAACAGGUUAGCACAAGAACGAUUUCAACACUCAGGUGAAACUAUUAGUAGAUAUUUUAGCCAAGCAUUAGAUGUUGUAUGUGAAACUAUUAGUAGAUAUUUUAGCCAAGCAUUAGAUGUUGUAUGUAUAACGGUAAUUGAUAUAAUAAAGGCAGAAGAUCCUGAGUUUAAGGAAGUUCCUAAAGAAAUACUGAGAGAUUCAAGAUACAUGCCCCACUUUGAGGUAAUUAAAAAAUGUAUUUAAUUUUUGUUUUACAAAGUUACAUAUUAGCAAUGAAUAUGUUUUCACGCUAUUAUCAAGAUUGUACUGGUUCUAUAGAUGGUGUGCAUGUUCUUGCCACAAUAUCCCUAGAAGAUCAAGUACCAUAUAUUGGUAGAAAAGGAAUACCGACUCAAAAAAUAAUGGUUGCAUGUAGUUUGAUAUGCAAUUUAUUUUUGCACUUGCAGGUCGGGAAGGUAGUGAACAUGAUGUAAGGAUUUUUCUAACAACCCCUACAAUGAAUUUUCCAAAGCCUCCCAAAGGUGUUUUGCUUUUUUUUUUUUUUUUCUUUCUUAAAUAUUUAAUAUUUUCUUUACAAAGUAUUUAAGUUGAAUUAAAAUUUAAUGUUUUAAAAUAUUAUUAUACAAAUUCACAUGUUUUUUAUUCAACAGGAAAAUAUUACUUAGUGGAUGUGGGGUACUCCCAAAUUAGUGGUUUUUUAGGUCCAUAUAAAGGUGAAAGAUACCACCUUCCAGAGUUUCGUCAAGGUACUAAACCCAUAGGUUAUCAAGAAAUAUUUAAUCAUGCUCACUUAUCGCUUAGAAGCAUUAUUGAACGCGCAUUUGGAGUAUGGAAGAAAAGAUGGAAGAUUUUAAGAGAUAUGCCCAGCUAUUCAUUUUCCAAACAAGUGAAAAUAGUCAUUGCAACCAUGGCAUUGCACAAUUAUAUAAGGAGACAUGCGCAACGUGAUCUUCAUUUUGACAACAUUGAAAAUUAUCCUACUUCAAUCUUUGAUGAACGAAUAAAAAGAGGCAAAUAACACUUAAGAAGAGUAUCAUAAUACUAAUGGCUCUGGAUCCCAAGAAAUGAAAAAUUUGAGAAACUUUAUUGCAAAAAAUUUAUUGUAAAUGUAAUACAUAUUGCUUUUUGUUUUAUUUGGAUUAUGUAUAAGUAUGAAUUUUUAUCAUAUUUUAUGUAACAGAUUAUGAAGUUCUUUAGAUUUUUUUAAUUGAGUUUUUUUUAAUGUAAUUUUACAUGUUUAUGAAAAAAAAAGAUAUGUCUAAACAAUUUAUUAAACAUACUCUAAAAAUAAUAAGUAAUUAAAAUGUCUAUUUUAAUCAUUAUAUAAUAAAACUGCACGUUUGUAAUAAAAUUUACUAAACGCAUGUAUUUUACUUUUCAAACUCACAACAACCGCAACAACACAGUUUACUAAACACCAAGCUACUUUUUUAAUCAGCAGUUGAUUUUAUCUGCACAGCACAAGCAGGUUAUUUCAUCAUUCUUCGCAAUCUCAAACUAACCCUUAAAUCCACAUGAAAAUAAGGACUAAUAAUCCCAAUAGAUUUGGACUUAUUUACUAAUUCUAAUAGCCAAACAUGACAUAGGAUAAGAUUAAUUUUUUAGUCCCAAAAUUAAAUCCAACCCCGCAACUUAUCCAUGUUUUUGGGAGAACUUUUUUUUUUUAAUAAGCUCUGAAGAUGUUAUUUUUUCCCCCCUUUUAUUGCUCUUUGCCACGUGGUGUAUUAGCAUGACACACGAGUUCACUCAAAAAUCAAAGAAUCAGAGCCAAUUAGAAUGAAAAAAAGGAGCAAAAAUAAGAAAUUGAGGUUGAGAGAAAUAAAGGAAAAUAACUAAAAAAGAAAAAGAAAAAUUAAAAUGGAUAAGGAAGAAAAGCCGAGGAGAGGGAGAAUUAAAAAAAUAAAAAUAAAAAAUGGUGGGUUUUUAACUUUUUCAUGCUAAAAAAUGAAUACUCUUAACAUCUUUAUUUAACUUAAAACAAAAUAAGUUAUUGAACACCCUUUUUUAAUUAAAAAGAAAAAGUAAUUACGGAUAAUUUAUAUUGAGAAAAUAUUUGGGGUUAACUUUAGUUUACCCCAAUAAUUGUUUUUCUUAUUGUUAGAUUUCAUUGAUAUGGGUAUAGAUUAAUUAUAAGAAAAGGAAAUGUGCACAAGAGAAUGAUAUCAUAUUGGUUGCUAUAAGGUCCACUGGGUUACACAUAAGAUAUUCGAAUCUGAUUAAUAUAGAAUAGUAGAAUUGAAAUGUAGUUGUUAUGACCACGCCUUUUCCCUUCCGGCAAGAAAUUUCGGUGCCGAAUCCUUUAAAUUUGGUUCGAGUAUCAGUGUCAUUGACUGCUCAGUGGCCUUGUAGCAGUCUGCAUUUGUCACUAAAAUACUUAACGUAAGCCCUACGGAAGGAAAAUGGACUCAGUUGCCUGCUUCAUGCAAAUAAUUGUUGACAUGUUUGCUUGUUUGAUUAGGUGAAAAAGAUAAAUUUGUAUCAUUUUAGCAAAGCACUACUCAAGAAUCGAGAGACUGGAAGAAACAAAGGCCGAUGAUAGAGAGAGACCCAAAAAAAAAAAAAAAAAAUAGAGAACAAAAAUGUAUUGGAUAUCUAAAAUGAAAUACUAUAACUUAGAGGGUAACAAAAUUUUCUGAAGUUUGAGAAUUUAUGUUUUAAUUAGAUAUGUGUUAAUUUUUGUAUCACUCAUAGCCUAUAAUUUUUGAACCCCUUAAGAGAUGUUUCCAAAACAAAGAAUCCAUGUGAGUCAAAAUUGAACCGCAGUUAAUUUUGGAUAUAUGAGUUGGAUUGCUUUAAAUUUGCACAGGAAAGAUAUAAUAUAUUAUUCUAAAUACAUUGAUUAACUUAUUUAUUUACCUGAUGAUGGUUGAAAAUAAUCAAAAUGACGUAAGUAGUACAUUAAUAUUUAUUUUAUACGGAUCUUAUUUUUCCUUACCUUACUAUCAUCCUUAAACUUAAUGCCAUCGGCCACAACACCAAAGUCCUUGACGUUGAAAACUCUGUUGGUUGCAUCGAUACCUUUUACCGAAGUAAUAAACAAAACUAGUAUUGAAAAUGCUUGCUGGGAGUAGGAGCUGAAACCCAUUUUAUGACUGAUUGAAGUGAAAGUGAUUGUAUAUUCUGAUAAAUUUGAGCAGACUUUUUUAUUUUUUUUAAUGGUAGAUCGAUCAUUGUAGAGAAAUUUAUAAGGCAGUGCGAAUGCAGUUCCUUCACUAAUUUGGNNNNNNNNNNNNNNNNNNNNNNNNNNNNNNNNNNNNNNNNNNNNNNNNNNNNNNNNNNNNNNNNNNNNNNNNNNNNNNNNNNNNNNNNNNNNNNNNNNNNAAUUAUAAGAAUUCUGCCGAAAAUUCAGUAGAGUUUCCUUUAUAAAUAUAACAUUCUCAAUCUGCAAAUAUGAAUAUAACAUUGCCCAAAAAAAUUCAAUAUACAACCAAGUUCAAUGAUCAACAUCCUCAACAAAAAUAUUAAAUUUUACUCAAAAUAUCUCCAAAGUAUCAAAAGAUUAUAUUAUAACUAAUAUUAAUAUACAUCAGUUUAUUCUUAAUCCCAAAAGAAUAAUAUAACAAAUUUGUACAAUCUCAAAAGAGUGAGAUGAUCAAGAUGUCCUAACAAAAAUCAUCUAUAUCUUUUAACAUAAUCACGUGUGGCCAAGACUCAAAAUAUAUUUACACUCGUUGGGUGGGUUUGGUGUACCUGCAAUCUUCUGGUGGGGAGAAAUAUAAUAAAAACGGGAUGAGUAUAAAACUCAGUGAGCUUAGUGAGUGGAUAGUAAUUUUUGAAAAUAAACCCGUACUUUAAAAGAAAUAAUCAUAUCAUUUCCAAACACAAUUUCAUCAAACCAUAUGCGAAAAACCAAUAAUAAAUCAUUUAACAUUUAAAUCAUAUUACUAACCUUGAAAAACAUAUAUAAUAUCAUAUCUAAUAACCAUGGAAAUCAUAUCACAAUAUCAUAUAGAAUAUACAAAUCUAAAAAUCAUCACCAAACAAGUACCUAAGGGAAUAAUCUUGUCGUAUCUAGACCUCAACGGACGGGCAAUGAUGUACUAUCUAGGUACCGUCACGCCUCGGAGCUACACGAAUAAACAUGUAAAUACCAUCUCAUAUCUCAUCAUAUCUGUGCAUGCAUAAUCUAGUCCCCAAAUGACAAAAGCGCCAAGCACACGGCCUAAAACCUCUGUGUGUAUUCAGACAGGCCCCAAAGGCCUAUAUCUCAUCUGUAUGUCAGUAUCUAUCUGUAUCUCAAUAUCUGUUUGUAUCUCAAUAUCUAUAUCUCUGUAAUCAUCAUACUGCAUGCAUAAGCCCCCCAAAAAGCAAAAGCGCCCAAACACACCGCCCAAAAUCUCUAUGUGUGUUCAGAUGGGCCCCAAAGGCCUCUCAUCUCAUUUGUAUCACAGUAUCUGGAGGGAAGGCUAUUGUCCAAUGAUUUUAAAAACAAUCUCUAUACUCAUAUUCAUAUACAUUCUAAUCAAUACUUUAAAUCAUACCUUUCUUUUCAUUAUCACAUUUAAAUCCACUUUUCUCAUCUUUAAGAUACUAUCAUAUUUUAUUCAAGUUGAUACGGAAAAUCAUUAACCAAAUAUUUUAAUAUAAUAUCAAUGUGUGAAUAAAAUUCAUUUCGAGAAAAUUAUUAAAUCAAAACAUUUAAAAUACUUAUUUCGCAAAUAUGCUUUACUAUCAUAAUUAACUAUGAAAAUAAAUUUUGUAUAUUCCACUCACAGUGACGAUGUUUACACUCAGUUAUCGUCCACGUCUGCGAAUUGGUUCUCGCUCGGGAAUCCUCCCAAAUCAAAGAAACAAUAUAAUUAUUUUUCGUAAAUCAGAAUUAUGACUAAAUUUAUGCAAUAAAAACGAAACGAACAUCUAUCCAUAAUUUACAACUCCCGUGUCGAUAAAAUUACUAAAAUACCCUCGAGUCUGUAAUCAUUAAAAUAUUCUAAAAUCGUAAAUCACCAAAUUACCCUCGGAAUCGUAAUGACACCCAAUCUUCAAUUUCAGAAAUUACUAAAAUAUCCACAGGUUCAAAAAUUACAAAAUUGCCCUCAAAAUGUGAAAUUACCGGAUUGCCCUCGCGGAUCAACGUUCGUUGCCCAAGAAGCACAUGUUAGACACUUUUGGCCACGCUGAGUUCAGUGGUACCUGCAGUGAACUCUAACGCGCGGUGACGGCAUCAGAACUUAGCUCAACAACCACGAAACUCUAACAAUUGGCUGGCGGCGAAACAAUGACUCCCGGUGGUUGUGGAUGGUCGGGAAUUAAAGAAGGAGUCAUGGGGAACAAAACUGAGGUGGUGGCGUGGUCAAAUUCCGGUAGAAUCAACGGCGGUGGUGAUGAGUUUUGGCUGCGAUUUCUCAAACUUGAAACGGCGGCGAUGAGCGGAAAUGACGGCUGGGGUGUGAUCAGUGUCUCACGGGCUUCCGAUUGAUACCUUGCUAGACCGGUGAGGUGGCCGGAAUCGUGAGACACAAUCGGGUCAGGUUCGUGGGUCGGGUCGGGGUUCGGGUCGGUUUACAGCUUCUUUCACUUUCUCACACGUGUAUAUAUGUUCCUCUGUUUCCAGCUUCAUCUUUUACUUUUAUUUACUUUUUAACCGCCUCACCCUUUUUUUUCUCCCACAUAUGUUACAACUUUGGGAGUAACUUCCUUAUAAUAUAAUGGUGGCUGUAAAUUGUUUCUUUGGUCCAUCACUUACAUAUUUCACAAUCCAAUUCUCGCUUUAUACGGUUGCCAUCUCAGGGACAAUAAUAUCUUUGAUCAUAUGUCUCCUGCUAGUUGAGUCUCCUAAUUUUUCUUCAUGAAAUAAGUGAACCGAGAGCCGCUAGCUACUCCAAUUUCUAUAAGGAUUUUGUUCAAUCAAGUAACAAUUUAUCUAUUCAAAAAUAAUCUUUCAUGUAUUAUAACUAAAAUUACAACUAAAAAUAUAAAAAAAAUAAUUAUAGAAUUGAAACGGAUUUGUAGUAUUUGUCAAUUAGCUGAGACAAGGCUUUUACAAUCUUUUAUCACACGUGUGUUUAUAGAUAAAAAGAACUUAAUUACAUAUAAUUUUUAUUUUUAAAACCUUGGAAUUCAACGUAGUUAGGAUUUUGUAUUUUGCACUUUCCCAACUUGGGUUCGGGCAACUUAAUAUCCGGAGUCCCAGUAGCACUAGCACAAAGUAGUCAUUCAUAAUCAUUAACAUAAGUAAGUCGGAUCCACACAUAUCGUUAUACUGAUCAUCGUCUAAAGUUCUAGCUAAAUUAUAUAUUUAAUUAACUCCCUCUCUAGAUACUUCGAUUUUGGUAUCCUGGAUUUUGAUUUCGAUUGAUCUUGAAGAUGGCGGAUGAACAAUCAACAGCAACCAGCACUAAUGCAUUGAGGAUCAACUUUGUAUCAGAAGAACAAUUGGAUGAAGCCAAAAAGACAAGAGGCGAAAGAGUUGAAGAGGGACAGCACAGAGAGAGGCCUCUUCACGAGAUACUGAACGAGAACAAAGCCAAAAAGAAAAAGGAUCUCGAGGACCGCCGGAAGCACAAGCCUCCGAAAUCCUUGGACGAAGACGAGGCCCAGUUUCUUGAUGGAUGGGAGUCGUAUAAGAAGGAAAAAGAGCGGCGGCUUGCUGACCAAGAGGCCCUGGAGCUUCGGCGUUUUAGGGCAGCCGUGGCAUCACAAUGUGUUGCUUCCAAGGAAACAUUAAUAAGCCAUGACGAUGAUCAUCAUCAACAAAGAGUAAUUAUUGGGAAGAAGAAUCCAGCGUCUCGUCCCUUGAGCUCGAUUAUGAAAGUGAUGCCGCUGGCAAAGAAACCUAAGAAAGAUGUUCAGAUUGUGGCAGCAGAAUCGUCUUCAGAUACGAUGAAAAAAAUUGAUGCGGCAGAAAAAUCUCCGGAACCUGCAGUGCUGAAAAGAAAUAGGGGUGAUGCUGAUCAUAAUAAAUGCCCUGUAACAAUAAGUCUGGUUUCAUACGGUUCUGAUAGCGAAGAUAAUCAUUGAUUAGCAUAAUAUUUGUUUAUAUUGUUGCUCAUAUUCUGGAAAGCUUUGCCUUUCGUUGUUCUUCCCGUAAUCAAUUGGAAAUAUUAAUACAUACUUAAUUUUUUUCGUUACUGAUAUUACAAUCAGAUAAUUCUUGAAAUUAUUCUACAUAAAAUCUAUGAAUCACAACUUAGAUUUUCAACCCUCAUUAAUAUUUGAGAAAUACAUAUUGUACUUACAUUUCAUAAAGAAAAGAACUGUCUCUACUCAAUUUGUUCUUUAAUCAACUCAAUCAAGUAGUUGGUUUUUCUUUUUUUUUCUUUUGCAAGUGACAAGAAAGUCCACAUGGCUUGUAUUUACCAUCUUGAUGCAUUUUCUUUUAUUUAUAUUGUAAGAGGUGGUUAAUUUUGGAUUACUCUUUUGUGAAAUAAUAAUUUUCGAAAUAUUCUCAAAUUUAUUGUAAAUCUCAACUUUCCUCCUAUUUUUCUAAAGAAAGCAAAAACAAUUUCGUUAACCCACCCUCAUUUUUCACUUAUCAGUUUGGCAGUGUUUUAAAGAUUGUUAUUUCACAAGAAAUAUUUGAAAACUUAACCAUAUUAAAAUUAUUAAUACAAUACUUUCUAGUUUGUAAUAUCCCUAAAGAUUUCAUUCUAAGUAAUAUGGUGGUAUUCUAAGUAAAGGUGAAAUAAAAUUUCUCAUUCUAAUAGAUAAAUGACAUAUGACUUAAUAAAUAGGCUAAUUAUAAAGAUGAAUAAAAUAAAAGAAAUUAUAAAGGUUAUUCACAUUUUUCUCACUUUUGUUGAAAUAUUACACCAUGGUGCAAACUGACAUAAAUUGUCACAAAGUUAUAAGAAUCAUAAAAUUACAAACCAACAUGUGGGAAUUUAUUAAUUUGGAGAGUUUAUGACUGUACAAGUUAAAAUGUUGAUUGAGAACUUAUAUGGUAUUAUUGAUAUUAAGUGAACCUCACGGAUUCCCAUGAAAUUAUCCCUCACAAUUAAUUAUUAUGAAUAGAAAAAUAGCGAGCGGCCGGCGGUGCUGGUGCUCGACAGGAGCAUGCGAUGACGCCUCUUUUGUUCCAAACCAUUCUCCAUCAAACAAGAGUGCGGCUUCUCACAGAGCAUAAAUAUCCUUAAUCUUCAAACAAACAAUUUAGCCAAGCAACAAGCCAGAAAGUCCCAACAAAAAAUGGAGGCUCUCUCAAGAAUUAGCUUCUUAACAAACUACACUCACUCUCAUUUCCCAAUAUUCUCUCCACUUCCUCAUACCCAGACGCCGCUUUCCAAGAAAACAUCACCAACAUUCUCUUCUUCUCUCUUAAGAACAAGCAGUCGUCCAGGUCAGUCACCACCCCUUUUUUGUGACGCUUCUAAUGCUACCCAGUCAAUUCCAAUUCCAGUUUUUAUGUUUUUAUUACUUCUCAGUGUGUGAAGUUGCUGAAGAGGAUGUUCUGCAAAUGUUCUUUAAAGAUAGAGAAUUGAAUGGUGACUUUAUUUCCAAAACUUCUGAUAUGUUUUGGCUGACGGGGGCUCUGAAAUUUGUUGACUUUGAUGCUGAUGCUGGCAAAUUUGCUGACAAUUCUGAACAAGCUCACCAGGUGGCUUACUUGAUUCUGAUUCAUAAGAAUGUAUCGUAUUCUUCUUUCUUUCUGUUUUUUUUUUUUUUUUGGGAUAUGCAAUUGCCAAUUAGAAUUUCGCUUCGUGUUCUCUGUAGUGGUAUAGAAGUAUGAUAAUUUCGAACAAUUCUGGUUUAUAGAGCAUCUUUCUCGGUACUUUUUGUGGUUCUUAGAGUCUCUUAAGUUCUGACUUUGGAGUAUGGACUCUGGAAUGGUUCUGUCACUAAUAAUGCAGCAAUUUAGCUGUUUCAAUGAGAAAUCUUCCGAAAUUAUUUAUUUAUUUAGUUUCAUGAGUGUCAAAUAAGAAGUUACUGAAUAAUGUAGUUAUGCCAAGUUGGGGGGAAAAAAACAAAUUGAUUCAUUCAAUAUCUUGAAGGAUUUUCAAACUUAGCCAAGCCUGUGUUCUGUUAGAAUUAGCAGUAGCUUGUAUACUCUCCUUUCUAGGCUUUUAUGAGAAAUAAAUUACCGCCCAAGGUGCAGCUCCUUAUUACAAUUGAGGCUUAGACUGGGGUAGAACUGGUGUUUAUAGAAGGAGGACUCAUUCGGUCCCAGUGUUGUUAAAAAGCUCCAUUGAAAUUUCAAGCAGUUGACGAUGCAGAUGCUUUAUUCUGAUCUCUCAUAUAUCACCUCUUCAGCAUUAAACUGUGGCAUCAACUCCACUCUCGACGCAUUUAUGAAUUAAAGUGCGUACAUAUUUCCAUACUGGUUUUAGCUACUCUCUGCUUUAAGGCUCCUCAAUUUAAUUGCUAAGUGUAUGACAUUCUGUUUGUUUUAUUCUGGUGUCUUAGGUGAUUUAGCUUGCUUGUGCUUUUAUUGAUGGUACUAAUAGUUGUAGGUCAUAGAAAGUGACAAUGAUGAUGGAUUUUUGAAAUUACUGAAAACCCAUGAGUGGCUAUUAGGUGACAACUCCGCACCAAUAAAUAAGAAACCUUCUGCUAAGGUAUGCUUUUUCUUGGCUAUCAUUAUAUUAUAAUGGGCUUGCUUGUAAACACUCUUUCCCAUCUCUUCAUCCUUCUUCCCUCCCUUUCUCCCAAUUUCAGCAAAGUAUGGGAAUUUGUUUUAAGUUUUAUAUCUGCAAUUUCAUACUGCUAACCAAUGCAUGUAAAUACAGGCUUUGCAGGAUGACAGUGAAAGAAGGAAGAGACUGAACCUUCUUAAAUAUGAAGCUGUAUGAUACCUUUCUUCAAAUUGGUAUUUCUCAUGGUUAAUUGGUUGUUGAUGGGAUGUCAAUGCCUGAAAUUGGGAUCUUUCUGUUCAGUUCUAGCUCCAUUAUUUCUUUUAAAGUUAGAUUCUCCUUACAUUUGAAAUAUAAAUUGUUUGUAGUUAUCUAACUAACUUUGAAAAAACUGAUUAAUAAAUGAACAUAUUGUAUAAAUAUGUGCAAGGGCGGACUGGUUUCUCUCCUUUUGGUUCUAGGCCUAUGAUUUCAUUAUAUUUAAAUCUGUAACUUUAAUCUUGUGAGCUGAAUGAGCUGAUGCUCACCAUGUGACUGUAUUUUGGUUAAAGGUUGUUCAUAAUUUUCUGUUGGCAAAUGGCAUUUCAAGAGAUGUCUGUUUUCAAAUGAAGCUGCAAAUUUGGUUACCUAAGCUUCUGUUUUGAAACCAAUAUUUCUCCAAUUGGAUCUCCAAGUAACCAGGAUAGGACCUAAGGGAUUCAGUUUUAUGUUAAAGUCAGUAAUAGAACUAAGGGUUCGCAGACUGGGUGUGUUCCAGGAUGCUUUUAUUUUUAUAUUUAUAUUUGUUGGUUUUGAAAACUACUGUUGGAGUCCUACCUAUCUGCUUAACUUUUAGUGGAGCUAGUUUGAUCAAGCUGUCUUGUAUUUGGAUUUUCUGAUGUGUUACUUUCAUUAUUAGAACAUUGAGUUUGCUUCUUGUUCUAGCAAUGUUCCUGUUAUGUUUGAUUUACAUGCCUUGCAUGCGAGGUACGUGUUAGAUUCUGUAGUCUUAGCCUCUUAUCUCUCAGCUUGAACUUUUAGGUUGUGUUAUUACCUAAAAGCUAGCUUCUGCAACAUGGUACCACAAAAGCUGUUUACGAUGCUGAUUUUCGUACUUUGAUCUUGCAGCUGAAGAGGGAACUGAUGCUCUUGUCAGUUGGCAUUGGAACUGCCUGGAGUGGGUAUUGUUUGAUAACGCUCUCAGUCCAGGUAAUAUCUCACAGAAAAGUAAAGCACCAGUAUUUCAAGUUUAAAAAAUGUUUUAUAUCAGACCUUUCUCUAGCCUCUUUAACGGAAGUAUGGAUUAGAAAUGAAUGAGGAUUUGGUGACAAUGGCUCAAACCUACUUUUUAUUAUAUUUUUAUAUAUUUUCAGUAUUUGACUGUACAAAUUGCAACAGAGUAGGCAAAUUUUUUUUUUCUUCCCUACUCUAUUGGAAGGAUUCACUUUUUUUUUUUUUGAAAAAAAAAAAUGUAAAGUAAGAUAUUCAUGAAAUAUUGUAAAUUUUGGGCUUACAUAGAAAUGACCUUGUUAAUUUUACAGGCGGCUUUUAGCUAUGUGGUUGGAGUUCUUUUCAGGUAAGCUGAUGUUUUUAUUUUUCAUAUAUUUAUUUAUGGUGUUUUUUGAUGGGAAACAUAAAACUUUUUAUUAAAAAGAAAAACAUUACAGAAAGUGAACAAGGAGUCCACAAAGAAAGAACCCCUAAAGAUCACAAAAAGUCUAUAUAGUUCAAUGCUGAUAAUAUGACCAAAUAAUUAUAGGAUCUAUAUGACUAAAUGAUCUCAUAACAAAAACAAAUCCAAAGCACUGAGCUAAGCGAACACUGCUUCCAGUUUAGACAAAUGAAGAAGAAAGAAGAAUCUUGAAAUUCCUUUCUAAUGACACCCAAAGAAAAGCUAGUAAUCCUACUCUUUCCCACAAAAAGAUGAUGUCUUCCUCAGAAUCUUCAAAGCGUCCUUCAAUUUCUUUCAAGCCAAUUCACCAAAUAAGUGGACAUAACUGAACAUUUCUGUAACACUCUAGCUUCUCCCACCCCCCACCACCCCUCCGCCCAAAAGCAUAAAUAAUCUCUGAAAGCUGAGAAAUGCUAGAAGCUGGAAUAACUAAAGAAAUUCUAGCUGCCUGAAACAAUGACCACCAUUGUGACAAUGCAAAAACAAAUGAUUUGUACUUUUGCCAUUUCUUUGCCCCAGAUAAGCACACAUUAGGAUUCGUCUUUGAAUAAUAUAGUUUACCUGAAGCCAAGGACCAGACAGAAAGUGGAACUUUUAUUAGGGUCUUUAGCAUUCCGAAUCACUGGGUAAGUUGAUCUAUUUUCACUGAGGUUAAUAUCUGUUUUUUUUUUUUUUGAGAAGAAGGUUAAUGUCUGUUAAAUUAAUAUGUUGGUGAGUCGGUUGUCAAAUUCUAAGCUCGGUGCUGAGUCCUAGUUUUUGAGCUAUGAUUCAAAUGAAAGGUUUAUGAAUAAUAGCAAUACUAAAUAGUGCGAUCAGUUAUCUAAAAGAAUGGUAGAUUCUACUGCCAAUAAUACCAAUAUACCUGGUGAUUUGGACGGAACUUUUUGAUCCAACCUUUUACCUGCCAAUAAUGUAAAAAUAAGUGUAUAGAGAUAUUAUAAUGCAAGGAAGCCAUGAUAAUGUAAGAUGUAAAGUUUCCACCAAAAAUUACUGUUAGUCGUCCACAGGAUUUUUUGGCCUAAAAAAUCAAUAGCUGGAGAAAUGGUCCAUGGGGAUAGAUAUCUUCUAUAAAGUAUUCUCAACUUAGUAGACGCCCUUGAGUGUUUUCUUUGUGGAGGAGUUAUUUUAUUUGGUCUAAUUGGGACUCCAAAGAGCUCAAAGAAUUUAAAGAUAUCGCUCAUUUUCUAGUUUAGGGAAGCGAAAAACUCCGAGAACUCGAGCAGUGCUUUUAGCAACUUUUUUGACAGAAAACUGAAAAAAAGGUUUAUUAACAGCAGGAGACCAUCUGUUCUUAUUACUGAUCCUAAUUCUGGUAGUUUAACAAACCUCAUUUCCAGUGCAGUUGCUUGUACCUUUAGCUCUUAUUCCAACAUGCAGACCGUCUGUCCAAGGAAAUGGUUCCUCAGAUUUUCAUGCAAAAGAAGUCCAAGGAGUACAGAUUAAAUCUUCUGCCCCCCUUUUUUUUGAAAUUUAAUGGCAUCUUUGUAGCUAAGUUGUUUUCUGUCUCCUCCUUGCAUAAGCAAACAUUUCUUUUUCUUUGGUAGAAUUGGAAUAAGAAGCGAGGACCUUAAGUACUUCUUAGAGAGAUCAUUCAAGGGAAGUAGCCUUGCUCUUUCAUCUCCAAGGCUUGUAAUCCCGGCUACAAUAUAUGGUUUGUGGGUUUUGUCUCAUCGGUAUUUUGCCAAUGCCUUCUUUGAUUUCCAGGUAGCAAUUAAAAUAAUUUUUAGUGUUGUCUGCGGCUGUUUGUAUAAGUUUUCAAAUUGAUCAUGAAGCCCUAAAAUUGCUAACAUAAAUUGUGUUUAUUAAUUUUCCCAUUAUCACAGAUUGUUGCAGCCAUGUUUGGCAUGCUUGUAUAUAAGGCUGCCGCCAUUGUUCAAGUUUACAGAGACAAUGAAGACUUGCAAUUGGUAUUUCCAGAAAAUGAGGAAACUUCAAGUGACUGAAAUUAUCCAUAUUAGUAUUCUCUUGGAGUAUUUCAUCUUGAUUCUGAAAUAUUUUCAAGCAGAAAGUACUUCCCAAAGACUAAUUUGUAUGGGCUACCAUCAAGCUUCUAGUGGAAAAAGCGCCCAAAAAAUCUAAGUGGAAUGAUUCAGUUUCUCGAAUAGCUCUAUGGGCCAAUUUGACUGGUUAAAUUUGAACUUCAGAGACUUGUAGGCUACUAUCAGGCACGCCUUCCAAACUCCUACAACUUUUAUGCCAAUCUUUUAAUUGCCAUGAGAUGAUGACUGCUUGAAAAAAAUAUAUAUAUAUUGUUGUGAUGAUAGAUGAUAUGGAACCAUCCGAGUUUGUAAUACUUGCACAGUUUAGGGCCUUUUGGCAAGAUAAGGUUGAUAAAUUUGAGUUAUCAGUAAUCAUUUGUAAUGGGAUGUCAAUCCUCAAAAUUGUUUGCGAGAGUAUGGGUAAACUAUUAGCAUGUAUGCGGCAAUAAUUUGAAUUACAAAUUUUGUGGCUCAACUGUGAUUUUAGUGACUCAACUGUGAUUCCUCUUGGAAGCAUCCUUCACCUUGAUCUAGUCUUUAUUAGAUUCAGCUCUAUGUUUCUCUGAUUGCACGAACAAAUUAGCAAUGUAGGAUGAAGUUCAUCCGAUGAAAGAACAAUUUUCUUUAAGAGGAAGAAACAUAAAUUUUAUAUAAAAGAUUGAACUAUCAAAUCAACAGCCCUCCCAUUUAGUUCUAUUACUUUUGCAUUUAAUUCAAAAAUCUGGACCCUUGCUAAGUUGAGCUAAUUUGUGAAACUUGGUUUGAAAAUUUGUAAAAUUUUAGAGGCCGCCAAUGUAAAAUCCUUCCCCUCUAUUGUAUAAUACUUCAUUUCUUAUCUGCAGUAUAUAGAACAAUAAUUUAAAAAAAUUACAUAAAAUAACACAAGGGAAAACAUGAAAAAAUCUAGUAACAUUUUCUUACAAAGUAGCAAAAUCUAUCCACAAAGCCAUCCAAGAAAUGACCGUACUUGUAUCUCCAUCUCCUGUUGACAAGUAGAGGGCCAAUGAAACACCAAAACCCCACCACAAAUCCAAGUGCCAUGCUUGCGUACAACAACCAAUCCACUUCAUCUGCAUCUUCAUCUUCGUUUCCAUUUCCAUUCGGAACUUCAGGUGCAAAAGUAUUCUUCUCUGUACAAUCAGGAAGUGGCGCUCCACAGAGAUCAUUACCGGAAAAACAAGAUGCACCAAAGCUUUGCAACUGAGUGCUUGAAGGAAUUUGCCCAGACAAGUCAUUUUCUGACAGGUUCAAGUGAUUAAGAAAUGAUAAACUUGACAUACUUGGAGGAACCCUACCAAAAAGUCGGUUUGUUGAGAAAUCAAGGGAUUCAAUUGAUCUCAUAUUUCCAAUCUUCUCUGGAAUUUUUCCUACGAAAAAGUUGUGUGAUAAAUUCAAGGUUUGCAAUCCUUCAAGAUUUGUCAAUUGCAUAGGUAUUUCUCCUGAGAAAUUAUUCUUGGAAAUAUCAAUGCUUCUUACCAAAUUAAGAAUGGAGUUGUAUUCAACCAAAAGCCCUUUUGUCACAACGGAUGCAUCCUCAAAGACAAUAUUGCCUCUCGUAACAAAGUAAUAUAUAGCGUUUUUCUGAUUAGAUGAGUUUAUUGUCGCCAUAGCAGUGAAGUUGUUGAUACAUCUCGGUAUGGUCCCUGAGAGAUUGUUAUGUGCAACAUCUAAAAUCCGUAGAAAAGUUAGAUGACAAAGUUGAACUGGCAAAGAUCCAUUAAAUUUGUUUGAUCGAAGAUUGAGAAUCAACAAUCUUGGAAAUCUUUCUCCCACCCAUGUCGGAAUGCUGCCGAAAAAGUCAUUUUCUCCGAUGUCAAGAGAUAUCAAACUCGAACAAUUCUUAAGUGACACGGGAAAUAUUCCAGCCAAUCGAUUAUUGCGAAGGUGCAAUGACCUAAGAGAACUUAAAGUUCCAAUUGAGAUUGGAAGGUUACCAGUAAAGUAAUUGUCAUCUAAAUUCAGCACCUGCAAAUGAGGCCAAUUCAUCCAACAAUCUGGUAUGUCUCCAGAAAAGUAAUUUUUUGAGAGUUUGAGAGAAAUGAUCACCGACUUAUUAUCCCCGUUACAUAUUAAAUGAAUAAUAGACCCCGAUAAAGCAUUAUUAGAAAGAUCAAGUAAACCAAACUCGAAAGGUUGAUAAGGCAAUGGACGGUGAUCAAAAUAUGGAAUAACACCGUAGAUUUGAUUGUUUGAGAGAUUCAGCUCCUGAUAAUGGGAAGAAUUCCAAAACCAACGAGGAAUAGUUUAUUAAAAUACAAAUUAUUAUUAAAAUAUAUAUAAUAAUUUAUAUUUUGAAAAUUAUUUUGUAUAUUAAAAAAUUUUAAUAUUAUUUGACUAAUAGAAAAAUUAAACUACUUAAAUUAUAUUUAUAUUUAUUAAAAAAUUAAAGCUAAUUUUUUUAAUUACUUUUUACUAAUGGUAUUAUAGUCAAAAGAAAGAUUUGCCAAGGGUGAAUCAUUUGCUGCAACUCAAGAAAAGCCAAUAAAAUUCAGUUUUAGUUCCCUUACCAGCACAAAACCAAUUGAAUCAAAUUUGUUUCUCUCUCUCUCUCUCUUUUGUAGUCUCAUCUAUACAGUUAAUUUGCUCAAACUUGUUUUCUUUUUUAAAUUUGAUUAUUUUUAAUUUUGGAAGCUAGUGUUUUUUAUUUUUGUUGAGAGAGCAUAUUUGAAAAAGGAGAUUAUUUAAAAAAAAAGUAUUUUUGGCAUUAAAGACAAUAUAAUUGGAAAAAAAAUAAGAUGAUUUUGGAGGGGUCAUAUAUUAUAUACAAUAUAAUACACGGGUGGGAUAUUUCUACCCAAUUAUUUGUAUAAACCCAUCCCACUUCUAAAAAAUAUUUAUAAUAAAUACACAUUUUUCUAAUAAAUAAAAAUCAACAAAAAAUUAAUGUAAUUAAUCAAUUAAAUCGUUCUUAUAUUUUUUCUUUUUUUUUACUAUUAAAGUAGCUUUAAUAUAAGUUCUAUUUAAUUAUUUUGCUUUAUGACAUAAAGUGACCCAUUGGGCCAAAAAAAAUUUGUUCUUAUAUCUAAUACUUUAGGUACUUAAUUUUGUGACUUAGAAUCUACCUUCUUAAAUGAAUCCUAAUAAUUUUCAACGUUUUACAUGUAAAUGACAUAAAUUUGACAGCCUAAUAAUUUAAUGAGUAUUUUCUCAUAAAGACAUUAUGCCAGUUUAAUUAAAAAUAGUCCAUUUAAAUUUAGGUUUAAGUAAUCUUAUUAGUCCCAUAUAAAAAAAAACUAAGUUACAACAAAAUAAAUUAAGAUAGAUUUAAUUGAUUAAUUCUUUUAAAUUCUUCUUUAUUUGAAAUUUUUAAAAAUAAUGAAAACUUUUUGAAAUUAUUUUCUAAAAGUGGGGUGGAUUUGUAGAAUUUGUGGGGUAAAAAUAUCAUCACCCAUAAUACACAUGUCCAUAUAAAGAGAGUUAACACAUAAAAGUUGUAUAAAUAAGUUCAAAUAGGGCCCAACACAGAAAAUUAAACUAAUCCAAGCUUUUUUUUUUUGAAUUAAAGUAAUCAGGGGGUUGAAAAAAGAAACUUUGCAUAAAUAUGCACAAACUAUAAAGUGAUGUGGUAUGAAAAUUGUGAUUGAAUUAAGCAAAUGGGCAAUGUUAUAACUAUUAAUUCUUUUGUACUAAUUGAUGUGACACUAUAUGAGUGGUUAAAUGAAUACAUCACCAAGCUUAUUUUUAUUAUUUUAUAUUUUUAUUCAACUAAUUCUUAUGUUAUAUUAGUUUGUAUAAAAAAUAAUUUCUAUAAAAGUUUGUAGUUGUAACAUUACUCAAAAAGUUAUAUGGCUUACAAAAAUUUUUUCAUUAAGGUUGUGGCUAUUUGAACCUCAAAAUUCCUCAACAUACCCAUACUUUUAUAAAAAGUUUUAGUACUAAAUUAUCUGUAAACAAAAUUAUUAAUAAAGACAUAAUACUGAAAUGAUUUUUUUUAUCAUAUUUAAGAUCUCUUACUUUAAUUGGUCUAAACAAGAGAAAUCGAAGUGAAAAAUUGAUUCUGAUAUUAGAAAUAUGCCAGCUAAUUAUGAGAAAUUGGACUCAGAUUUACAAAUGGGUAAUUUCUUGAUUUUGGCAUGAUACGGCAAAGUAGCAAACAUGCUUAAGAAAACGAAAUGUGCAUAAGAGAAUGAUAUCAUAUUGGUUGCUAUAAGGUCCGCCGUUUAUUCAUACGAUAUUUCCAAUCUAACUAAUUUAGGAUGUAAAAUUGAAAUGUAUUUAUGACCACACCUUUUGCCUUUUGGCAAAUUUUCCGUGCCCGUUCAUUUCGAAUUCUGGACCAUCAUUUGAAAUUUCCGCGUCAUUGACUGCUAUGGUUCCGUAAGUGGACUUGCGAUUAGCCUGAGUUACUAGGCACUUAUCACUAAAUCACAUAACGUGACUUAGUUGCCUGCUUCAUGGGAAUAAUUGGUGACCUGUUUGCUUGUUUGAUUGAGUUGGGGGGAGAACACAAAAAACAAAAUUUUGUUUCAUUUGAUCAAUCAUUCAAGAAUCCAGGACUGAGAGCAAACUCGGAACUGUAGAAAACGAAGAAUAUAGAAAUUGAGGUCCCGAGAAAUUGAGAGCAAAAUAGAUAAAGAAGGAUCGGAAAAGAACAAGCUAGAAAAAUUAAAAUGGAAGACAGAAAUGCCGAGAAAAGAGAUAAAAAUAAAUAAAAAGACUAGAGAACAAAAAUGCAUUAGAGGAUUAAAAUGAAAUAAUGUAAAUUAGAGGGUAAAAAUAUUUUUUGACGUUCGAGAAUUCAUGUUUUAGCCUUGAGUGGGGUUAUUUAAACUCACCAAUUUCUCCUUUGUGCCUUAUUUUUUAAAUUAAAAUAUUAAUUAUCAAAUUAAUUUUGAUAAAAUUAUCUAAUUAACCCCUCUUCUCUCUCUCUCUCUCUCUCAAUUCCUGAUCAGCUCUAAUAAAUUCUUUCGACUUUCUCGUCUACAAAUGAAUGUGAAAUCUUACAAAUACUUGAAAUUAAUUUUCCUAUAGGCUAUAACCAAUAUCAAAUCAAGGCUUGGUGGCUCGAAUUCCUUCAAGACUAGGGUUCUCAGGGCCAAAGGGGUUUGCAUGCUUCGCUUAGAAAUUUUAGAGGCUGAAUAACUAAACUCAGCAAACCAUUUGGCUCACUGAUCUUAUUCAAAAGCUCUUCGACCAACAGCUUAAUAAUAAAACUAUUCUUUCUUCAAUUUAUAGGAACAAAUCCACCAUCCAAAAAUGAGUAUCAAGAAUUUUAAGUAACCACGAAAGCAACAAAUUUUUUGUUUUUCCCAAAAAUCUGUGUAAAGUUACAAAUCUUUGCAUUAAAUUGAAAAUAAAUUAAAAAAUCACAAUUCAAAUGCCACAAAUAAAAUGUAGUGGAAUUUAUGAAAAAAAAAAUCCAUGGCCAAAGAGAGUGAAACCAUAAGUUUUUAAUUUGCAAAAAGUGAUGUUGAGAGAGAACAAGCACUGUAAGAAAGAGAAGGAAAUUAAUGGGCAAUUUUAAGAUUUUAAAAUUUUAAUAAUUAUUAUAUUUUUAUGAUGGGUGUAAAAAAAAAUUUAGUGGUUUUAAAUAAUCCCAUCUUUAGCUUUUAGUACAGACAUAAGUUCUUUUAUCACUCCUAACUGUUAAUCUUUUAACCAUACAAUUAAGAAAAGUUUGCAAAGCAAAGAAUCCAUGGAAGAGUCAGAAUCAAACCAGUGGAGACUCUCAAGAUUUUUUUUUCCCCUAGUUAAUCAUAAAAAUAUCAUCGGAACUAUCAAUUUGCAUUAUUAGAUUGGAAGAUUGUGACACAUUAAUAUAAGUCGAACUCGUGGAUAAUUUUGGAGGAAAAUAAAUUUAGCUACCUACUUCAUGCGAAUUGACGACCUGUUUUCCUGUUUGAUUGCGUAUCAAAAAAAUGGAAAUUUAUUUCAUUUUCAAGCAUUCAAAAGAAUCGAGAGACUGAGAGCAACUUAGAAAAGAUAAAAGAGGAAGAAAGUAGAAAUUGAGGUCGACAGAAAUUAUAGAGAGUAAAAUAGAUAGAGAAGGAAAGGAAAAAAUGAAAAUGAAAGAAAUAAAGACCGAGAGACAAAGAGGAAAAAAAGAAGUUAUCAAAAUAUGUAUUGGAUGGUUAUAAUAACAUCGUAAAUUAGAGGGCAAUAGAUUUAUAAAUUUUGAGAAUUUAGUUGUUAUAGUUCUCACUAUUAAAUUUUGAACUCUACGGAGAAGUUUUAAAACAAUCAAUCCGUGAUUAUUCAAGAUUCGGUUACAAGAGCGAUACACUUUUUAUUUUUUAUUUUUUCAUUUUGAGUAGCACUAUUGGCCCUUCAAUAAUCCUUAUUAAGACCCCUGUUUUUUUUGGUUCUUACAACUUAAACCACAUAUGAAAUUACUUUAAAAGACAAAUAAAAUUCUAAUGAAAAUCAUGUAGACUGCACAAUUCUCUUCUACGAGCCCAUUUAAAAUAACGGGAAAAAAUAUUCAAAAUAAAAGAGAGAAAAAAAAAUAAGUAACAAAGAUUUGUUAUGUAAAACAUAAAAUGGUCCACGAAAUUAUUUUCAUUAAAGUGGGGUUAUUUAAGCCCACAAAAUUUCUUUAAACACCCAUAUUUUUGUAGAAAAUUUUAUAUUAAAUUAUCGGUUAACAAAAUUAUUAAUAAAUAGGUAAUACUGAAAUGAUUUUUUAUUUAUAUUUUUAGUCUUUAAUUUUAGGUGUGAAUUUUUUUUUUUCUGAUAACAGAAAUAUGCCAGGAUAAUUAUGAGAAAUUAGAUUCAACGUAAUUAAUUCAGAAUUGUAGAACUAAAAAAGUAUAUAAGACAACACCUAUCCCUUUCGGCAAGAAACUAACCUCGGGAGGAAAAUGGAGAGCCUGAGACCAAACUAGAAAUGAUAGAAGAGGGAAAUAAAUAGAAAUUGAGGUCGAGAGAAAUUAUAGAGAGGCAAAAUAGAUAAAGGAGAAUAGAAAAAGAAAAAGAAAAAGAAAAAGUGGAAGAAAGAAAGGCCGAUAGCAGUGGUUAAAAAAAAAAAUUGUUAGAUGGUUAAAAUGAAAUACUGUAAAUUAGAGGGUAACAAAAUUUUCUGAUAAAUAAAACGUAACAGUACUAAUAAAAAGAGACUUCAUACAACUAUAUAUUAAAUGUCAGAGAUCCAAUAGCAAGUUGUAAGUAUCUUAAUUAGCUAAAUUACACUUUCCACUUCUCUUUUUUUUACAUUUUAAAAAAUAUGUUCAAAUCCACAGGCCAAAGUAUCUUCAUUCUAGAUUUAAUUUUUGUAAUGCCUAUCUGAAAAAUUUUCUCCAUAAAAAAUUUUCUUUAUAGUUUUCACGAGGCCUAAAAUACUUUGUGCAAGGACAACAAAUUACAUUCCUUCACUUUCCAUUUAUUUAAUUUGAAAUUGAGUUAUUCGUUUUGCGAAUCAAAGAUAUUGUACAAAAAAUUGGGCUGCUGGUCCAGCAGAGACUUUCUUAUUUUGUUGGUCAAGAGAUUUCAUUGGCCCUGAGAUUAACUUUGGUCUAAUUGGUAGGCUAAGUAGACAAUGAAUAGAAAUUGUCAAGACAUGAAGCCCUCAAACUACUAACAGUACUAGUGUUUAUUCAUUUGUAUGCAUAUUGGUUCCUGUUAUUCCCAGCUUGUUCCCGCCAUGUUUGUGCAUAAGGCUGCUGCUCUUGUUCAAAAGUUCAGUCACGAAACGAAAACGUUAUUGAACUUGCUUGAAAGAAAAAAUUAGGAAUUUUUUAAUUAUAAAUAGAGGAAUCCCUCACUAUGUGCAUAUGCGAACUACAGCAUCCUGAGAAUAUAUUGAAGGGUAAAAUGGGUAGGAUCACAUACUACACUAACUUAACAAGAUUUUCAAGCAAGUGCAACAAAGUAUAACUCCAAAUACUGUAAGAAACAAUAGAGGAAAGAAUUCUUAAAAACCAAGUUCAUGUGUGUCUUAUACUUAACUCAAAUUCAGUCCAAUUGAGGUUAAAGCUUAAACCAGUCGCAAAACAGCAGAUCCGAUGGGUGAGCUGCGAGCUGCGUCGAUGACAAUGGUUGUGGCUGCAUUGGUGACUAUGGGUUGGCUCUAUGUCUACCGUGCCGUCUUCGAUCAUUAGUGCUGUCAGCUACCACUUUUCUUUUGCAUUGUGUGUGUGAAAAGAAGAAGAGAUUUGUUCGUAGUCGUGUGUGCUGUGCGUGUUUCAAUUUGAUUGUUUUUUGUUAUAUUUUGGAAUGGCUAAUUAUAAGAACUAACUCAAUACUUCAACCUUUAAUUAAUCAAGAUCGAAUUGAAACAAGAUUGAUAAAGAUCUGAGUAAAGAGCAGAAAAACAGAACAAGAUUUCAGAGAACUAGCUAACAGACUUGAAGGAAAAAUUCACACUCUUUCAUUCAUCAAAACUGAGUACAAAACCGAUCACAAAUGAAGAGAAGAUUACAAGAAUCACGUGUGUAGAAGAAUUAUUCUAAUUGGGGAAGAAAUGAGUGAAAAAGAGCUUAUAUAUCAGAUGCUACAAGCUAGCUUCACGUUUUUGGAAAAUUUCCAGAAACCAUAUAACGAACUUUAACAACUCAGGCCACGUCAGCAGAAAUUUACAAAUACAUCCUUCAACUGAAUGCAAUCUGCACAAUGACCCAUGCAACUCUCAUGUGAUUUCACUUUAGUCCCAAAAAUCAGUUAAUCACUUAUCUAGAUUUUUUAAAGUUAUGGUGAAAUGAUGCCAUUUCAUAUGGUGAAACGAUGUCGUUUCACUUAUCUAGAAACGACAUGUCCUUUUUAUCAUUCUACAUAGGAUGACAUAUUGUUUUAUAUGGGAUGACAUGCAGUUUUAUAUAGGACAACCUGUCAUUAUUUAUAGGAGCUUCUUUUAUUUUAAAAGAUCAUAUUACUCUUUUGAUGUCAUCACUUACAAACGGCAACUAACGGAUUAAUGGUUGACAUACAAUUUUUGUUACUUAAAGUGAAUGAUUGAUACACUCUUAAAAUGUUAUAAUAUUUUUAAUAAUAUUAUAAAUUUAAGACAUAUGAAUGAUAAUUUCCAAAAAAAGAAAAAAGACACUUCAUUGAUCUACAGUGAUCCUACUGAAUUCUAAAGAGAAGAAAGUACAGUAGAGAUGCCUGGGCUUAACUUCAUCAAAUGCUAAUGUGCAAUUAACCCGUGCGAGCUAUAACAAAUAACUCUUUUAGAAUUUUCUCCCGCGGUUAGAUUUGGUACUUCCAACUAACACAAUAACAGAUAACUUGUAAAAUCGGGUGGUAUGAAAGCCCUCUAGAGCCCAAAUCUUUAGUUCCCCUUGUUUGGACUUUGGACCUUCUUCACUCUGGGGGGCUUUUGGCAACAAGUCCACAACGUAACGCCCACUAGAUCACCCGUAUACUGGAAAAUUUAAAAAAUAAAAAAUAAAAUGAAGUGUGAAUCCAACAAUCAAGUGACGUCUCCAAAUUAACGUGAGAAAAUUGUAGAGCAACAAGCAUCGAACUCUCAGUAAGAGUGAGUCGCACUGUUAUUAACAAAACAAAACAAAAACGAAACAAAACAUGCUCUCUGUCAAGUGUCUCUCUGAUCAAAAUUAAUUUUCCAUUUUAAUUAUUAUAAUCACCAGAUCAAAUCGAAAGGAACCAUAAUAUUUAUUCACCAAUUUAAUGUUAGGAAAUUGAGCUUCCUCCCAAGAUCACUCCAAACAAUUUGUCAAGCAACAAACUAAUAAGAAAAAUAUUAAAUAGAGAAUACAUCAAUCACACAGCACAAGAUUUACGUGAAAAACUCUAAAUUCGGAGAAAAACUACGGCCGUUGUCACAAGACAACCAGAAAAAAAAUAUUCACUAUAUGAAAAAUUAUUACAACCACAUUUUUAGAAAUAAUUUUCUCUCACCCAAGCCCCAAAUAUAUGAUCCCGAGAAAUAUUCUUCAACAAAACAAACUCGUAAUACCCAUAUUGAGGAGCCAAAUACUCCUUCAAUAUAACUACAUGCUUAAGAACAUUUCUCUCUCUCAAUUUCUCAUCAAAACUUGGAUACAAAAGUGAGGAGGAGCACCCUCUUAUUUAUAACCAAACGGAAGCACUAUUCAAACCGCGUUAUUGUUCAUGCCGGGUUACUGUUCACCGCGUGGUCAAACCUUUUUUUUUUUAAUCAAUUUUCAACAAUCUCCACCUUGAUUAAAAAAAAAUUUCAUAGCUACUGCUACAACACACUGUCUUCACCAACAAUCAUAAUUCUCAACAUAGAGAAUUAUCAUACUCCACCAUAAAAAAAUAUACUACUUAGAAUCAGCCAUUUUAAGAUUUUUCUCUGCACAUGUCAAACAUAUCCGCUGAACAUUAUGGUGCAAUUCUCAAUGUUUGGUUCCCUGAGAAUUCUUCAGCCAUGACAUAACUUUUCCACCACACACCUUGCAUUUAUACCAAGCCAAUGCCUGCGUGCAAACUUGUAGACCUCGCUGAUAAUAACAUGUUCUCUUUCAUGGCAACUUGGAGAUCUACAUGCCGAAAGAACUAACUCAGUCUCUUAUCAAAAGGAAACUCACCAUCUGCGAGAAUAUCAGUAUCUCUUUUUACUGAUUAUGGAGCAAUUUGCCGAUCCCGCUCCACCUUCUUGACAAUUUCCUUAAGGUGCUAAAUUGCCACACCUUCAAAUCUUUUUGCAUACUAGAUUGGACAAAACUUUGACUUGAUUUCUCCACAAGCCAAAAAAUCAUUCUCCCAUUAAUUUUUAUAUUUCAAAUUUCACCGGAUUUGAAAAUUUCAAUCCUGACAUAUUUACUUUGCAGAUAAGCUUUUACUCUUCACCGCGGACUAUUUGGAUUGGCUCCCACUGCUUCACGUGAACAGUAUCGUAUACAUGAAUAAUAUCAUAUACGUGAAUAGUACCGUGUACGUGAACAGUGUCCCGACACCAGAAUUUCAACUAAUGGCUCUGAUACCACUGUUAGGAAAUUAAGCUUCCUCCCAAGAUCACUCCAAGCAAUUUGUCAAGCAACAAACUAACAAGAAAAAUAUUAAAUAGAGAAUAUAUUAAUCACACAACACAAUAUUUACAUGGAAAACUCUAAAUCCGGAGAAAAACUACGGUCGUUGUCACAAGACAACCAGAGAAAAAUAUUCACUAUAUGGAAAAUUAUUACAACCACAUUUUCAGAAAUAAUUUUCUCUCACCGAAGCCCUAAAUACAUGAUCUCGAGAAAUAUUCUUUAACAAAGCAAACUCGUAAUACCCAUAUUGAGGAGACAAAUGCUCCUUCAAUAUAACUACAUGCUUAAGAACAUUUCUUUCUCUCAAUUUCUCAUCAAAACUUGGAUACAAAAGUGAGGAGGAUCACUCUCCUAUUUAUAACCAAACGGAAACACUAUUCAAAAUCGUGUUACUAUUCAUACCGCGUUGUUGUUCAUGCCGCAUCACUGUUCAAACUGCGUGGUCAAAUUGCGUUACUGUUCACCACUUGGUCAAACCUUUUUCUUUUUUUAAUCAAUUUUCAACAUUUAAGAAACAAUGUCAUUCCCUCUUUUUAACCCUAGAUCAAAAUUCACAAAUGGCUUAUCAAAAAGCUCGAGAGCGCGACAUGCUGGACUCUAGGGGUGGGCAAAAUCGGGUUCGGGUCGGGUUCGGGUCAAUUCAAUCGGAUUUCGGGUUGAUUGGGUUGGUUAAAAAUUAAUCCGAAUGAAACCCGAAUUAUAGACCCGACCCGAUAGUUCGGAUCGAGUCGGGUCGGGUCAACGAUGCGGGUUAAAUUCGGAUAGGAUUGGGUUCGUAUGUAAUCAAUUUUGAAAGCUUCAAAAUCUUGUUCGGGUCACAAAGUCAGAAAGGGCAGACCGGCAAAGCCAAAAACUCGGGUCGGGUUGGAGCUUGAGCCUUGGAGCAGCAGAUCGGUGCCCACGGCAGCAGAUCGCAGACGAGUUUUCAGCAGUAGAUGGGCACACGUGCAGCGGUAGAUCGCGACAGCUGAAUGCACAGCAGCAGCUCGCGACGACUAGUCGGAGAGGCAACAACAGAUCCGGGACUGGAGAGGGUUGUGUGUGUGAGUGUUGUGGCUGUGGGUUGUGUGUGUGAGAUCGUGAGGGUUGCAAACUUGCAGAGGGUUUGUUGUAGUUUGUUUGUAAUUUGUAUUUUGCGAUUUGUGAAUCUGUUUGUGUUUAUGAAAUUGUGACUGUGAGUGUGCCCGUGUGGUGUGUGCGUGUGUUUAGGUUAGGUUUAGUUUUUUUUUUUUUUAUAACCCAAUCGGGUUUUCUGAUCGGGUCGGUUUUACCCGACCAGAUCAAAACCCGAUCGGGUUUAUAAAAUUUCAUCCUAUCGGGUUUCAUACACAACCCGAUCAGAUCCGAUCCGAACCCGAAAAGUUUCGGGUCAGAUCGGGUCGGGUCGGGUAUUUUGCUCACCCUUAUUGGACUCCCUCUACUCGAUGCUAGCGCUCAUCUUCAUACUUGCCGCUUGCGUCGAGCUCUGUGACGUUGCCACCAUUGUCGACAUCUAUCGUCUCAUUCAAUACGACAUCUCCGGCGUCCCAUUUGGAUCUCGGCUGGCGAGCCUCAAUCACCACACCGGCUUGCUCCAUUUUUCGCCCGGCGCGGACCAGUCACGAACCGUUGUUGUGAUUCCGGUUCGCGAAUUGAACAUUAGCUUGUCAGAGGUAUUUUUAUUUAGUUUUUUAACGAUUGUCAUUGCUAAAUAUAAAGCUUUUGUGAGUUAAGAUUUAUGAGAUUUUCUAUUUUCUAUUCAAACACAUCCAAAUUGAUUUUUUAUUCUUAUAAGUUCUAAUCACUUGCGUAAAACAAAAGUAAUUAAUUAACAAUAAACAACUACGUAUAUGUAUACAUCUUCUUCUACACGGUACUAUAACUCUUAUCUCAUUAACAAUUCCAUUCUUGUUAUCUAAAACACUUUGAACGCCCAAAAAGCUGCAAGCAUGACAAGUCCACUAGCAAGACAAACAUUAUUCAAUACCCUUUCUGCCCUUUCCUUUUUCUCUUUUCUAUCAAUUUUCCUCAUCAAAAACUCCUCAUAUCUCUCUUUCACUUCCUCUCUCCUCCCAUUCUUUCUCUUCCCACUCUCCAUAACCCCUUGCAAAAUUACCAAACCAUCAUUCCCACUCAAAUUCCUCCCCUCCAUGUCUUUCAUUUGCAUGUUCACUUCUUUCACAGUUUCACGCAUAACAUUUCCUCACCUUUCUUUCCCCUUCCCCCAGGUGUCACCAUCACUUCACACUCCAUGCACUCCCUCGCCGGAAACAAUCCCCACCGUUGAUUACCACCUGCGGCGAUCACCACCGCAUAUUUCACGUGCAAGUCACUUGUCAACCAGCCUUGUCGCACGGAAACCGGCAACCGGCUGGAUAAGUUCACCGCCCGGUUUCUGCUAGAGUCGAUUAUUAUCCAACUCAAUGUCAAGUUCUUUUCAAGCUCUUCAAACAGAAUAUUUGCUUCACUCACAAAGGGUAUCUUCGUCGGAACGGAAUCUUUCGCGUCGACCAGGUCAAUGCUUAAAGGUGGGAACUGAAACCAGCCGGUUACUGUCUCAUUCUCUGCAACCCUAGAGAAGACGGGAUCGUUUCUGUAGUAAAGAUCAACGGCCGAGAUUAUCUGUUCGGUGACAAGUAAAGAAUCAUCAUCAUGAAUGUGUUUUGAGGGUUCUUUUUGGCAACCAAGAACCGGGAAUGAGUGAGAGAAAAAAGACCGGUGACCACCUCCGGGGUAGGAGGAGACGAGGGUUCGCACACGUGGGUCGUUAGAGGAAGGCCACGUGGAGGAGCAGAUAUGUUGCCAGAGUUUUUCUUGUGCACAUAGAGAGUGUAGACGAGAUGAAGUGCAAGCUGCGGCGGCAAGAGUUUGGCCGUCGAGUCGGGUUAAGAUAUGAGUCUCAAUGAUGUCGGGAAGCAACGUUGUGAUGCCUUGAUGGCUUGUAAAUUUUGUGGGACAAGGAGAAGAAGCCAUUGCUUCUUAAUUUUUUACCUCAAAAUGGAGUUUGAAUGUUGGGUUCAUUUAUAAGCAAACGAGUUAGGCCUAAUCGGUCUAAUAACAAUGUUGAAACAAAUAAUGAUAAAAGGUGGAUCAGUUUUAGAAAAUGUUAUUCUUUGGUUAAUCCAAUCAUAGGAUAAGUUGUUGAUUCGCUUUAAUGUAAUGAGAAAGAUUUAUGAAUUAAAUUCUAAAAGUCAAGGUUGGUAGGCUAUAGACAAAUGCAUAAAAGAUAGAAAAAGGGAAUUUCCAGGCAGUGGAUGAAAAAGAACAAGGACCUACAUUCAUAAACAUUUCAUUAAGAAAGGAAUAACAGUCGACGUUUUUUUUUUUUCUUUUCCCUCUCAAUCUUUUAGAUUUAAAAAAAAAAAAAUUUAUGGGCCCUAAGGCGUGUGGUGGAGUGUUUUUUAAGUAAUUUAAUUUAAUUAAUCACUUGAGUUCAAAUUCUGAGAAAAGUAGAGAAAUGAAAAUUGAUUUAAAAUUUAUCUUAUUCUCUACCUUUAAAAAGAUUAAAUAUAUAUAUGUAUGGUAGUUUAUAAAAAAAUUUGUGCUAUUUUUUAUAUUUUUUCUUAUAAAUACAAAAUACAAUAGUAAGAUAAGAGGAUUCUUAAAAUGAUUUUCAGGUAGUUUUUCUUUGAUUAAACCUAUGUUUUGAGGGCGGAUAAAAGCCUAAAAAGUCAUGAAUCUAUAGGUUUCGUCAACUUCCCCAAUCUUUUUUUCUUUUUCUUUUAAAAAAAUCUGUUAGCGAUCUACUUGUUUUGUCAAUAAAUAAUAAAAUGAAAGCUUAUAAGAAAAAAAAAUUCAUUUGUAUAAAACCUUUUUUUAAAUUAAAGAAAAGCACUUUCAAUUUUUUUUUUUUUGGAAGUCUAAUGAAGUCAUUGCGAUUGAUUGUCACUACCUGCAAGAUAUCAUAACGUGUGAGUUGUGACCAAGACCUUAUCCUCUCAGGAAAGUUGGAUGAAAAUGUUUGCUACAAGGAACAGAUCAACGUCACAACACAAGUUGGGAUAUUCUUUUUUAAUUCACUUGUAAUAAUUCUAUUUAAAAAAGAAACAAAGAGAAAUAUUGUGUUGUUUUUCUUUCAGUACUCUGGUGAGAGGUAUUCAUUGCCAUGACGUGGCUUAAAUUUAGUAAAUAAACAAUUCUCUGUAAAAGUGAUGCUACAAUUAUGUAAUAGGUGACUCAAAGUUACGUUAAGCGUAACUUACGUUUUUUGUCUUUUUCUUUUGGCUAAUUUCACUUAAGUCCUUAUAUUCUUUAUGUUUUAUGUUUAUGGAUGUAUUUGCCUUCUUCUAUCAAUUAUACAUCUAUUUUUCAUUCUUUCCAGGGUUCUUUUUAUUUCUCUAAAUAAUAACAUAUGAUUAUCAAAUUCAUAUAAAUCUAUGAAUUCAAAUAUGUAGAUACACCAGUGGUACAUUUAACCAAGCACAGGUAAAUUAUCCUGUACAUGAAAAAGAACUACUUGCAAUAUACAAAGGAACAAAAAAGUUUUCAUUAUUCUUAUUACAAAAGCAAUUUAUAAUAGAGACAGAUAACUCUCAGGUAAACUCAUUGAUAAAUAGAAUUUUGCCAAACGAACCUCAAUACAGAAGGUUACAUAGAUGGUAGGCUUAUUUGUCAUAUUACAAUUUUAAAAGGUAUAUCGGCGGGAAUCCAUCGACGUAAGUUCCGGAGAUGAACCCGAAUGGGCAUUAGUCCGGUCCGUAUUGAUGGGGAUCUAACAAUUUCCUUGCAGAUUUUUUAAGCAAGAACAUAGAAUUUAGAGAUGAAUCCAGAAGUAAAUAAAAUUCUUUCUGGAAUAAAUGCCGAAUUACAUAGAUUGGCAACAGAAGCAUCAGACAUAAUCGAUGCCAUAAAUUAUAUUAAAGAGGCUUCAGAAGCCUAUGAAAAAGGAGUCCAUUUGUUGGGAUCAUACUUAAACGACCUGACAAAAGCACUCUCAAUAAACAAUGUGCCAGUUAGCACCAGCCCAAUGGAUACAGGAAGCAGUGGUGGACCCCUUAGAGACCAUAAACCAAUCUCUGAUCCUGCUCCUAGCCAAACCAUAUCCAUAGAAGUUGAUCCUCCAAAACCAAGUCCAUCUAAGAAAUACAUCCAAAUAAAUAAUCCCUAUAUUAAAAUGUAGGCUUAAAGUUUCGUCUAUAUUUUUAUCUUUUAUGUGCACACAAUAUCUAGGGUGACAUGUGAAUAAUAGCUUAGUAUAACAUAGGUUUCCUUCUGUCUUUUUAUUUUUCUUUUGUCCUUUUUUCAUUACAGACAUUUCUAUUUUUAUUUUUCCUACUUCCUGUUUUAUUUCUUUUAGUUCUUCCUUAAGAUUUAAAAGUAUCUCUUUUAAUUCUCUUAAUGUGGUUUCCAUUAAAUCUAAGGAUACUUAUUGAAGUUUUACUUAUUCGGAUGUAUGUUACGUUGCAUGUAACAUAGGUUUAGCCUUAUGUAAUUGGGAUAAAAGGCGUUAAUAUAUUGCUUGUAUUUAAAGGGUGUGUUCUGCACACUGUAUUAUAUUCUACUGUAUUAUAUUAUUUUAAUACAAAUGUAUUAUAUUAUACUACAUUACAUUAGUAAUGUAUUAUAAUAAUAUUGUAUAAUGGUUUGUAUUACAUUGUAUUGCAUUAAUUUUAUUGUGAUUAAUUUAAAUUAUACAUUUAGAAAAUAAUAUUUUUUAGUACCUAGAAAAAUAUUAAGUAUAGAAGUUUUAAAUUUUAAAAAUUUAACAUUAUUUUUAGUAUAAAUUUUAAAAAAUAUCAUAAUUUUUUCAUAAAGAUCGAAGCUUAUAACUUUACAUUUUUGGCAACAUAACAUUCAUUUUUCACUAUUUUCUAAAUAUAUAAUGUGUAAAAUAAAGAUCAAAGGAUAUAAUUUAAUCAAAUAAUCUCUAAAUAAUAUCAUAAUCUAAUAAUGUUUUAUAUUAUUAUUUUAUUGGUAUUAAUUGUAAAUUAAUAUUAUUUAAAUUUAUUCAUUUACAAAUAUUUAUUAUUAGUUAUAUUAAAUUAUUAUUUAAGUAAUUAUUAUUAGUUAUAUUAAAUUGUUAAAUAAUAAUAAAUUUUAUAUAUUAAUUAUUAUAAUAUAAUUUUAUAAUAUAAUAUUAUGUUAUAUUUUUUUUAUAUACUAUUUAAAUACUUAUUAUUAGUUAUAGUAACUUAUCAAAUAUUAAUCAAUUUUAUUUAUUAAUUAUUAUAUAAUUAAAUAAUACAUUAUUUUGUUAUAUUUUUAAUAUAAUGAAAAUUAAAAUAUGAAUAAUAAAUAAUAAAUUUAUUAAUUUAUAUUAAUAAUUAUGAUGUAAAAAUAAAAGAAAAUAAAAAUUAAUAUCAUAUUAAAUUAAAAAGUUAUAUUUAUUUAUUAUUAUUUAUUAAAAAAAAAAAAGCAAAAGCAAAACACUAAUAUGGCAACUACCGCAUUAGCUAAACCCAACUCCGCAUUAGCAUACCCCCUUUAACCCAUUACAAUUUUUUUACAAACACAACCUUGUUAUUAAGUUAAUGUGAACUGUAUUUUAAUACCCUGUAAUCCUAUGAUUCAAGCACAGCCAAAGUGAUGAACUGAGACCAGCAAAGCCAAACCAAAUGAUUUCAACGACAUAGUUGGGAUGAUAAAACAAGAAUGUUCUACCUACAGUUAUGGUUCUGGCUUAUUGACAAUCAUUCAAGCAAACUUACUUCAAGAAACGUGUAACAUGAGGGCGAUUCCCACAUUGAUGAUACAGGUACAAUUGAGGUCUUGGCCACUGUGAAAUUGCAGCACAUAGCAACAAUGGCAAGCAUUAAAUUGCAACCCAGGCUAGCAUUCCAUUAAAGACUAGAGAUGGCUGGACUUGAGAAGCAAAAUGGAAUGUUAAGCAUCAGAAACCUUCUUAAAAGAAAAGCAAGUUUCACCGUCAAAACUUAUGGAGUACACCUGAGAGUUAAGCUUCUCAAAGAAUAAUAAUCAAACUCAAUAAGAGAUGAAGAGUAGCUCAACUGAAAGAGUUUCAAAUAAUUCACGCAGCUCCAUCACAGUAUAAUCAAUCACUCAUCACCCCAAGUUGAUGGUCCACCCAAUCCAACUUCAGGUUCCUGAGACAAUUGAACUGUCAGACCCAUACCCCUGUUUUUAGAUUUCUUCUUCUUAGCAGAAGAGGUAACUAAGCCAUCAACUGAGUUGAAUUUAGAAGCUUCAUUAACCAUAUUGUCACCAUCAAAUUCAGGAUUUCCUGCAAUAUUGGCAGAGAAGAGCUCUGUGAAAGCGGCUUCUUGAUUGUCAAUAAUGUCAAGUUCUCCGUGUUUCUCCUUUGACUGUUUCUUCUGUUUCUUUUUAAAUAUGUUAUCAUCAUCGUCAACUUGAAUGUCUUUGUUUGAGUGAUUUUCACUGGUUUUCUUUCUCUUCCGCUUCAGAUCUUUCUCCAUAUCAACAUCUCUAGAACUAUUUAGAUCGCCAUCUUUGUUUCGACCAGGCACAAUGCCUCCAGAGUUCAUUGCAUCAUUAAUAGCAUCAAGCUCCCCUUCUUUCUCUUUUGACUUCUUUUUCAAUUUCUUCCCUGCUGCAGAAUCACUUUUGCGCCACUGAAUUUCUUUAUUUGAGGGUUUGUCAUUUGUUUCUCUAGUGCCAUCUCUUUUCUUUUCCAUAUGAACUUUUAUCGUGUCAUCAGCAUUAUUUGAGGAAUCAUUAACUUUAUCAACUAUAUUGUCCUUCUCAUUUUUGGUGAUUCUAUCUAUUGGUCUAGCAUUGAAUAUAUGCAAGUUUGGCAAUAGAUUUUUGACCUGCAACAAUAUUGAACAUAGAUUAAUCCAGCUAGGAGCAGAAUUCUUGAAAGAUGAUUAACAUGAUAAAAUGAUUGCGAUAUUACCUUCUUUGCCAAUUUAUCAUAUUCAGCUACAGGGUUUCCUUGUAGAUUGAGGUUAUUCAGACUGACUAAUGACUUCAGCACCUGCUAUUCGAGCAUGUUACCAUUAUGCAUGGUGACGAAGUAUAUAGAAAAAACUUGAUGAAAACAAAUAUAAAAGAAACAAAUAUUUCAAUGCCUCACCUUCAAUUCUGACCAUCUCGUGAUCAAGUUCUUUCCUAAGUCUAAAUUUUGAAGCUUCUUAUUAAAAGCCAACUCGGCCGGAAGAGUCUAGACAAUUCAGAGAGUGAGACAGAGAAAGACAACAUAAGAAAUGAACAAAAUAUCAAUCAUGAUAUUAACAAACAAAAAAAAAUAUAAUGAAUUUGAGGAUAGCCUGCUAUCAUAAAAUGACCACUGGGUACAUGAUUUACCUUAAUGUCAUUGUCAGCAAGUCGGAGUUCUUUCAAUUCUGUGCAAGACUUGAGCGAAGAACCAAUAAUCUGGACUUGGCAGUUUGAGAGAGAGAGCUGGAGCCAAUCUUGAUUAACAGCCUUAGCAACAGUCUUUCAAAAUAAUAGCUAACGGCAAUUAAUGACCAAAGCAUUGCUUACCUUUGUAAUAGCUUUCAUAUUGAGCAGAGAAUCGCCAAUUUUGCGAAUUGGAUUUCGAGAAAGAACUGCAUGAGAAACAAACAUUUAUCCCAAGAAUCAACUUAAAUUCCAAUAAUGCUUUGAUCUGAACACAGUAUCAUCAAUCACGAACAUGCAAAAUAAAAAAGAAUUGCACACAAGUUUGCUAUCUCCUCAAAAUCAAACAGGUUUGCUCUCUACUCAAAAGUCUUUCGACCAUGCCUUAACCAACCACUCCUUUAAACCAAAUCCUAGAACAAGUAAAAUUUAUAGAGUUAAAAAUUAUUGACUCUAAGAAAAAUGUAAUUGUUACUUCUCUAAGAAUUACAGCUCUUAUUCCUCUCCCAUUCUCGCCAAAGUUCUAUAUAGACAACACCACUUGAACAAACAUAGGCUAGAGCAUGUAAUGUCAAUCUACUAACAAACAUCAGCCAAGGAACAGAUUUUAUCAAACACAAUGAAGUGUGAACAUGAAGAAAUAAGAAUCUGUACCAAGAGAGUUCAAUUCCUUCAUCUGAUCAAGUUUGCAUAUCGAAACAAUCUCAUUGUCUGCACAACCACCCCGCCCAACAAAAAAAAAGGUUAAAAAACGAACUGAUUUCCAUAUUUUCAUAUCACCAACUUACAAAAAGGGCGCUGCAAUUAGGGUCUAAAUCUCACCAUUCAGAAUUAAAGCACGUAAGCUCACGACAGACAUCACCUCAUCCAUCGAUCUAAGCUUAUUUUUGCCCGCAUUCAACACCUGAAUUUCAAAGACAGAACAAGGUGAAUUUAAAUAAUCCAAUUAGCUCAUCAUUUUCAAACCUAAACUACUUCAAACAACUAGUUUAGAUCGAGCAAGUGUCCCAAUGGACAAUAAUAACAAACGGAUAAAAGAUUUCAACCAAAUCGCCAGUAACAAUAAGCAUCGGAACCUUCUCAUGGGAAAACAAGAAUCUCUCAUAAGCAACCAUUUAAAAGUGUAAAAAAUGUAAAAUAUCACGAACAAAGCAAGGGAAUGACACUUACAGUGAGCUUAGAGAGUCCUUCGAUUCCUUUUAAGCUUUGCAAUUUGUUUUGCACAACUGAUAGCCACUUCAAAUUCACGCAAUGCCUCAACCCCUUCAAAUAAAAUUAAAAAAAUAAUAAUUAAAUUUCAUGCCAAGAAAUGAUAAAGGCGUAAAUUUGUUACUGGGGUGUUGGGGAAAUGAAUGAAUGGUAGGCACCUCAAGAGAAGUGAGGUUGUUGGAGCUAAGGUCGAGUCUCUCCAAGUUGUUGAAAUCGGUCAAGCAAGAGAAGUCGGAGAGAGCUUUGUGAGUGAGAGUCAGAGAUUUUAUGGAAUUGGGAUCGCCAGUCUUGCUGUCCUUCAAAAUUUGCUCGGUGCUCAGUCGUGUCAUGAUUUGGCUUCUUCGGUUUAGUCUUUGAGAAUUAGCAAAACCCUAGCUUUGAAUGUCUCUGCUUCCAGGGUUUAUCUCUAAACUCCUAGGCAGUGUUUGUUCCGUACUCGUUUGAGUCAACCGACACGUCGUUGCAAUGUAAUUCUUUUUGCAAACCUGAAGGAGUUCAUAUUAGUGAAAUUUACACAUAUGAUCCAAUUGUUAGGUCAAUUCACAAAAAAUAGCUCAACUUUUCUCUCUCUCUCUCUCUCUCUUUUUUUUUUUUCCCUGGGGCCGGAUCACAAUGCCCAAAAAUAUGUUUGUUAUAUAUUUUUCCUUUAAUUAGGUUUGAAUGGAAAGAAGAAACCUCCCCGUUAAAUAUCAAACUCUUAACCCUUUUAUUACAAAUUGAACUUGAGUCAUUUUGAGCACAAAAUGCAUUCACAAGCAGCCGAUCUCUACCUAAAAGUAUCUAUGUUAUAUUAACUGUAUACAGUUUAAAUAAUCUAUCACACACAGUCACUCAGUCAUAAACAAUCUAGUUUUUUCAUCUCUUUAUCACUGGUACCAAACACCAUUUUCUUCACUCAUUCUACUCUAAAUCAUUAUCAAACCCCAAUCGUAAAAAUAUUAGGUUUGUGUCUGGAAUAUUGUGAGAUUUUUUUUCUAAAAUACAAAUUUAAUUUAGAGAAAAUGUUUGUAAAUUAUCUAAAAUGGUUCUUCAUUAGCAAUGUAGGAUGGACUAAUGAAUGGACAACUCUUAUUUUUUACCCUCUGAAACGAAGAAACAUAAAUUUUAUGUAGAGAUUGGACUGUGAAAUCAAUAGCCCUCAUGAGUCCUUUUGUUGAUCUAAAUGCUGAAACAUGGUGAAAAAAUAGUGUAAUUUUGGAGGGCUCCAACGUCCAAUUCUUUCCUUUUAUUGUAAUGAUCGAGUGACAUUGCAUCCUGGGCCCCAAGUACAUAAUCCAACAAACAUACAGUCACGGAAAAAUCUAGUAACAUCUUCUUACAAAGCAGCCAAAUUCAUCCAUAAAGCCAUCCAAAAAAUGACAGUACUUGUACCUCCAUCUUCUGCUGACAAGUAGAGGACCUAUGAAACACCAAAACCCCACUACAAAUCCAAGUGCCAAGCUUAUAUACAACAGCCAGUCCACUUCGUCUUCAUCUUCGUUCCCAUUUCCAUUUGGAUCUUCUGGUACAAGAGGAUUAUUCUCAUUACAAUUAGGAAGUGGAGCUCCGCAUAGAUUGUUGCCGGCAAAACAAGAUGCAUCGAAGCUUUGCAAUUGAGUGCUUGAAGGAAUUUUCCCAGUCAAGUGAUUGUUGGACAAGUUCAGGUGAUUUAAAAAUGACAAACUUGGCAUACUUUGGGGAAUUUUACCAGAAAGUUGGUUCGCUGAGAAAUCGAGGGACUCAAUUGAUUUCAUAUCACCAAUUUUCUCAGGAAUUUUGCUGGUAAAAAAAUUGUGGGACAGAUUCAGUGAUUGCAAUUCUUUAAGAUUUGUCAGUUCCAUCGGUAUUUCUCCCGAGAAAUUAUUCUUCGAAAUGUCUAUGCUUCUUACCAAAUUCAGAAUGGAGUUAUAUUCAACCAUAGACCCUUUCGUCACAACUGAUGCAUCCACCACAACUUCACUCUCAUCCAUCAUUGCAAUGUAGGAUAUCGCAUUCUCUAGAAUAGAUGAGUCCGUCUUCGCCAUAGCAGUGAAGUUACUGAUGCAUCUGGGUAUAGUCCCUGAGAGAUUGUUAUAAGCAACAUCUAAAAUUUGUAAAGAAGUUAGACGACAAAGUUGAAUUGGAAAAUCGCCAUGGAACUUGUUUGAUCGAAGAAUGAGAAUCGACAAUCCAGAAAAUCUUUCUCCCAUCCAUGUUGGAAUAUUCCCGACAAACUCGUUUUCGCCCAUGUCAAGAGAUACCAAACUUGAACAAUUUUGAAAUGACUCGGGAAUGACUCCAGACAAUCUAUUAUUGCGCAGGUUCAAUGACAAAAGAAAAUUUAAAGUUCCAAUUGAGGUCGGAAGACUACCAGUAAGGUUAUUGUUACCUAAAUUCAGCAUACCCAAGCCACGCCAAUUCAUCCAACAAUCAGGUAUAUCCCCAGAAAAGUAAUUUUUCGAGAGUUGGAGAUAAGAAGUGCUCUUUAACCCAUUACAUAUUAAAUGAAAAAUGGACCCCGAAAAACCAUUAUUAGAAAAAUCAAGUAUGCUAGAUGGCGAUGGACGGUAACGAAAAUCUAAAUUUGGAAUCUCACCGUAGAUUUGGUUGCUAGAGAGAUUCAAAUAUAUGUAUUGGAAAAUGGAAUUCCAAAACCAACGAGGAAUAGUUUCUGAAAUUCUUGUGUUGGAUAUGUCCAAAAAAGACAAAUGCUUUUGUGAAUGAAGCCACGAUGGAAAAUGAGGCCCUAAAUGACAUGACCUCAAUUUCAAUGUAUCGAGUUGAAAAGGAGGAACCCAGUUCGGAUUGACUUGCAAGAUUAGCGGGUUACCAGAUGUAGAAAAUGAAGUCAGUUUUGUUAGAUUGACAAAAUGAUUUUCAGAAAGUGUUCCACUCAUCCUAUUGUUGGACAAAUCUAGAUAUUCUAAGUGUGAAAAUUUUCCCAAAGACAAUGGAAUAGAACCAUUCAACAAGUUGUUGGACAAAUCUAGAUAUUCUAAGUUUAAAAUUUGUCCUAGAGACAAUGGAAUGGAACCAUUCAGCCUGUUUCUGGAAAGAUCUAGAUAUGUCAAAUACGUAAGUUCUCCUAAAGCAGAUGGAAGUGGACCUGAAAGAGAGUUGUUACGUAGUUGAAGUCUGUUCAAACUUUUAAAUUGCCCAAGUUGAUUUGUCAAGUGACCUGAAAAUUGACAACUCCUCAAAACUAGUGACUCUAGUGCAUAUGCACCACAUGCAGAGAAAAUAUCUAAAACUUGUGAUAAGUCUUGACUCAAUUUAACAAACGACAGAUCGAUUGAUGUCAACUUACAAAGCCGUACAAACGAUGUUGGAAUCUUCCCUCCAAGCUCAUCAUUUGAGGAAAGGUCGAGAGUUUUGAUAGAAGUCAAGUUUUCUAGACCAAUCGAUGAAAUCGUACCUUGCAAGGAAUUAUGUUGAAGAGAAAGGAACUCAAGAUCAUUAAACUUAGACAACCAACCAGGUAUUGCAGAAUUGAAUUCAUUAGAAGAUAAAUCAAGAUGUCUAAGAAACGUCAAGUUUCCUAGUCCAAUGGGGAUUUUACCUUGAAAUUUAUUACCCCCUAGAUCGAAAAAGACUAAAUUAUGAAGACCAAAAACCCAACUGCUAUAUUGAAACAAAGAGUUAUUAAAUUGGUUUUUGGAAAGAUCGAGGGCCUUAAGGGAGGAAAAAUUAGCAGAGGAUGACGGAGGAAAGUGAUUGAGUUCACAGUAGGACAACUUUAGUACUUUUAAAGAAGAGAGUGAGUUUGCGACAAGUAACCAAUCAGUGGCUUUUCUAAGGUCAGCCUGACUCAGAUCAAGGUGCUCUAGCAAAGAAAGACCAGAUAGCCACGAAAAACUUUCAACUUGUAACUUAUAAUUCUGACUGAGAUCAAGAUAUUGAAGACUAGAGAGAUUUCCAAGUUGGUAAGGAGUCACUCCUGCAAAUUCGGCUUCAGAGAGAUUCAGGUAUCUAAGGUUCUUAAGAGAACCAAGAUAUUUGGGAAUCUGAAUUCCAUGGAAAUCAUUUCCGCUCAAGUCCAAGCGAAUCAAAUGCUUUAAGUCAACCAAAGAGGGAUUUAUCUUACCAACCAGCUUUGACCCCGUGCCAUUAUUAGGAUUAGGAUUUCCAAGGUUGAGCUGAAGGACAUGGCCAGUGAAGUUGUUACAAACAACACCAUCCCAUGCACAGCAAUCUUCAUCACUAAUAUUCCAAGAGGCAAGACGGCUGGAAGGAUCUUUGAGAUCUUGUUUCAACUUUAGAAGUGCUUCUCUCUCACUGUCUACGCAACCCACGCAAGGGUUGCCAUUGCAGAAGCUGAUGUUGAUCAUAGUAGCUAUAAAAAAUAAGUCAAGGAAAACAAGGGCAACAGAAACACUCAUGAUUGUUGAUUUCAUCGCUGUGGAUAGAAAUUUAAUUAAUGAUAAGAAAUGGAAGGGUGCUUAUGAGAAAGUUAUCAUUUUGAAUGAUAUUUAUAAUGUCCUCCGUUUGCCCAUUUGAUGAUUUCGGUUCAAUCUAAUUUGGAAUACUAUGAUAAUCAAGUCUUCGAGAAAAACUCAGCUCUUCGAGGUCAUUAAUUAAUUAACUUCUAUGGGUUCCUCUGGGUGGACUUGCAAUUUUCAUUAUUAGAGUGAACAAAUGUCACACUCGUGUCAUUAAGCCACUUAACAUAGUUAAUUUUGAACAAAAGUUGUUUACUUGCCGGCUUCAUGCAAAUAUCAACAGACGAUACGCUUGAAGUAUGAUAUUCAAGUUCGUGUCGAUCUUUGGAUUAGUUUUCUUUUAUUAUUAUUUAGCCGGCAACCUAACCCCCCUCACCCUUUUGAGCUGACUUCAAACUCUAAAUCUCUUAUUUUCAUCACAACUGAUUUACUAACUCAAUUAGUUAGCAGCCACAUAAUGUGAAUGAUAAUGAACUAAUUUGUCCCACUAUUUUUUUUUCUUUUUUUAUAUGCUAGCUUUGGUUUGGAUCAUUGAAUGAAUAUUUUCGGUCACAGACUUUUCUUUUAACUCGGGUAUUUUGAAGUAAUUUAUACGUAAAACAGAACUUGGACGUCCUCAGGACGUGCCAGUUUAUAGAAGUAGUGAUAUUGAAGGGAAAAAUAUUUAUAAUAAAUAUUGUACAAAAUCAAUUUAUACGUCGAAGUCAAGAGCCGGCAUCUACAAUUUUUUCACCGUUCAUUUCAAGUGACUAGCUAGUUUAUCCCAAUGAAUACUGAAUUUGAAUAUAUUUAUAAUAAUCAAUGGGACAAGUUAAGCAGCCUCAAUUUUAUAGACAAUUUUUACACUAAUUUGAACCUUUUGAUUAAGAAAGAAUGAGCGGUCGACAUUACAAUUCAAUUACUUUCAUUAAUAAUAUUGUUCGCUCUCCUUUAAUAGUUCCUUUCAACAUAUUAACAGUACAUUUUUCUCCCUCAUUGCCUUUUCUUCUAUUUUCUUUGUUUUUGAACUGUUGUGCGCAAGUUGGUGUCGACUUUGGGGAAUCGAUAAUGAUCUAACUUGCCCUCUUUCUUUUUAAGUUUGUAGGGUGGUUGGACAAUUGUAACUUUAAAUCUACAUUAUUAAGUGUUGGAUAAAAAUUUAGUUCAUUUUAUUUCACAUUUAUAUGAUGAAAAAUUUAUAGUUAACUUUAUUAUUUUUAUCAAAAUUAUUAUUUAAAAAUUAUUUUCACUAUACGCUAUUAACUUUUAUUUCAUAAUUAUAAUUUUUUUUUUUUACACCAAUUGUCUCAAUACCAAAUAAAACCUCGACAAACCAUUGACAUUAGGUAUGCAUGGUUCGUAGGCUAUAAGACUUUACCCAUUGAAAUGUAGGAUUUUACGUACUAAAAGUAAGCUGUCUAAUUUUAUUAAGAAUCAUGAUUCUUAAAAAAGUUAACUCCAUGAUCAACAUCUCUAGAAUCAUUUAGAUUUUGGAUGACCAUCUUUGUUUUGACCAGGCACAAGGCCUCCAGAGUUCUUUGCAUCAUCAAUAGCAUCAAGCUCCCCUUCCUUCUCUUUUUAUUCUCACUUACCACUUUCUUCCCAGCUGCAAAUCAAUUUUGCUCUGCAGAAUUUCUUUCAUUGAGAGUUUGUCAUUUGUUUCUCUAAAGCUAUCUCUUUUCGAUUCCUUCUGAACUUUUAUCUUGUCAUCAGCACUUUGAGGAAUCAUUAACCUUAUCAACAGCAUCGUCCUUCUCAUUUUUGGUGUUUUUAUCUAUUGGUCUAACGUUGAAUAUAUGCAAGUUUGGCAAUAGAUUUUUCACCUGCUAUGACAUUGAUUCUAGAUUAGUCCUGCUAGGAGCACAAAUCUACACUUGAAAAACCAUCAUUACCUUCUUUGCCAAUUUAUCAUAUUUAGCUACAGUGUUUCCCUGUAAAUUGAGGAUUAACUAAUGAAUUUAGCACUUGCCAUUUAAGCAUGUUGCCAUCAUACAUGAUAAGAAAGUAUGUAUGUAGAAAAAAAAAUUAAGGGAGAAAUAUAAGAGAAAAAAUUUUCAUGCUUCACCUCAAUUCUGAGAUCUUGCUAUCAAAUUCAGAGAUUGAGAUGGAGAAAAACAACAUAAGAAAUGAACAAGAUAUCAGUCACAAUAAUAACAAAUAAAAAAUAUAAUGAAUUUGAGGACAGCUUGCUAUCAAUAAAAUGACCACUGGGAACAUUGUUUACCUUUUUGUCAUUGUGAGCAAGUCGGGGUUCUUGUAAUUCAGUGCAAUACUUCAGUGAAGAAGCAAUAAUCUGAACUUGGCAACUUGAUAGAUAGAAUUGGAUCCAAUUUAGAUUAACAGCCUUAGCAACAGUCUUUCAAAAUAUUAGCUAAAGACAAUUAAUGGUCAAAGCAUUGCUUAUCUUUGUAAUAGAUUUCAUAUUGAGCAGAGAAUCGCCGAUUUCGCAAAUUGGAUUUCGAGAAAGAACUGCAGGAGAAUCCAAAAUGCCGAAGAGCAUGAUUCAAGUACACCAUCGUCUAAAUGGCAAACAAACAUUUAUCCCAAAAACUGACUUAAAUUCCACUAAUGACUUCUUUUACUGAUCUGAGAGCAAAGUAUCAUCAGUGAAAAGAUGUAAAAUCAAAAGGAAUCGCACACGAGUUUACAAUAUCCUCAAUCAAACGUAUAGCAGGAAUAGUAGAGUCAAUGUUAUUGUCAGACUCUAUAUAUAUAUAUAUAAUCAUUUUGAGGUGUCAGUGCCCUUUUUUUUUUUUAAUACGGACACGUUGUUAAAUCUUACAAUUAAUAGUGUUUUAAUUUUAUUGAAUUACACAGUUUAAUAGUGUGUUCUCAUGAAAAAAAUUGAGGGCGUCCACACUAAAGAAUGAUCAUAUAUAUAUAUAUAGAGAGAGAGAGAGAGAGAGAGAGAAAUUUUCCAAUCUAAUAUUUUAAAGUGCAGGGAAAUUUGAAAAAACUUUAAAACUCUACGAUUUUAAAAGUGUUAAAGCUUUUCUGAACUUUUCUAAACUUUAAAAUUAUGGACCAAAAAACUACUACUACACACACACACACACAAGGGGCAUGUGUGUUAUACUUUUGGACAGUUCAAACAAUUUACCACACACUCAUAAACAAUCUAUUUUUUCCACCUUUUUUCAUUUACAUCAAACACCAACUUUACCACUCAUUCAAGUCUAAAUCGUUAUCAAACAGCAAAAUUUUUAGGUAUAUUUGGAAUGUUAUGGGAUUUUUCGUAUACUAAGAGUAAUUUUCUAAUCAUAUUUCAUUCGUCUAUUUUCAAGUAAAGCAAGUACAAGUCAUUAACCUUAAUAGAGACCCUCGUUUGGUAUAUGCGGGAUAUGAUAUUUGACAUGUACUCACUCCUAAAUUUAGUAUACAGAAAUGAAAAAUAACAAAACGUGUAUAGAUAAAAUAUGAAGAGUCUGGAGAUCUGGACGCAAGUAGCUAGGAUUUGCUUUCCGAAGAGAGUUGUUUUGACAUUGGAACAAAAAGAUGUCGUUUCAGGACCCUCAACCUUAACAUUAACCCCAUUGUACACCAAGUUUAUAUUCCCAAUCUCAAUAUUUUGGCAUGGAAUCUUUUGGCUACACACAAGACUUACGGCAACCUUGGUAGCUGAAGUGCCACGGAUGUUAUUGAAUCUCACAUUGCUGAUCUUCACUUGCGAAGGAACCUGUAAAAUAUUAACGGCAGGGCGUGUAAUCAUUAGCUGAAAAAUAUAACUGAGCGGUCUGCUUUAAAAAUUAAGCUGAAGCAUAAUAGUUUGAGAGAUGAAUGAAUGUUCAUGUACCUUUAUGUUACAUUUAUUAUAUGGGCAAUACAAUUGAUCUAUGACGAUGGGAUUUUCCACAUUGUUCGUGACAAUGUCUUCAAAAACGAAGUUGGAAGCGAUUCCAACGUGAGAAUCAGGUCAUGUUUUGACUCUAACCCCGUUACUUGUGUUGGAUGUUGAACUUGUGGGGAAUGGCAAAUGUAGAGAAAUACAACAAUAAUGGUGGAACUUUAUUACGUAAAGUAAUGUGUUUACAACUAAUUUUGUAUGUAGGAAGAAAAAUAAUAGUAAUAAGUAAACUGCAGAAAUUUUGUGUGCUUCAAGGCACGUUACAAAUGUCGUUUUCCUUAAGACGUUAUUUGCCCUCACCAAUUGAGUGAUGCACAUGGGUUAAGCAAAUACACCUCCAGGAUACAAUGAAGCACUUGUUUGUUUGCUUGCGUUGUGCAUCGACGAAAGCAAACCAGAAUACUCUUGAAUGUUGCAAGCCUGCCAAGAAACAAUAUAUUGUUCCUGCAGAAAACAAUAUAUUGGAUUAUGAAUGCACAAAAGAAAUGGGUGUUUUGUGUUGAAAUUCGUACUAGAAAGGAAUGCUAAGAAAAGAGUGGUGUAGGAUCAUUAAUUUCAUGUCUAAAUGGCUUAAACAUGACCCCUAUUUAUAGAUAUACUUGUGCCCCCUCAUUUGGGUUAUCAUCUUUCAUGAUACCCCUUCAUUCAUGGCCAUUGGAUCUAGAUUUGAUUUUAAUCAAUGGUCCAAAUUGAACCAUCACCAUUUCAAAUGAAAUGUCACCAUGAAAUGAUGCAUCUCUAAGUGAAAUGUUGCCAUGAAAAGUUAUAUCAUUUAGUAAAAAGAUACAUUUUCUACAAGACACAAUUAAAUGGACAUGUCCUUACAACAAGACAUCAUUUAAUUAGAUAUGUCUUUAGUGAAAGGUACCUUUUCUAUAAGGCACAAUUAAUAGGACAUGUUUUAUCAUAAGACACAUUUAUUUUGAAAAUUUCCAACAACUUGUGCCUGUGAAGGUACAGUUCCUUACAGUCAAUCCAACAACUUCUUCAUCUUUUGUAUCCUUUCCCAGGCUACCAACACUGAUACCAUGUCCUGGUCCGAAAAAAACGUCA